rnacentral:lncRNA from 1 species
UUGAGCACCAGGUUACCUUCUCGGAACACACAAGGCUUGACCUUCUUAUCAAAGACUUUCUUCAUCCUAUGCUGAUAUAACUGACCAUGGCACUUGGUAAUUAAUCUCUUCUCUUUUAUCGAAUUCAGUUGGUCAUAACGACUCUGAACCCAUUCAGCAUCAGUCAACUUGGCUUCCAUCAAGACUCUCAUUGAUGGAAUCUCCACCUCUACUGGGAGCACAACCUCCAUGCCAUAUACAAGAGAGAAAGGGGUUGCCAAUGUUGAAGUGCGGACAAAUGUACAAUAACCAUGUGUAGCACCUCAAAUUUGCCCUCCCCAUUCAUGCAUUCAUUCAUUUUUUUUGGUUCAUUUAUCAUUCCAUGUUGCAUUCCAUCCUGUUAACCAGAAUUGGCAUCAAGAGAAUUCUUCGUGCAAAACAGCAAGUCUUUCCUUGAGAUGAAGGCCCAAUUUCAUCAGUGCAUUUUCAGGUCAUCUGAGGACCAUAAAAGUCAACUGUGCAGUCAACUGAGGGCUAUGAGUUGGGGAAAUGAUUUGAGACAUCCCAAUCAUGUUCAUUUAAGGCCUAUUCAUCAUGUCAAACAUCUAUCUUGAAGAUUUUGAAGUCAAAUCAAAAGUUUCCAAAAAUGGAAAAUGACUUGUAAUUCAAAGUUUCCAAAAAUGGCAAGUUUUUGGUCCACAUUUAACUUGAUUUUCCAACAUCAAAGAAGCUUCAAAUGGAUUUUUGGUGAACAUGGAAGUUGAAGAUCUUUCUCUCCUAUUUUCAAAAAGUCCUAUAUCAUGUCCAUAUGAUAAUUAGUUGGGAAGUUAUGGCCAAAUGAUCACAAAGUGUACAUGAAGUUCAAAGUGACAUAAGUUUUGAUCCAAAACUCCAAAUUGGUCCACUCUUUUUGCAAAAUACUUGUCAUGACCAAUACUUUUCAAAUCAACCAUUGCAUUGCAUGAAAAAAGCUCAUAUGAUCACUUGCCCAUACAUGUGCAUUUUGGAGGGAAAAUUGAUAAUUCAAAUUUGGUGGAUUAUACAAGCAAUUUGAUCAUUCCAUGUUGAUUAUUGGAUGAUUUGAAGUGAGAUUUAAGCAUUUUCUUCACAUUUCAUUAAUCAAGAUUAACCAAGCCUAAUUGUGAUUAGCAUGAUGAUUAGCACCUCAUAUAAAUAGAAAACCAUUACUGUUUUUGCUAAGAACAACAAUUUCAGAUCUCAAAUUCACACUUUCCUCCAUUUUUUCUCUCUCUUCAAAACUCCAAAUUUCUUCACACAAGUCCUCAAUUUCUUUGCAUAUUCUGGUUAAGCAUGGAAUUUUGAGUAAGGAUCCACGCCUGGUUUGAAGAAUUGAGCGAGAUUUGAGCUGGUUCAUGAACAUUCAUACAUUGAUGGAAGAUUGAAAUUGAACAAGAUCUAGUGGAUUUCAUGUGCUUCUUUAUACACAAAGCUUCAAGAUACAAGUAGAGGAGAAGAUCUGGAGAAUUUGAGCACCUGAGGACGCGUAUAAAGCUGCUGCCAUUUCCAAGUAAGUUGAAUUCGGUCCUCACCUUUUGAUGUUUCAUGUACAUGAUUGUGUAGAUCUCACUGUGCUGAACAUGCUGAUAUGCUUAGAAUUGAUUUUGGUUAGAAAUUGAGUUAGUUAUGAUGAUUUAAAGUUUGGAUGUGAAAAAUGUUUCUCUUCGAUUCGUGCGUAUUAGUGAGAGUUAGAUUGAAUGAACAUGAUAUUCGUGAUCUACAUUGAAAGACCUUUCCAACCAUAUGCAUUUCGUGCGAUUCUGGAAAAAAAAAUUUGAGCUCCGCCGCGUACACGGUUGGAAAAGAUGGUUGAAACCACCGUGUGCCACCGCCUGGUUUUGGCCUAGGGUUUCUGUCUCCAAACGCUGCGUUUUGGAUUUUCGCUUUGAUCCUAGCUUGCACGGGUUCGAAUCCUGGCGUGCGUUUGCUUUGGAUUUAAUUGUUGAAUAUUCGCUUGAUCCGUCCACACUUGAGUUCGAACCUAGCGCAUGCAUUUUUCUGAUUUUCCAAUUGAUUUUUCAUUAAGCGCUUCUUGGACCGUGUGUACCUGUGUUUGAAACCUAGCGCAUGUUUUUUGUGAUUUCCAAUUGAUUUUUCACUUGAGCGCUCUUUGUCCCUUGGAGCGUGUGUUCGAUACUGGCCUGGUGCAUUAUGUUGAUAUUUUUUGAACUUUGUUUUCCCUCCAUUGCCAUUUUUGUUCAUAAUAUUCAUUCAACUUUAAAAAAUCAUAAAAAAUAGUAGGAAUGUCCAAAUUGAUCCAAAAAAUUUUCACAUGUUUGUUUUAAUGUCUAGAUGUUUAUAGGAUUUAUUUCCUGAUUUAUGUGCAUCUGGAUUUUUAAUUGGGAAUUGUUGUUUGAACAUGAUGCCAUAUUGACAUGUUGCAUUCAUUUCCUUGUGAAAUGCUCAUGGUUAAUCCAAUUGAUUUGAAAUUUGACAUGCUUGAUCCUAAUAUGUGAUGUAACUUUUUGGCUUUAGUUUGAGAUUUUUAUCAUAUUCUAUCACUGUUUUGGACACAUGAACAUAUGGUGUGACAAUUUGUGUCACAUAUUUGAUGUUGCAUUUGUGCAUUUUCAUUUACAUAUCAUUUGAGCUCUUCUGGACUUAAUGUUUUGCAUGAUGUUCAUUCCUAACAUGAUAAGCUCACAUAAAAAAUUUCAUGAUCAUUGGAUGCUUUUCUGUUUUGAUUUUGAUUUUCUAUUUUUGAUGUCCAACUUUGAUCACAUUGCUUGCCUUUGCUUUACCUUAAUCAUUUGAUGGAUUUGCCUUAUGGAUUGGUUUUGGUCCAUUUUGGUCCUUAUGGAUUGCCGUACACAGUCGUAGAAAUGUGAACAGAGGACAAUACCGUCAGGUUGCUGCUAUAACUAUCCCAACACCUCAACCACGACAACAGCAACAACAAAGAGGACCACCACCACCACAACAACAAAAACAACAACAACGCCCAUUUCAGCCAAGACAGAGAAUGCCGGAUCGUCGUUUCGACCCGUUACCUAUGACAUAUGCUGAGUUGCUUCCUGAAUUGCUCAGGUUGGGGUUUGUUGAAUUACGCACUAUGGCUCCUUUGACAAAGAUACUUGCUAGGUAUGAUGCCAACGUUCGUUGUGACUUUCACUCUGGGGCACCGGGGCACCAUAUUGAUAACUGUCGGGCUUUUCAUCAUAAAGUCCAGGAUUUGAUUGACGCCAAAACAAUCAAUUUUGCUCCUGUUCCGAAUGUUGUGAACAACCCUAUGCCUCAACAUGGUGGGCCUAGGGUGAAUAAUGUGGAAGGUGAUGAGGCCUUAGACUUGGUAGUCAAUUUUGAUGAGGUUCAGACAUCGCUGUUUGUUGUGAAAGAGCGUCUGUUGAAAGGGGGAGUGUUCCCGGGCUGUGAUGAGGGCUGUUCAGACUGUGAGGAUUCAGAGAAUGGUUGUUUGCAGCUGAGGAAUGGUAUCCAGGGUUUGAUGGAUGAUGGUUGCCUCCAGUUUAGUAGGGCUGUGAAAGAUCGUGGAAUGGUGUCAACUGUCACCAUUUAUUUCAAACCGUCCGAGCGCCCUGGACGUGGCCAGAGAACUAUUAAUGCACCCACAACCGUUGGCACUCCUGUUACCAUAUCUGCUCCUGUAACUGUUGGUGCUCCCACUACUAUUGUUGUUUCUGGUAGAAGACCGGUUGAGAAUAGAAGGGCAGUUCCGUGGAAGUAUGAUAAUGUUUACCACAAUAACAGAAGGCCAGAGAAUCGAGUCAGACCAGUGAAUCAGGUUCCAGUGACCAUUGAUGUGCCAGUAAAAAAUCCUGUAACUGUUGGUCCGGUUUUGGACAAUGUAGGAGGACCUGGAGGUUUCACUAGAAGUGGUUGUCUGUUCGCACCGCAGACUUUAAGAGAUAACAAUGCUGAGGCUCUCGCCAAAGCAAAGGGUAAGCAGGAUGGGGUGGAAGAAGAACCUGUACAGAAGGAAGCGCCUGAGGGGUCCUUUGAGAAAGAUGUGGAGGAGUUUAUGAAGAUCAUUAAGAAGAGUGACUACAAGAUUGUAGAUCAGCUGAAUCAAACUCCGUCCAAAAUAUCUAUCCUUUCUCUGUUACUGUGCUCUAAGGCACACCGUAACGCCUUGCUGAAAGUGUUGAAUCUGUCUUACGUGCCUCAAGAGAUUUCUGUUAACCAGUUGGAGGGUUUUAUUGCGAAUGUCAGUACAACACACGGUUUGGGGUUCACAGACUUGGAUCUGACGCCUGAGGGUCGUAAUCAGAACAAAGCCCUGCAUAUCAGCAUGGAGUGUAAAGGCGCAGUGUUGUCACAUGUGUUAGUGGAUACUGGCUCGUCUUUGAACGUGUUGCCCAAGAAGAUUCUGAGCAAGAUUGAUGUUGAAGGGGUUGUCCUCACUCCGAGUGAUCUCAUUGUUAUGUCACAUGUGUUAGUGGAUACUGGCUCGUCUUUGAACGUGUUGCCCAAGAAGAUUCUGAGCAAGAUUGAUGUUGAAGGGGUUGUCCUCACUCCGAGUGAUCUCAUUGUUCGUGCUUUUGACGGAUCCAAACGGUCUGUUUUUGGUGAAGUCACGUUGCUAGUGAAGAUUGGCCCGGAGGUUUUUGAUAUUAUCUUCUAUGUGAUGGAUAUUCAAACAGUAUAUAGUUGUUUAUGUGGGCGUCCCUGGAUACAUGGGGCUGGAGCAGUGUCGUCAACUCUCCAUCAGAAGCUGAAGUAUGUAUGGAAUGGUCAGAUUGUGACUGUGUGCGGCGAGGAGGACAUUCUGGUGAGUCACUUAUCCUCUUUCAAGUAUGUGGAGGUGGAUGGCGAGAUCCAUGAAACUCUGUGCCAAGCAUUCGAGACCAUUGACGUUGAGAGGGUGGCUUUUGCUGAGCAGAAGAAGCCAAGUGCCUCAAUUGCAUCAUACAAGCAGGCUAUGGAGGUUGUCAACUCGGGCAAUGCAGAAGGUUGGGGCAAGAUGGUUGACCUGCCCGUUAAAGAAGACAAAUUUGGUAUUGGCUAUCUGUAGGAGAAUUGCCAUCCAAGGCGCAGCGGAAUUUAAAAAUUUCUCCAUUUAGUGAUCCUUACGAAUGGGCAUGAUCAGUGAUAGAAUCGUUACCUCUUGUGGCGAUUCAAACCUUUGCGUGAGAUCUCUGAUAAUGGUCAAAACCUUUGAUACAGAUCCACGGCGGCGAUCAACGAACAUUGAACGAUUGACAACGUCUUACUCAAGUCCACCCGAACGGAUUCCUUCAAUCGCAGUGCUAGCUGUUUGUGAUAAUGAAGGCUUUGAGUGAGAUAAAGAGAGAUACGAAAUUCCAACUCUUCAGUGUGUUGUAUUCCCAUACAAAGCUUCUGCACAAGAGCUCUAUUUAUAGAACCACUUGUGUGUGGGGGCUUCAAGCCAAAAAGGCCACUUAAGUGCAUUUUGGCCUAUACUCUCAUAAUAUGCCAAAUCACUUAAGUAUUUCUGGUACCUUACCAUAUUUCGUAUUCUACUUAAGUACACCGUACCUUACGAUGCUUCCUUAAUUAUUCUAUCUCUCAUCAAUCCGUCCUUGUGUGUCACCCUAUAGGUUUUUCGCGGCGUUUGGCAAUUAUAUUAAAUCACGCAUUUAACAUUAAUAAACAGUGAGCGGUAUCUAGCAACACAUCACUGCUACCAAUUCACGAAAAUGUCAUGUGAUCUGACAAAACCUCCUGUUGAUAAUAAAUUAUGUGUAUAAUUACCCCUUUGCCCUUUAUGUCUAUAUUGAACACAAAGGUAUUAGAACGUGUCACCUUGUCCAGUUCAAUAUUGGGCCCAUAGACAUUUAUCCUGUUACGCAGGAUUGGCAAAAUUCCAUUGCGGGACACUCAUGUCCCUCAGCAUGCUUCGUGGAGUACCCAUCAACUGUCUUAUGGUUAUGCAGUUACGGAACAACAUUGGAUCAACAAUAAAGCACUCGACUCUACAUCUAGGAUCCAUAGUUGGUUUCAGGUCGAAGAGUGGUAUACACUUUUUCACCAUGAGAAUAACUUAUGACACUUUGCAUAACUUUCUAUAUAGUAUUCGCAUAGCGCGGUCAAUCCGGUAUAAAUAUUACUCCUAAUAUUCAUAUCUAUGUUUAAGACUGAUAACUUCUUAUCCAGAUCCAUGAGAUGUGAUCAUCAGUCUACAAGCAUAAUAGUCUUAAUGCUUUUAUGUUAUCCCACUUCACAUUAAAGCCGACUACAGAUACUUUAAGAAUAGUGUCCUUUAUGUUUAAUGUGUUCUCAUGAUUAAGUCACACUUAAUACAUUAAACGGACUAUCUAUUCCAGGGACUUUAUUAAUCAACCAUAAUAAAGGAAAAUGCCUUUAAAUAAUUUGAUACAAGUACCAAAAGUAUUGGCCUCUAGGGCUUACACCAACAAUCUCCCACUAGCACUAGAGCCAAUCAGGCAUACCCCGUAUUCCCAUUGAUCUAGUAUGACCAUCAUGCUUCUGCUGCGCAAGAGGCUUUGUCAGUGGCGUCAACAACAUUGUCAAGUGUAGGUACUUUAAUAUUUUUCGCCACAACGCCUAAGUAUGUUGGGAUCGUUGGUGAGAUCAAGGCUCCUUAGCUUGUGCGAUAACACCAUUGUUAUCAUAAUAGAGACCAAUGGGAUCCACAAUGCUAUGGACUAUGCCAAGUUUAUUGAUCCAAACAGCUUCCUUUGCUGCACUUAAGGCAACAAUAUACUCGGCCUCAGUUGUAGAAUCAUGCAAACUGCAUCUUCGCGUUGAACUUUUCAAGCUCCAGUGCCACCAUUUAAGCAAAACACAUAACCAGAUUGGAGUCAUUCAUAUUAAAGCGUUUUCAGCACUUUGUCUAUGUACUCUACUAGGCCAAGCAUUCAUGAUCUAUCUCUAUAGAUUCUGAUAGGCUGCUUCAACCCAGAUCCUAUAGAAAAGCAUUUCCCCAACCAAGACUUUACUUGUUGCAGGGUAGGGAUAUCGAUUUCCAAUGAGUAAUAUGUCAUCUACAUAUAAUAUCAGGAAUACGAUCAUGCUCCCACUAACCUUCUUGUAGACACAAGGCUUAUCUUUUCGUUCUUGAUGAAUCCAUGACAGCUUUAUGUUCAUCAAGGCGAAGAUUCCAUGAGUAGGUCAUAGGCUCAUCUUGAUCCAUGAGUAAUACAUCACCUUGACUAGAUAUCCAUAUAUCUCAGGUAGGUGACGUAUCCUGCCUGACCUACGCUGGUCUGUUCUAUUUGAGCAGGUUGCUCUUACACAACUACUUGUGUUUCCUGCUCUAAUUCUCCAUAGGUGUAUCGAUACUUUGUGAUUCUUGAAUUUCUUCAAGUUCUACUUUCCUCCCACUGAUUCCUUUGGAAAUAAAAUCCUUUCUAGGGAAAACUCAAGUUCGAGCGACAAACACUAUGCCCUCAGAAGGAUUGUAAAAUAAUAUCCUCUUGUUUCUUUAGGAUACCCCACAAAUAAGCAUUUGUCAGAUUUGGGCUCAAGCUUAGUUAAAAUUUGUCGUUUCACAUAAAAUCUCGCAACCCCAAAUCUUCAUGUAAGACAUAUGUGGUCUCUUACCACUCCAUAUCUCAAUGGUGUCUUUUCAACCUUUUGGAUGGAACACGGUUAAGUGUGUAAGCUGAUGUCAAUGGUGUAUGUCCUCAAAGGAGUUUGGAAGAUUGGUGUGACUCAUCAUGGAUCGCGACCAUGUCCAACAGGGUUCGAUUUUUCUCUCAGAUACACCCUUCCAUUGGAUGUCCAGGAGGAGUAAGUUGGGAUAGGAUCCCACACUCUUUCAGAUGGUCAUCAAAACUCUAGGAUUAAAUACUCAUCACUUCGAUCUGAUCAAGAGUUUAAUAUUUAUUACUAGUUGGUUUUAACUCGUUAGGUUUCACCCUUUUGUAUUAAUUUAUUAAAGGCAUUUCAAGAUCAAGGACAUACAGUCUAUUGUUCAUUUGUUGCAGUAGCAUAGAAUAUAUCAUUCAAAUAAAUUGAGCAAACAUUGUUCUUUAUUAUAAUGAAAAACCAAAACUUGUCCAAAACAAGCAAUGGAAAUAAUAUUCCUGCUUAAUUGCAGGUAUAUAAAACAGUUUCUCUAACUGAAUUAUUUAAACCACUAGGUAAAGUUCAAUACAAAAGUUCCUUACGGCUAAAGCAGCAACCUUUGCUCCAUAGCCAAACUCGUAGUCGACUUCACCUUUUGCCAAAUCUCUACUCCUUUUUAGUUCCUGCACAUUGUUAAAUGUGAGAAACCGCAUCCAGUAUCUAAUACUUCAUGAUAUAGAAGUAGAUAAAUUAAUAAACAAUAAAUACCUGAAGUUGAAGUCUCUACUCCAUUCUUCUUAUCUUCCAGUACUUUGGGCAGUUCCUCUUUCCAGUGUCGGUCUUACCGCAAAUGGAAGCAGGUGCCUUCUUUUGCUAUGCCUCCACUAGGGCUUUCAAAGCAGCAGUGGUCUGGAUUGGCAACUUCCUUGCCCUUCCCCUUAUCACUAUGCUUAGUGGGCCUUUGUUCUGUCUCUUUCCAUUUCCGAUCAUCAAAUGGACUCCUUUUGACUUCAGAUUCUGCUCGGCAGUUCUUAACAUGGCGAGCAGUUCAGAAGAGAUUUGUCCAUAUCAAUCAUAUUGAAUUAGGACAAAUUGACUGAAAACUAUCUGGCAACGAUUGCAAGAUCAAAUCAGUUGCAAGUUCCUUUUCGAGGGAAAACCCAAUCUCUCAGGUUUUCCACAUACCAAUCAUUCUUUGGUACAUGGGGACCUACAGGGGCUCCCUCAGCUAACUUGCUUUGAAAAAGGGAUUUUUGAAACUUCUAAACCUCUUUAUGCCUUGCUUGCUCUUGAUAGAGAAACUUCAGGUGUUCGAUCAUAUCGAACGCUGACAUGUUCUCAUGUGCUUUGCAAUUCUGAGUUCAUGGUAGCCAGCAUGAGACAAGUAGUUUUCAUUGGGCAUCAUCGACAUGCUUCUUAUAAGCAUCUCUUUUCUGCUUAAGGUUCAGAACUAGGAGGUUUCUCUUAGGAACAGGUGUCUCCAAGACAUACAAACUUUUUAUCAUGUUUGAGGAUAAUCUCAGGUUUUCGGUGCCAAUCCAUUAAAAAUUUGUUCCCAUACAAUUUUCCUUAUCAAGGAUUGGAUGCAGGAUGUUGUUAGAGGUUGUUUGCUGUUCAUGGUAAUCUACAUAAGGAUUAAUUGAAAAUAUAAGUAUCAUUACAUAUUCAAUUAGGCCUUUAAUUAAAUAUUGCUCCCGCUAUUUUACUCAAACCAAAAUACCCUCAUCAUCUGAUUCGGAAAAUUCCCGUUGGAAGAUUUUUCUGUGGGUCGAGAUCCAUUUAUUUCACUUCGUUUCUAAGUCCACUAGGCGGAUUACAAAAACUAGGUUAUUUAGUAGGAACUCCUCCAUUGUUAUCUCAUUACAACUCUCGAAAAUUUUCGUUGGUGAAAUAACUCCUUUAUUCCAAUCCAUCAUAUGGUCAUUCCCAAACUUUUGCUUCUAAAACAUUAUAUAUCUUAUUAUUUAAAUUUGGUUUAUUUAAGUUUUGAACCCAUUGUUUUACAGUUGGAUAUUACAUUAUUCCAUCGCCCACCUACUAUAUAGAACAUGCACCUCGCGUAGGCGAGACCUACAUUAUUCGAAUACUAGUCUGAUGAGUGUUUUAAAACUUUGGAAAGCUAAAACUUUUAAUAUUUUAGUUUUGAGGGAUUGUAAUUUUUCUGAUCUCACGGCUUUUAUAUAUAAACCGUCUCUCACAGCAUCAACAUACAUUUCAAAUGCAUCAUCAUACAUUUACAAAUAAAAAUGAACAGUUAUGCCCCUAGCGCAAUUGUUCUCCAAGCAAUGAGGGAACCUAAGCUAACUAAACGGAUUAAGCUUCUCCAAGCAAGAUCUUCAAGGUUGUCCUCCUUGCACUGACUUCUUUUGCUUUCUUUCAUACUUACAUUACAUGAAAGAAACUCGUCUUUACAUACGAGGGAGUGAGAUGAGAAAAGAAGUUACAUUGGAGAUUAAGAGAGAGGCACGACACGCAGGUCGUAUUUAAAACCAAAACAAAACAAAGGAAAACCUAAAGGCCAUAACGAUUCACACAGGACAAUAAUAAACACUUUAUUUUAUUAUUUAUAUUAAUUCUUUAAUUAAUUAAAAUCAAAUAAAUUUCGACAACGAUUCAUCACAUUUUAAUGACAGUCAAUUUAAAAUCGUAUGUCGCUUUUCGUAUCAACACUUGACACUUUUUAAAGCACUGAGUUAGCCGAAUGGGUGAAAAUUUCCUUGCGUUAACCGGUUAACCAUAUGCGUUAACCGGUUAACACUGUUUUGAAAUCUGAAAAAAAUUGUUUUCUGCCUUGCGUUAACCGGUUAAUCAAAUGUGUUAACCGGUUAACACUGUUUGAAAAUGUCUUGGAAAACUGUUUUCCGCUUUGCGUUAACCGGUUAACCAUAUGCGUUAACCGGUUAACACUGUUAAAAAAUCUCAAAAAUUUUAUUUCGCAUUCCGUUAACCGGUUAACCAUACGCGUUAACCGGUUAACACUAUUCCAAAAAGUGUUUAGGAAGCACAACUCUUGUGCGUUCAAACCCCAAUCGCAUAACUCUCUGACGACACAACCCUUGUGCCGUCACUAACCCUAAUGCACCAAUUUCAGAUCGUCAAACACGUCUCGAUUGUUAAUUCAGUAUGAUUGAUCAACACGUCAUUGCUUCACCAUACAAUUGUCGGAUCAAGAAGCAAACGACCAUUGAUCGCUCAAAGGAAAACAAUCAUCGAGGUUUUGAAUGAACGAAACAAGAACAUUAUAUCAUAUAUAAUGUAUUUUGCAUCAGGGUUACAUAUAUUCACAUAUAUGCUAACUUUGAUCGAUUCUCAAUUUAACCGUUUGAUUCAUUCUAUUUAAUCAUAUUAAUUACAUAACAAAAACAGAUAUCAGAUUCAUGGUUUCGUAAGUGGCUCUUGAUACCACUGUAGGAGAAUGCCAUCCAAGGCGCAGCGGAAUUUAAAAAUUUCUCCAUUUUGUGAUUCCUUACGAAUGCCCGGCAUGCAUCUAAGUUGAUAGAAUCGCUUACCUCUGUGUGGCGGUUCAAACCUUUGGUGCAUCGAUCUCUGAAAUGGCUCAAAACCUUGAAUCUAAGAUCCACGGGGCGAUCCAACGAACAUUGAACGCAUGACAAACGUCUCUAACUACAAGUCCCGAGCGAGCGAAGCGGAUUCCGUCUCCAAUCGCAGUGCUAGCUAUUUUGUGAAUGCAAGGCUUUGAGUGAAGAUUAAGAGAGAUACGAAAUUCCAACUCUUCAGUUGUGUUGUUAUUCCCAUACAAAGCUUCUGCACAAGAGCUCUAUUGUAUAGAACCACUUGUGGGCUUUCAAGCAAAAAAGCCCACUUAAGUGCAUUUUGGCCGUAUAUACUCAUAAUAUGCAAAAUCACUUAAGUAUUUGGUACCUUUACCAUAUUUCGUAUUCUGCCUUAAGGUACACCGUACCUUACGAUGUUCCUUUAAAUGUAUUCUAUCUCUCAUCAAUCCGUCCUUUGUGUGUGACCCUAUAGGUUUUCGCGGCGGUUGCAAUUAUAUUAAAUCACGCAUUUAAACAUAAUAAACAGUGAGCCGGUAUCUAGCAACACAUCACUGCUACCCAAGUCACGAAUGUCAUGUGAUCUGACCAAAACCUCCUGUUGAUAAUAAUUUAUUUGUAUAAUUACCCUUUGCCCUUAUGUCUAUAUUGAACACAAGCGUAUAGACCGUUGUCACCCUUGUCCAGGUCAAUAUUGGGCCCAUAGACAUUAUCCUGUUACGCAGGAUUGGCAAAUUCCAUCUAGACACUCAUGUUCCCUCAGCAUGCCUUUCGUGACAUACCCGAUCAACUGUUCUUUUAUGGUUAUCCAGUUACGGACAACGUAUGGAUCAGCAAAUAAAGGGCACUACGACUUCUACAUCUAGGCAUCCAUAGUGGUUUCAGGUCGAAAGAGUGGAUACACUAGUUAUCACAUGAGAUACUUAUUAUGCACUUUGCAUAACUUUCUAUAUAGUAUUUCUCAUAGCGGUCAAUCCGGUAUAAAAUAUUACUCUAAUAUUUCAUAUCUAUGUUAAGACUUUGAUAAACUCUUGAUCCAUGAUCAUGAGCAUGUGAUCAUCAGUCUACAAAGCAUAAUAGUCUUAUGCUUUAAUGUAAUCCCAAACUUCACAUUAAAGCUCGACUACGGAUACUUUAAGAAAUAGUGUCCUUAUGUUUAAUGUGUUGCAUGAUUCAAGUCACCACUUAAUACAUUAAACGGACUAUCUAUUCCAGGGACUUUAUUAAUCAACCAUAAUAAAGAAAAUGCCUUUAAAUAAUUCGAUACAAGUACCAAAAGUAUUGGCCUCUAGGGCUUACACCAACACUAUCAACCUCUGCAGGCAGAGCAGGGUGUUCAAGAGCAGAAGGGGCCGAGUACCUUCACCAGCGCUGGGUUGAUGAACCAUGGUGACGUCUUUGCAGCCAGUAGUGAAGACGGUGACAGUGAUUAUGAUGUGGACAACUGGGUGCGCCCGUGUGCUCCAGGCGAGAGGGUGAACAAUUGGACAGCCGAAGAAGUGGUCCAAGUUACUCUUCAAAUAGAGUAAUUUUCUUUUGUUUUCAUUUUGCACAAAACCCUACGUUCUGCCCAAGGCGUAGUGGUUCAUUGUAGGGCCUCAUCAUGUUUUCAAUGAUUAUCAUUAAUAAAGGACGUUUUGCAAACAAUUUUGUGAUCCCUGUCUUUUUGUUUUAUUUCCAUCUUUCAAAACAAUAAAAAUGGCAAUGUUUUUGUUUUUGUGACUUUCUUGAACUCUUUUUUCUAAAAUAAAGCAUUAAACAUGCAGAAUCGAUCUUACGGACUCCACUAUAAAUAGUUCUGUUAUGGCUCAAUAUGAUUUCAAUAAUCCCAUCUACCAAGCUGAAGAGGAGGGUGAGGAAGAUUGUGAACUCCCUAAAGAACUGGUCAGAUUAUUGAAGCAGGAGGAAAGGGUCAUCCAACCUCAUCAGGAGGAGUUGGAGAUUAUUAAUCUUGGUACUGAGGACGCCAGAAGAGAGAUAUUGUGAACUCCCUAAAGAACUGGUCAGAUUAUUGAAGCAGGAGGAAAGGGUCAUCCAACCUCAUCAGGAGGAGUUGGAGAUUAUUAAUCUUGGUACUGAGGACGCCAGAAGAGAGAUCAAGAUCGGGGUUGCUUUGAAGGAAGAUGUCGAGAGAGGGCUGAUUGAAAUGCUGAGAGAAUAUGUGGAGAUAUUCGCCUGGUCGUAUCAAGAUAUGCCUGGGUUGGAUACGUAUAUUGUGGUGCAUAGGCUACCUCUCAGAGAAGAUUGUCCUUCAGUAAAGCAGAAGCUUCGCAGAACUAGUCCUGAUAUGGCUGUCAAGAUCAAGGAAGAGGUUCAGAAGUAGUUGAAUGCGGGUUUUCUGGCAGUUACUAAUUAUCCCCCUUGGGUGGCCAACAUCGUUCCCGUGCCGAAGAAGGACGGUAAAGUCAGGAUGUGUGUCGAUUACCGGGAUUUAAACAGAGCCAGUCCAAAAGAUGACUUCCCAUUACCUCACAUUGAUGUAUUGGUUGAUAAUACUGCUCAAUCUUCGGUUUUCUCUUUCAUGGAUGGUUUUUCUGGCUAUAAUCAGGGAAAAGACGACAUUCAUUUACACCUUGGGGCACGCUCUCUGCUAUAAGGUGAUGCCAUUUGGGCUGAAGAAAUGCGGUGUACCUAUCCAGAGGCUAUGACGACUCUCUUUCAUGACAUGAUGCACAAAGAGAUUGAAGUGUAUGUGGAUGAUAUGAUUGCGAAGUCGCAGACAGAAGAGGAGCACCUGGUAAACUUGCAGAAGUUGUUUGAAAGGCUGAGAAAGUUCAAACUGAGGCUGAGUCCAAACAAGUGUACGUUUGGAGUGAGAUCCGGUAAGUUGUUGGGUUUCAUUGUCAGUGAGAAAGGGAUUGAGGUUGAUCCAGCAAAAGUAAAAGCUAUACAAGAAAUUCCUGAACCGAGAACAGAAAAAGAGGUUCGUGGUUUCUUAGGUAGAUUGAACUACAUCUCACGGUUCAUAUCUCAUCUAACGGCCACGUGUGAAUCGAUUUUCAAAUUGCUAAGGAAAAAUCAAGCAUUCAGGUGGAAUGAUGAUUGUCAAAAAGCUUUUGAUAAAAUAAAAGAGUAUUUGCAGAAACCUCCAAUCCUUAUACCUCCAGUGCCUAGGAGGCCUCUGAUAAUGUACCUGUCAGUGACUGAGAAUUCGAUGGGGUGUGUAUUGGGAUAGCAUGACGAGUCUGGUCGAAAAGAGCAUGUUAUAUACUACCUUAGCAAAAAGUUUACCGACUGUGAAAUAAAAUAUUCACAGCUUGAGAAAACAUGUUGUGCUUUGGCCUGUGCUGCUCGCCGACUGAGACAGUAUAUGUUGAACCAUACUACCUUAUUGAUUUCUAAGAUGGAUCCAGUGAAGUACAUUUUUGAGAAGCCGACUCUCACCGGGCGGGUUACUCGUUAGCAGAUGAUUCUAACUGAAUAUGAUAUCCAGUAUACGUCGCAAAAGGCCAUCAAAGGUAGUAUUCUGUCAGACUACCUUGCCGAGCAACCAAUCGAUGAUUAUCAACCGAUGAUGUUUGAAUUCCCUGAUGAAGACAUCAUGUAUCUAAAGAUGAAAGACUAUGAAGAGCCUGUUGUCGAGGAAGGACCGGAUCCUGAUGACAAGUGGACAUUGAUGUUUGAUGGGGCCGUGAAUGUGAAUGGUAAUGGUGUUGCGGCAGUACUUAUCAAUCCCAAAGGUGCUCAUAUACCUUUUUCUGCCAGAUUAACUUUUGACGUAACAAACAACGAAGCUGAGUAUGAGGCUUGUAUCAUGGGGAUCGAAGAAGCCAUCGAUCUAAGGAUCAAAACACUGAACAUUUAUGGAGAUUCCGCUCUAGUGAUUAACCAAGUCAAUGGAGUUUGGAAUACUCACCAGCCGCAUUUGAUUCCUUAUCGAGAUUACACCAGAAGGAUACUGACUUUCUUCAAGAUAGUGAAGCUAUAUCAUGUCCCCCGAGAUGAAAAUCAGAUGGCUGAUGCCUUGGCUACUUUGUCUUCUAUGAUCAAAGUCCAUUGGUGGAAUCAUGUGCCACAUGUUGCGGUGAAUCGAUUCGAGAGGCCUGCGUAUGUGUUUGCAGCCGAGUCUGUUGUUGAUAAGAAGCCGUGGUACUAUGAUAUCAAGAAUUUCCUCAAGAGUCAGGAAUAUCCUGAAGGAGCGUCAAAGAAUGAUAAUAAAACCCUAAGAAGGCUAGCUGGAAGCUUUUAUUUGAAUCAGGAUGGUGUGCUGUACAAGAGGAACUUUGACAUGGUUCUACUCAGAUGCGUGGAUAGACAUGAAGCAGACAUGUUGAUGCAGGAAGUGCAUGAGGGAUCUUUCGGUACCCAUGCUGGUGGUCAUGCAAUGUCCAAGAAAUUGUUGAGAGCCGGUUAUUACUGGAUGACUAUGGAAUUCGACUGUUUCAAAUACGCUCGGAAGUGCCAUAAAUGUCAGAUCUAUGCUGAUAAGGUGCAUGUACCACCUAGCCCUCUGAAUGUCAUGAUUUCGCCUUGGCCGUUCGCGAUGUGGGGCAUUGAUAUGAUAGGGAAGAUUGAGCCUACUGCUUCUAAUGGACAUCGCUUCAUCCUGGUCGCGAUUGAUUAAUUCACUAAGUGGGUGGAAGUAGUUUCCUAUGCCAAUGUCACCAAGCAAGUGGUUGCCCGAUUCAUUAAGAAGGAAAUUAUUUGUCGUUAUGGAGUUCCUGAGAGAAUCAUUACUGAUAAUGGUUUGAAUCUCAAUAACAAGAUGAUGAAAGAGCUUUGCAAAGAUUUUAAGAUCGAACAUCACAAUUCUUCUCCUUACAGACCGAAGAUGAAUGGUGCUGUAGAGGCGGCAAACAAGAACAUUAAGAAGAUUGUGCAGAAGAUGGUCGUGACGUACAAGGAUUGGCAUGAGAUGUUGCCUUACUCCUUACAGACCGAAGAUGAAUGGUGCUGUAGAGGCGGCAAACAAGAACAUUAAGAAGAUUGUGCAGAAGAUGGUCGUGACGUACAAGGAUUGGCAUGAGAUGUUGCCUUUCGCUUUGCAUGGGUAUCGUACCUCAGUACGUACGUCGACCAGGGCAACCCCUUACUCCCUUGUGUAUGGUAUGGAAGCAGUCCUACCUGUUGAAGUGGAGAUUCCUUCUCUAAGAGUCUUGUUGGAUGUCAAGCUUGAGGAAGCUGAGUGGAUUCGAAUAAGGUUUAACGAGUUGAGCCUUAUCGAAGAGAGGCGGUUAGCAGCGGUGUGCCAUGGGCAGUUGUAUCAGAGAAGGAUGAAGAGAGCCUUUGAUCAGAAAGUGCAUCCUCGAAGCUAUCAAACAUGUGAUUUGGUUUUGAAGAGGAUCCUUCCUCCCGGUACAGAUAACAGGGGCAAAUGGACUCCUAAUUAUGAAGGUCCAUAUGUUGUUAAAAAGGUUUUCUCUGGUGGAGCCUUGAUGCUUACAACUAUGGACUGGUGAAAGAUUUUCCGUCCCCUGUUAACUCGGAUGUAGUCAAAAAUACUUCGCAUAAAUUGACCCCGCUGGAAAGAAAAGAUAAAAGAGUCCAGGCAAAAAGGGCAUCCCGGCGAACAAAAAAAAAUGAAAAGGUUCGGGCAAAAAGUUAGGGAUAAAGAAUGAAAAGAAUAAGGUACACCGGUAAGUCGAAAACCCGCAAGGGCGGCUAAGGCAAAAAUGGGUAUCCCGGUGGAUUGAAAACCCGAAAGGGCGAUCCAGGCAAAAGAGGGAUUAAAGCGAAGACUACAGUCUGAGUUAUCUGUACUUCAUCGCGCUUCAUCGUCUACCAUCUCCAAGGAUAUGAUCGGUCCAAUCAUUCUUCUCAGAAAGCAAGGAAUUUGGGAGAAAAUUGAGGAUCUGUGAGUCAUAACAGUAUUGGGAAAUAGUGGAUGCCGUGUUCACGUUGCCAUUAGGAUAGUUUAUUUUCCUUUUGUGCGCAAUUACCUCUUCCCAGGAAUUGCUUCCUGAUGUAUUUGCCUUUUCAGACCCAUUUUCAAUCAAUAAAAGUCGUUAUUCAGAUAAAUUGCUCCCUUGUUUUUAUUUUACUGUUUUGUUUGCAAAAACGUCCGAAUUUUUGAUGAACAUUGCAUCGAAAAACAUGAAUGCUAGACGAUAACGUGCAGAAAGAUAAAACAUUCGAAAAUCAUUUUGAAUGUUGAAUACACUUGGGUGUAUCUUGUCCAUACAAUCCCCUGGGGCAUGUAUGUCUUGCUGUUUUGCAGGUUAUUACCUUUGAUUCUUGGCAGAAGCAGAUAAGCCACGAUUUGUUCAGAGACGUUUCAGCAUUGUCCAGUAGUGUGAGAAGUUGGGUUGUCUAAAGAAAAUUUAGGACUUGUCUCCCCAGCAUAGUCAAGAUCAGGGAUUCCUCAGCAGGGUUGAGGAUGUUUCCCCAGCAGGCUUGAAAGUGGCUAUUUCCCCAAGCAAGUCUGAAAGCUAUUAGAAUUGUUCUUCCCCAGCAGUCGGGUAUGAAAUACUGUAAUCCCUAGUGGAGGUGUCUUUGAGUAGUCUGUUCCUCAGCAGUCAGGUCUGAAGUACUGUAAUCCCCAGCAGGGUCGAGUUUGCAAUUUCCCCGGCAGGGUUGUGAUUGUUUUCCCCAGCAAUUUUGGAAUGGGUAGUCUUCCCAGCGGAGGUUUGCGUUGAUGGUUUUCCCCAACGAAGUCCCCAAGUGGAUCAGGUUCGGUGAAAAUUAUCCCCAGUAGAGUUAAUCCUGCUCAUGGGUUGGAAAUUAUCCCCAGUAGAGGUGAGCAUUGGUUGUUUCCCCUAGUGAAGUCCCCAAGUGGAUUGGAUUCAGUGAAGGUUGUCCCCGGUGGGAUUUAUCCUUUCUCCAGUAGCAGUGCUAUUCCCCAGCACGGUUGAGAGGUUGGUGUGUUUCCCAGCCAGAGACUCCCCGGUUGACUUGGUUUCUCUGCCGUCCCUAGAGUAUCAGAUCAGCAAAGCACCCCCAGCAAUCCGUCUCCCCACAGAGUUGGAGGAUCAAAUCAGAAUUGUGUGCUCAGCAAAGCGAUCAUUUGCUCCCCGGCAGGAGUUUUCAUCAUUUUUGCAUCUUGCAUGUAGUAAUCAUUGCAUCCUCAAAUCGCGUAGCAUUUCCAUUCAAUAUGGAGCAUUACGCCAUAAAAACUCAAACAUAUGCAUACAUGUGUUACAACAGAUUGGAUGGUAUCCCCAGCAGAGACGGAUCAUAUUUCAACAUCUGUGGCACAUUUGCAGCAGUUGCUCCUGACAGCAUUCGAGAUUGAUAAUCCCCAGAGAGAUUUAUUUCCUCACCCGUCCGUGAAAGGAAAGCGUGACUCCCCAGCGUAGUCCCCGGCAAGUGUCUGGCCUCGUCUUGACACAUGUAGACGUCAUCCUUGUGACACCGGAAAGUGUCAUGUCAACACCCGUGUGUUUUUUUUCUUCGGUGUCGGUAAACAUCAUCUUUCGAUGUCGGUAAACAUCGAGUCCCAUCCCAGUCAUCGGUAAAUGUCUGGUCGUUUUUUGAUGUCGGUAAACAUCAUCUUUCGAUGUCGGUAAACAUCGAGUCCCAUCCCAGUCAUCGGUAAAUGUCUGGUCGUUUUUUGAUGUCGGUAAACAUCAUCUUUCGAUGUCGGUAAACAUCGAGUCUCAUCCCAGUCAUCGGUAAAUGUCUGGUCCUGUAUCUUUUCAUCAAUAAAUAUCAAAUCCUCAGUAGAGUCGUCGGUAAACGUCUUGUCUGGUUCCAGUUGUAAAUAUCUCUUUUCCUUCCCAGUUGGAGCUGCCAUCGGUAAAUGGCCCCGCUUUCCUUGGUAUCAGUGUAUAUAAAGUCGACUAUUCCAGACUGCCAUCGGUAAAUGGCCUCAUUUUCUUCGAUAUCGGUAAAUAUUGAAUGCCCAACUUAGUUGCCAUCGGUAAAUGGCCUUGAUUUCUGUGACAUCUAUUUCCCAACAGCCAUCGGUAAAUGAUCUUGCUGACGUUGAUAUCAGUAAAUAUCAAGUUGUUUUGAAGCCACCAUCGGUAAAUGGUCUUGCUUCCUUUUAAUAUCAAAUUCCCAGUUGAAGCCACCAUCGGUAAAUGGUCCCGCUUCCUUUGGAUGUUGUUUCCCAGCCUCCAUCCGUAAAUGGCCUCGCUUUCCUGAGUUUUUAUUGUGCAGCCGCCAUCGGUAAAUGGCCUCACAUUUCUUUGAUGCAUCCCCCGCAGAGUGCAAAUUUCUAUGGUUCUUUGGUAUUCAAUCCCUGUUUACCUUGAAGGUCUGACAGUCGUUGCUCUCAUCCGUUCAGGUUCCCAGUUGAUUGAAUAGGGGCAGCUGUAGCACCUCAAAAUCCCUGUUUACCUUGAAGGUCUGACAGUCGUUGCUCUCAUCCGUUCAGGUUCCCAGUUGAUUGAAUAGGGGCAGCUGUAGCACCUCAAAUUUGCACCCCCCAUUUGUACAUUCAUUUCAUUUUUAUGUCAUUAACAUUACAUUAACAUUGCAUAGUACAUUGCAUCUCAUCAGUCAAGACUGGCAUCAAGAGGAUUCAUCUGUGCAAGAGAUCAAGCAUUUACUUGAGAUGAAGGCCCUAUGGUUGUUCUAGAGAGCUCAUGUGAAUCAAGGAUCAUUUUUAAGCAACUUGACCAAAGGCUAGAGGCUCAAAAGUCAUCAGUGCAUGUCCAAGUCAUCUGAGGCCCAUAAAAGUCAACUGCAAGUCAACUGAGGGCUAGGAGAUGGAGAAAUGGUUUGAGACACUUCAUUCAUGUCCCAAAUAGGUUUAAUCAACAUAUCAAACUCAUACUUUGAAGAUUUUGAAGCCAGAUUAAAAGUUUCCAAAAAUGGAAAUGACCUGUAAUUUGAAAGUUUACAAAAAUGGCAAGUUUUUGGACCAACUUCAACUCAACUUUCCAACAUCAAAGAAGCUUAAAAUGAAAUUUUGUCCAACAUGAAAGCUGAAGAUCUUUCUCUCCCAUUUCCAAAAAGUCCAAGAUCAUGAGCAUCUGAUGAAUGGUUGAGCAGAUGUGAGCAAAUCAUUGCCACGUGUGCAUGGAACUUCAAAUGGCCAUAUCUUUUGAACCAAAACUCCAAAUUUGGUGCCUCUUUUUCUAAAAUGCUUCUCAUGUCAUGAAGUUUCCAAAUCAAUCAUCACAUUGCAUAAAAUGUUAUCACAUGAUCAUAAAUGGCCAUAUCUUUUGAACCAAAACUCCAAAUUUGGUGCCUCUUUUUCUAAAAUGCUUCUCAUGUCAUGAAGUUUCCAAAUCAAUCAUCACAUUGCAUAAAAUGUUAUCACAUGAUCAUUUGCAUACUCAUGCCCAUUUUGGAGGGAAAUUGCAAAAUUUAAAAAUGGUGCAUUACAUGAACUUUUUACCAUUGCCAAUGUGUUUUAAAAAUGAUUUUAAGUGCAUUUGAGCUGGUAAGGGUUAUUGUUCACGUGUGCAUGCUUCACACACCCUCCAAUUUGUCAUUUUUUGUCAUGCACCUUAUUUUGAUUAAUUUUAACUAAACCAUGCCUAAUUUGGAUUAAGAGUGGAUUAGUGAAGCAUAUAUAUUUAUAAUCAUAACAGAAUUGGAGGGAAUUCUAGAUCUAGAUCUCAAAUUUUUCUCUCCCUCCAAAAUUUUCUCAUAAUCAAAUUUCAAAUUUCUUUAACAUAGCAACUGCUUUUUAUUGAAGAUUCAUGAUCAGUGAGUGUGAUUGAGUGGGAAUCCAGCAUUUGUUGAAGAAUUGGAGCCAUAAUCGAGCAGUUGAAGUUCAAGAACAUUUCCAUGGAAGUUGAUUGGUGAGCUAGAUCUACAUGUUUCCAAGCUUCAAAUUGUUCAUCAAUCAUCAUAACAAGUAUUUUGGAGCUGAUUUGGACCAUUACAAGUGUUGAAUCGUGUGAAUCCAGAACCUGCUCUUCAAGAGGUGAAUUUUUCGACCUUCAUAAUCCUCAAAUUUAUGUACAUAUUUGUGUAGAUCUUUUAACACUGAUGAAUCUGGUGGAAAUUUCACAUGAAAUAAUGCAUUAUUGACUGAGAUAUGUGUGAUUCAAGUUUUGUGCACGAAUCCUCUUUUCAUCGAUUCUCAUUGAUCUUGUUGAAUUAAGCUUAGUUAUUACUUGAUCUGUGAUCUCCAUGGAAAGAUCUUUGAAAUGAUGUAGAAAUUUUGGAAAUCUGGAAAAUUUUCUUAACCUUGCCACUGUUCAUCUUCGUCUACAUGAAGAAGAUGAAGUAGCGUCCGUUCUAGCGUCCAUUUUGCCACCGUCUGGUUAUUGCUUAGGUGGCUAGGGUUUUGUCUUAUCUAUAUGUCCACGCGAGCGUCCAUUAGGCAAGUUGAUUGGUUCAAAUUGUUUGACCUUGUUUGACUGCGCUUUGACUGUUGACUGGCACGCCCAGUCAUAAAUGAAACGCAGCGUUUCACUUAGUGUGGCGCGCACUCAUUUGAAUUUGAACGCGGUUCGAUUCUUGCCUGUGCCAAUAUUUCAAAAGUUUCAGCAUUUUAAUUCUUCCCUCCAUAUUUCACAUGCCAUGUUCAUUUUGAUUUUAUUUUUUUAGCCAAUUUAAAAAAUUCAUAACUCAUUGAAUAUUAAUCCAAAUGAUCCCCAAUUUGUUGCCAAAUGAUCCUUGUAAUGUCUAGUUUUUUUUGGUGUGAUGUCCUGAUUUUUACCAUGCCUGGAUUUUUGACUUGUGUUAGAACGAUUGAAUAUGUGUACAUUUGUGACAUUGCCUUGCUCUUCCUAUCAUAAAAUGCUAAAAAAUAAUCCAAUGGCCAUGACAUUUUGUGUGUAGGCUCUUAACAUGUUGAUUGACAUUUUAGGCUUGGUUUUACAUUUUUCUCAUGCUCCUUCCCUGUUUUAUGUACAUGUUAAUAUGGUGUGACAAUGCAUGUCACACAAUUUGGAUGUCCUAUUUCAUCAUUUCCAUUGAUAGGCCAAUUGAUCUUUGAUGCUCCUGAUUUUUGGUAUGUUGAUUCUAUUGGACAUGUUGUAUGCUCAUGAUUUUUUCCAUAAUUGUUUGGUGCAUUUCUGAUUUAAUGUGCAUUUUCACACUUGAAUGCCCAAUUGAUGAUCAUGUUGUGUGUCUUUGCCAUAUUUUGUUCACCACAUGACCUUGCUUGAUGAUUUUGGUUUGGUCCUUUUUAGGAAUUGAACUUGAUUGAAUAAACAUGCUUUGUGUUGAAUAUCAAGUUCUGUUUUGGCUUUUUGAUCCACUUUUGACCCUAGGCUUUGACCUAGUGGUUUGGACUUACCAUUUGGGUUGUGAAUUUCAGGUUCAAGUAUGCAUCCAUGAUUGAUGUUGCUCCUUCAUUUGAGCUUGGUCAUUUGUUGUUGUUGGCUAACAUUUUGUUUGUUUUGUAGGCUUUGAUGAUAAUUCACUUGAGUGUUUGCCUUAUGGCUUACUCAUUGUUCAUAAUGGAUUUGUCUGUCUGUUGAGAUCCAUUGACUGUUGUCUGUUUGUCUGAGUAUUGUACGGAUUGUGUUUAGUUGUUUACACAGGUACCUAAGUUGCUUUAAGUUCAUUUGAACUUUGCUUUGCUUGCAUGUGGUUGGCAUACCACUUAGGUAAUGACCUCUGACUUCAUGUAGUCUGGAAGACUUGUCAUGUACUUUGGCAGGCACCUGUCUGAAGCCCUCCUUAAGAGGCAAUGUUUGUGCUUGUUUAUCUUUGUGCCUUGUACAUUCAAAGGACCUCCUAAGUGAAGAGGCAUUGCAGAUAGAAGGGAUGUGCAAUCCUUCCCCUGCUAUCAUUUGUGUCAUUCAUCCUGCUCAUACCAUGUGUUGAUGCACUUUGAAUAAAAACCCAAGAUCUUGUUUGUCAGUCAUGUGGAGUAGAGUCCCACAUUCUGAACUCCACACUUUCAUUGAUUGAAGCUCUCCCAGGCCAGGGAUAAGAGCUGUGAGGUCUUACCCUCACUUCCCAUUUCAUCUGCUUCACCCUAACUCUCAAUGUUAGGGUUAAGAGCUAACAACACCCUUUUCCAGUUGGCUUGUUUGUCGAGGUUGAUAUGACCCCUUGACUAAAGCCCAGCCUUGUGUGAGCCAAUUGUUUGCAUAUAGUGUGUGAUACUUGUGCUUGUGUUUGCUUAUCUACUGUUUAGGCUAGCUUGCUCACUGUGCAAGUUAGGUUAGGAUUGGAGACCUCAACAUAGGGAUCGUAUGCAUGACAACUUCUAGGCUCGAGUCGUAGUCUCCCUAGUAGCUUGUUAUCUCCCUAGUCUCUUGUUAGGAUAGAAGUUCUUUCCCUGAUAAGGGGAACUACGUCGCCCUGAUCCUCAUACCAGAUGAGGUACAUGGGCAGGAGAUUGAGCUGAUCUCUCCGGGCAACCUUUUGUUUUUUCAACCUCUUUUUGUGUGUUGUUGGUCUGGAGUCUGACAUAAGUCCAUCGAUUGGCAGUCGGUUUCCUGUGUGUGUUUGUUUGUCUGGAGUCUGACAUAAGUCCAGCGAUUGGCAGUCGAUUUCCUGUGUGUGUUUGUUGGUUCGGAGUCUGAUGUAAGUCCAGUGAUUGGCAUUCGGUUUCCAUGUUUGCCUGUGUGUCUGGAGUUGGAUGUAAGACCAGCGAUUGACAUUCUGUUUCCAGUUGUGUGUUUGUUUGGCUGUGUGUCUAGAGAAGAUACGUAUGCAUAGGAUGCGACAUCCUAGCGAGCACGUUUCCCUUGUCCCCGAACUACGUCGACUCUGAUGUCUGUGUCUGACAAACUACGUAGGCCCAGGAUGCGAUAUCCUGCCGAGUCACCUUCUUCCUUCUUUCAUCUGUGUUUGUUUCCAGUGUGUGCGCAUUCUUUGAACAGUUAUCCAUCAACCUUUCUUCUAUUCUUUUGAGCGUGGAUCCCGUCGAGUACGACGGAUGCGUAGGGGUGCUAAUACCUUCCCUUCGCAUAACCGACUCCCGAUCCUUGCAUCUCUGGUCGUGAGACCAUUCCUUUCCAGGUUUACUUCGAGCAUACCUUCCCUUCGCAUAACCGACUCCCGAUCCUUGCAUCUCUGGUCGUGAGACCAUUCCUUUCCAGGUUUACUUCGAGCGUUUCCUUUCCCUCCUUUGGGAUAAAUAACGCACGGUGGCGGCUCUGUUUCUUCUUUUUCCCUUUGGUUUUUCGUGUAAUGCGACAUGAUGCCUUGGCCACAUUGUCUUCCAUGAUUAAAGUUCAUUGGCAGAAUCAUGUGCCACACGUUGCUGUGAAUCGACUCGAGAGGCCUGCGUAUGUGUUUGCUGCCGAGUCUGUUAUUGAUGAAAAGCCGUGGUUCUAUGAUAUUAAGAAUUUCCUAAAUGCCAAGAGUAUCCUGAAGGAGCGUCAAAGAAUGACAAGAAGACAUUGAGAAGGCUAGCUAGAAGCAGACAUGUUAAUUUAGGAGUACACGAGGGAUCUUUCGGUACCCAAGUUGGUGGUCAUGCAAUGUCCAAGAAGUUGUUAAGAGCCGGUUAUUACUGGAUAACCAUGGAAUCCGAUUAUUUCAAAUUCGCUCGGAAGUGCCAUAAAUGUCAGAUCUAUGCAGAUAAAGUGCAUGUACACCCAAACCCUCUGAAUAUCAUGAAUUCUCCUUCGCCAUUCGCGAUGUGGGGCAUCGAUAUGAUUGGGAAGAUUGAACCUAUUGCUUCUAAUGGGCAUCGCUUCAUCCUAGUCGCGAUUGAUUACUUCACCAAGUGGGUGGAAGCAGCUUCCUAUGCCAAUGUUACCAGACAAGUGGUUGCCCGAUUCAUUAAGAAGGAAAUUAUCUGUCGCUGUGGGGUUCCUGAGAGAAUCAUCACUGAUAAUGGUUCGAAUCUCAAUAACAAGAUGAUGAAAGAGCUAUGCAAAGACUUUAAAAUCGAACACCACAAUUCUUCUCCUUACAGACCAAAUAUGAAUGGUACUAUAGAGGCGGCAAUCAAGAACAUUAAGAAGAUUGUGCAAAAGAUGGUUGUGACGUACAAGGAUUGGCAUGAGAUGUUGCCUUUCGCUUUGCAUGGGUACCGUACUUCAGUACGUACGUCGACCGGGGCAACCCCCUACUCCCUUGUGUAUGGUAUGGAAGCAGUCCUACCUGUUGAAGUGGAGAUUCCUUCUCUAAGAGUCCUGUUGGAUGUCAAGUUAGACGAAGCUGAAUGGGUUCGAACAAGGUUCAAUGAGUUGAGUCUUAUCGAAGAAAAGCGUUUAGUAGUUGUGUGCCAUGGGCAACUAUAUCAGAGAAGGAUGAAGAAGGCCUUUGAUCAGAAGGUGCGUCCUCGAAGCUAUGAGAUAUGUGACUUGGUUUUGAAGAGGAUCUUGCCUCCCGAUACAGAUAACAGGGGCAAGUGGACUCCGAAUUAUGAAGGUCCGUAUGUUGUUAAAAAGGUCUUUUCUGGUGGAGCCUUGAUGCUUACAACUAUGGAUGGUGAAGAUUUUUCGUCCCUUGUGAAUUCAGAUGUAGUCAAAAAAUACUUCGCAUAAAUUGACUCGCUGGACAAAAAAAAAAGGAGUCCAGGCAAAAAAGGGCAUCCCGGCGAACCCAGAGAAAAAGAAAAAGGUCCGGGCAAAAGUUAGGGAUAAAGAAUAAAAAUAAUAUGUACACCUGGUAAGUCGAAAACCUGCAAAGGUGGCUUAGGCAAAAAUGGGUAUCCCGGUGGAUUGAAAACCUGAAAAGGCGGUCCAGGCAAAAGAGGGAUUAAAGCGAAGACUACAGUCUGAGUUAUCUGUACUUAAAAAAUGGGUAUCCCGGUGGAUUGAAAACCUGAAAAGGCGGUCCAGGCAAAAGAGGGAUUAAAGCGAAGACUACAGUCUGAGUUAUCUGUACUUCAUCGCGUUUCAGUGUCUACCAUCUUGAAGGAUGUGACCGGUCCAAUCAUUCUUCUCAGGAGGCGAAGAAUUUGGGGGAAAUUGAGGAUCUAUGAGUCAUAACAGAAUUGGAAAAUGGUGGAAUGUCGUGUUCACAUUGCCAAUAGGAUAGUUUAUUUCCUCUUUUGACGCAAUUACCUCUUCCUAGGAAUUGCUUCCUGAUGUAUUUGCCUUUAUAUUCCAUUUUCAAUCAAUAAAAGUCGUUAUUCAGUCAAAUUGCUCUCUUGUUUUUUAUUUUACUGUUUUGUUUGCAAAAAACAUCCGAAUUUUUGAUAAACAUUGCAUCUAAAAACAUGAAGGCUAGACAAUGACGUGCGGAAAGAUAAAACAUUUGAAAAUCAUUUUGAAUGUUGAGUACACUUGAGUGUAUUUUGUCCCUGUGACCCCCUAGGGCAUGUAUGUCGUGCUGUUUUGUAGGUUACUAUCAAGGAUUGCUGGCUAAAGCAGAUGAGCCGAAGUUUGUUCAAAGGUGUUUCAACACUGUCCAGUAUUGUGAGAAGUUGGGUCGUCUAAGUCAAGUUCAGAACUUGUCUCCCCAGCGGGUUUCGAGGUCGGUGUUUCCUCAGCAGCCAGGCCUAAAGUUUGUUGUUUCCCCUACCAGGGUUAAGAGUGUGUCCCCAGCAAGUUUGGAGGUUGUUGUUUCCCCAACGGAGGUAUGCGUUGGUAGUUUUUCCCCAGUGAAAUCCCCAAGCAGAUCGGGUUCAGUGGAAGUUGUCCCCAGUGAGGGUUAUCCUUUCCCCAGCAGCAGUGAUAUUCCCCAGCAUGAUCGAGAGGUUGGUGUUUUCCCAACAAGUGACUCCCCAGUUGAGUUGGUUUCUCUGUCGUUCCGAGAAUGUCAGAUCAGUAAGUAUCCGCUGCAGAAUUUUUGUGUGUCCCCACAGAGUUGGAAGAUCGAAUCAGAAUUGUGUGCUCAGCAAAGUGAUCAUUUGCUUUCCUAGCAGGAGUUUUCCUCCCUUUGCAUCUUGUAUAUAGUAAUCAUCAUUUGCAUUCGCAUUCUCAAAUCGCGUAGCAUUUCCAUAGAAAACUCAAACAUAUGCAUACAUGUGUUAAACCAGAUUAGAUCAUAUCCCCAGCAGAGGCGGAUCUUUUUUCAACAUCUGUAUGGCACAUUUGCAGCAGUUGCUCUUGGCAGCAUUCAGAAUCGGUAAUCCCCAGAGAGAUUUAUUUCUUCACCUGUCCGUGAAAGGAAAGCUUGAUUCUCUCCCCAAUUUAGUCCCCGGCAAGUGUCUGCCUUGUUUUGACAUAUGUAGAUGUCAUCCUUGCGAUACCGGUAAGUGUCGUGUUGAUCCCCGUAAUGUCUGUUUUUUGGUGUCGGUAAACAUCAUCUUUCGGUAUCGGUAAACGUCGGAUUCCAAUCGUUGGCCAUCAGUAAAUGGAAUACCUCUCAUGGUGUCUACAAAGAAUUGUUCUGUUAACACCCGUGUGUGUCCUUUCUUUUUGAUGUCGGUAAACAUCAUCGUUCUAUGUUGGUAAACAUCGGUCGCUUGUUAACCAUCGGUAAAUGGUUUUGUCGUUUUAGAUUCCCCGAAAAAUUCACUAUCCGUAAAUAUCAACCAUCGAUAAAUGGUUUCGUUCAUAAGUAUUUCCUUUGUUCGAUGUCGGUAAACAUCGAGUUCUUUCCCAGUCAUCGGUAAAUGUUUGGUCGUGUAUCCUUUCUUCCCAGUCAUCGGUAAAUGUCUGGUCGUGUACCCUUUGUUCGAUGUCGAUAAACAUCGAGUUCCUUCCCAGUCAUCGGUAAAUGUCUGGUCGUGCAUCAUUGUUCGGUGUCGGUAAAAAUCGAGUUCUUUCCCAGUCAUCGGUAAAUGUCUGGUCGUGAAGUGUUUUCGUUGAUAUUGGUAAAUGCCAAUUCCUCAGUAGAGUCGUCGGUAAGCGUCUGGUCUUGUUCCAGUUCUAAACAUCUUUUUCCUCCCCAGUGGAAGCCGCCAUCGGUAAAUGGCCUCGCUUUCCUUAAUAUCGGUAAAAAUCAAUUCUUGUUUUGAAGCCGCCAUUGGUAAAUGGCCUCGCUUUCCUUGAUAUCGGUAAAUAUCAAACCUUGUUUGGAAGCCGCCAUCGGUAAAUGGUCUCGCUUUCUUUGAUAUCGGUAAAUAUCGAUCCUGUUUUGAAGCCGCCAUCGGUAAAUGGCCUCGCUUUCUUUGAUUCGUCACUUACGGAGUGCAAAUUCUCCGGUUCUUUUGGUAUUCAAUCCCUGUUUACCUUGAAAUUAUGAUAGUCGUUGCUUUCAUCCGUACAGGUUCUUAGUUGAUUGAAUAGGGGAAGUUGUAGCACCUCAAAUUUGCCCUCCCCAUUCAUGCAUUCAUUCAUUUUUUUUAGGUCAUUUAUCAUUCCAUGUUGCAUUCCAUCCUGUUAACCAGAAUUGGCAUCAAGAGAAUUCUUUGUGCAAAAGAGCAAGUCUUUCCUUGAGAUGAAGGCCACAUGAUUAUUCUAAAGAGCUUAUAUGAGCUAGGGUUCUUUUUGAAGCAAUUUUACCAAGUGGUAGAGGCCCAAUUUCAUCAGUGCAUUUUCAGGUCAUUUGAGGACCAUAAAAGUCAACUGUGCAAUCAACUGAGGGCUAUGAGUUGGGGAAAUGAUUUGAUACAUCCCAAUCAUGUUCAUUUAAGGCCUAUUCAUCAUGUCAAACAUCUAUCUUGAAGAUUUUGAAGUCAAAUCAAAAGUUUCCAAAAAUGGAAAAUGACCUGUAAUUCAAAGUUUCCAAAAAUGGCAAGUUUUUGGUCCAUAUUCAACUUGAUUUUCCAACAUCAAAGAAUCUUCAAAAGGAUUUUUGGUGAACAUGGAAGUUGAGGAUCUUUCUCUCCUCUUUUCAAAAAGUCCUAUAUCAUGUCUAUAUGAUAAUUGGUUGGGAAGUUAUGGCCAAAUGAUCACAAAGUGUACAUGGAAGUUUAAAGUGACAUAACUUUUGAUCCAAAACUCCAAAUUUGUCCACUCUUUUUGCAAAAUGCUUGUCAUGACCAAUACUUUUCAAAUCAACCAUUGCAUUGCAUGAAAAAAGCUCAUAUGAUCACUUGCCCAUACAUGUGCAUUUUGGAGGGAAAAUUGAUAAUUCAAAUUUGGUGGAUGAUACAACCAAUUUGAUCAUUCCAUGUUGAUUAUUGGAUGAUUUGAAGUGAGAUUUAAGCUAUUGCAUGAACUGUUCACGUGCACAUGUCCAUGCAUAACCUCAUUUGCAUGUUUUUGCACUUUGCUUUACAUUUCAUUAAUCAAGAUUAACCAAGCCUAAUUGUGAUUAGCAUGAUGAUUAGCACCUCAUAUAAAUAGAAAAUCAUAACUGUUUUUGCUGAGAACAACAAUUUCAGAUCUCAAAUUCACACUUCCCUCCAUUUUUUCUCUCUCUUCAAAACUCCAAAUUUCUUCACACAAGUCCUCAAUUUCUUUGCAUAUUCUGGUUAAGCAUGGAAUUUUGAGUAAGAAUCCACGCCUGGUUUGAAGAAUUGAGCGAGAUUUGAGCUGGUUCAUGAACAUUCAUACAUUGAUGGAAGAUUGAAAUUGAACAAGAUCUAGUGGAUUUCAAGUGCUUCUUUAUACACAAAGCUUCAAGUUACAAGUAGAGGAGAAGAUCUGGAGAAUUUGAGCACCUGAGGAUGCGUAUAAAGUUGUUGCCAUUUCCAAGUAGGUUGAAUUUGAUCCUCACUUUUUGAUGUUUCAUGUACAUGAUUGUGUAGAUCUCACUGUGUUGAACAUGCUGAUAUGCUUAGAAUUGAUUUUGGUUAGAAAUUGAGUUAAUUAUGAUGAUUAAAAGUUUGGAUGUGAAAAAUGUUUCUCUUCGAUCUGUGCGUAUUAGUGAGAGUUAGAUUGAAUGAACAUGAUAUUCGUGAUCUACAUUGAAAGACCUUUCCAACCAUAUGCAUUUCAUGCGAUUCUGGAAAAAAAAAUUUGAGCUCCGCCGCGUACACGGUCGGAGAAGAUGGUUUAAACCACCGUGUGCCACCGCCUGGUUUUGGCAUAGGGUUUGUGUCUCCAAACACUGCGUUUUGGAUUUUCUCUUUGAUCCUAGCUUGCACGGGUUCGAAUCCUGGCGUGCGUUUGCUUUGGAUUUAAUUGUUGAAAAUUCGCUUGAUCCGUCCACACCUGAGUUCGAACCUAGCGCAUGCAUUUUUCUGAUUUUCCAAUUGAUUUUUCAUUAAGCGCUUCUUGGACCGUGUGUACCUGUGUUCGAAACCUAGCGCAUGUUGUUUGUGAUUUCCAAUUGAUUUUUCACUUGAGCGCUCUUUGUCCCUUGGAGCGUGUGUUCGAUACUGGCCUGGUGCAUUAUGUUGAUAUUAUUUGAAUUUUGUUUUCCCUCCAUUGCCAUUUUUGUUCAUAAUAUUCAUUCAAAUUUAAAAAAUCAUAAAAAAUAGUAGGAAUGUCCAAAUUGAUCCAAACUCUUUUUCACAUGUUUGUUUUAAUGUCUAGAUUUUUAUAGGAUUUAUUUCCUGAUUUAUGUGCAUCUGGAUUUUUAAUUGGGAAUUGUUGUUUGAACAUGAUGCCAUAUUGACAUGUUGCAUUCAUUUGCUUGUGAAAUGCUCAUGGUUAAUCCAAUUGAUUUGAAAUUUGACAUGCUUGAUCCUAACAUGUGAUGUGAUUUUUUGGAUUUGGUUUGAGAUUUUUAUCAUAUACUAUCACUGUUUUGGACACAUGAACAUAUGGUGUGACAAUUUGUGUCACACAUUUGAUGUUGCAUUUGUGCAUUUUCAUUUACAUAUCAUUUGAGCUCUUCUGGACUUAAUGUUUUGCAUGAUGUUCAUUCCUAACAUGUUAAUCUCACAUAAAAAAUUUCAUGAUCAUUGGAUGCUUUUCUGUUUUGAUUUGGAUUUUCUAUUUUUGAUGUCCAACUUUGAUCACAUUGCUUGCCUUUGCUUUACCUUGAUCAUUUGAUGGCUUUGCCUUAUGGAUUGGUUUUGGUCCUUUUGAGGACUCUUUAUUGUUUGGUUGAAUGUGCUUCAUGUGAAAUAUUGACUUCUGUUUUGGUCAUUUGACUUGCCUUUGACCCUAGUCUUUGUACUAGGGGUUUGUACUCACCAAUUGUGUUUUGUGUUUCAGGCAUUGAGCAUUUAGCACUAAGGUUUGGUUUGGUCUCAUUACUUGAGAUGCAAGUUACUUUGAUUACUAACUCUUGUUGUGUUGUAGGUCCAUUGAUGUGAUGAACUCACUUGAGUGCUUGCACUUAUGACUUGCAUUGUGUAGAUAUUGGAAAGUUCCACUGUUGUUGUCUGUUUGGUUUUCUGAAUACAAUAUUAUUUGUUUGGCUUUUGUACAGGUACAUUAGUUGCUUUUAGCUCUUGAUUGAGCUUUGCUUUGGAGUGUGGUUGAUACACCACUUAGGUAGCCACUCUUAUACUCCAUGUAGUCUGGAAGUCCUGCCACCUUUUUGGCAGGCAUUUGGCUGAAGUCCUCCUUAAGAGGCCAUGAUUGUGAAUUUUUACAUUUGUGCUAAAGACCUCCAAGUGAGGCAUGUUACUUGAUAAGUCCUCCUAAGUGAAGAGGAAAUUGACAGAUAAAAGGGAUUAGCAAUCAAUCCCCUGUUAUUCAAUGAGUCAUUCAUUAUGCUCGCACUACGUGCUGAUGCUCUUGAACCUAACCCAAGAUCUUUGUAUAGAGUCAGUCAAGUGGAAUAGGGUCCCUCUUUCUGGAUCCCCACACUUUCUUUGAUUUGAGCUCACCCAGGCCAGGGUUAAGAGCAUGAGGUCUCAUCCUCAUUACCACAUUUCAUCAGCUUCACCCUAACUCUCAAUGUUAGUGGUUAAGAGCUUCAGCAUACCCCUACAGUUUGGCUUGUUUGUCGAGGUUGAUAUGACCCCUCUUGACUAAAGCCCAACCAUUUGUAUGAGCCUCUUGUUUGUAUAUUGAGUGUGAUGCAUGUUCACUUGUGAUUGAUGUUUAUUUGCCGUUUGAGCUGACUUACUUCCUCAUGUGAGUUAGAUUCUGAUUAGAGACCUCAACGUAGGGAUCGUUUUGCAUGACACUUUUAGGCUCGGUCUUAGUCUCCUAUUAGUUUGUUGUCUCCCUGGUCUCUGGUUAGGAGAGAGUUUCUCCCCUGUUAAGGGGAACUACGUCGCCCUGAUUCUCAUACCAGAUGAGAUACGUAGGCAGGAGAUUGAGCGAGAUCUCUCCGGGCACCCUUUUGUUUUUUUUUUUGUGUGUGUGCACCCUUUCACCUUUUUUUUCUUUUUUGUGUGUGUUUGUUAGGAGUUAGAUGUAAGUCCAUGGAUUGGCAUUCUGUUUCCUCGUUUGUGUUUGUUUGUUAGGAGUUGGAUGUAAGUCCAUGUAUUGGCAUUCUGUUUCCUGUUUGUUGUUUGGAGUCGGAUGUAAGUCCAGGUAUUGGCAUUCUGUUUCCUUUUGAGUGUUUGCUUUGACGUCUCAGCGUCUCUUUUGGUGUUUUUUUUCGGCGUGCGUUAGCCGAGCUACGAGUGUUCUGAUUCUUUCUCUUGUUAGAGAAGAUACGUAGGCAUAGGAUGCGAUGUCCUAGCGAUCAUGUUCCCCAUUUACCCGAACUACGUUGACUCUGAUGCUUGUUUCUGACAAACUACGUAGGCCCAGGAUGCAACAUCCUGCCGAGUCCGCUUCCCCCUUCCUCUUCUUUCACCUGUGUUUUAUCCCAGUUUGUGCAGAUUCUUUGAGCAGUUUUACUAGCAACCUUAUCCUAUUCUUUUGAGCGUGGAUCUCGUCGAGUACGACGAACGUGAGGGGGUGCUAAUACCUUCCCCUUGCGUAACCGACUCCCGUACCUUGCAAUCUCUGGUCGUAAGACCGUUCCUUUCCCUUCCUUAGGUUAGUCCUGCGCUCCCUUUCCGUCAGAGGAUGAAUAGCGUCGGUGGCGGCUCUGUGUUUUUCCCGCCGGUUGUUUUUCGCGUUGUGAUAUCAUGCAAAGCAAAUUGCAACAUCUUGUGCCAAUCUUUGUAAGUAACAACCAUCUUCUGGACGAUCUUCUUGAUAUUCUUAUUAGCAACUUCAACAGCCCCAUUCAUCUUGGGUCUAUAAGGAGAAGAAUUAUGAUGUGCAAUCUUGAACUCGCUACACAGCUCUUUCAUCAUUUUGUUGUUCAAGUUAGAUCCAUUAUCAGUAAUGAUCUUGUCGGGCACACCAUAAUGGCAUAUGAGUUGAUUCUUGAUAAACUUCAAAACCACCUUCCUGGUCAUGUUUGCAUAUGACGCCGCUUCAACCCACUUGGUGAAGUAAUCAAUUUCUACGAGAAUAAACAUGUGCACGUUGGACGCUUUCGGCUCUAUCAUGCCAAUCAUGUCAAUUCCCCACAUAGAGAAAGGCCAUGGUGAUGAAAUCACAUUCAGAAGUGUCGGGGGAAUAUGAAUCUUAUCCGCAUAAAUCUGACACUUAGUCAGACUCCAUUGUCAACCAAUAGUAGCUUACUCUCAAUAUCUUUCUAGCCAUGGCAUGCAUUGGAAUGAGUACCAAAUGAACCCUCAUGGACUUCAGUCAUCAACAGGUCUGCUUCGUGUCUAUCCACGCAUCUGAGCAGAACCAUGUCAAAAUUCCUUUUAUAAAGCACAUCGCCAUUGAGGAAGAAACUGCCUAAUAAUCUCCUCAAAGUUUUCCUAUCUUUCACAGAUGCCCCAGGCGAGUAAAUCUGACUUUGGAGAAAACACUUGAUAUCAUAAUACCAUGGCUUAUCAUCCUUCACUUCUUCAACUGCAAAUACAUGAGCUGGUUUGUCCAAGCGCAUCACAGUGAUAUUGGGAACCUCAUUCCAGAGUCUUACCACGAUCGUCGAAGCAAGUGUAGCAAGUGCAUCUGCCAUCCGAUUCUCAUCUCGAGGAAUAUGAUGGAAGUCAACCUCAGUAAAAAAUGUUGAAAUCCUCCUCGCAUAAUCUCUAUAUGGGAUGAGGCCGAGCUGAUUCGUCUCCCAUUCACCCUUAAUCUGAUUAACAACAAGGGCCGAAUCACCAUAAACAUCAAGAUGCUUGAUCCUAUGAUCAAUACACUCUUCCAAUCCCAUGAUACAGGCCUCAUAUUCCACCAUAUUAUUCGUGCAUUUGAAAGUUAAUCUUGCUGUAAAAGGAAAAUGUGUGCCCUGAGGAGUAAUAAUUACUGCCCCAAUACCAUUUCCAUACUGAUUUAUAACGCCAUCAAACACCAUGCUCCAUCGGGAACCAGACUCUGGCCCUUCAUCGAGCGUAGGCUCAUCACAAUCUUUCAUUUUCAAAUACAGAAUCUCUUCGUCUGGGAAGUCAUAUUGAACUGACUGAUAAUCCUCGAUUGGUUGAUGUGUCAAGUGGUCAGCCAAGAUACUACCUUUAAUAGCUUUCUGAGCUCGAUACUCAAUAUCAUACUCAUAUAAUAACAUCUGCCAACGGGAAAUCCUCCUAGUUAAAGCAGGCUUCUCAAAGAUAUACUUGAUUGGAUCCAUUUUGGAUAUCAGCCAAGUCGUAUGAUUCAACAUAUACUGGCGUAAGCGCUUAGCAGCCCAACCCAAAGCACAACAUGUUUUCUCAAGCAUUGAGUAUCGAGACUCACAAUCAGUGAACUUCUUACUAAGGUAGUAUAUAGCAUAUUCUUUCUUCCCGGAUUCGUCUUGCUGACCAAGGACACAACCCAUUGAGUCUUCAAGAACUGUCAGAUACAUAAUCAAUGGUCUCCCUUCCACAGGCGGAGACAAAAUCGGAGGCUCGGACAGAUACUCUUUGAUACUGUCAAAGGCUUUUUGGCAAUCCUCGGUCCAAUAAUUACGCUGAUCUUUCCGGAGGAGCUUGAAUAUCGGCGCACAUGUGGCAGUCAUGUGGGAUAUAAAUCUGGAAAUAUAAUUCAAGCGGCCAAGAAAACCUCGGACUUGCUUCUCAGUUUUAGGCGCAGGCAUCUCUUGUAUUACUUUGACCUUGGACGGAUCAAGCUCAAUACCUCUCUCGUUGACAAUAAAACCCAAUAACUUGCCGAAACAGACUCCAAAUGUACACUUGUUAGGAUUCAGACGAAGCUUAUACUUCCUCAAACGCUGAAAAAGCUUCAACAAGUGCUCUACAUGUUCAACUUCCAUUCUUAACUUUGCAAUCAUAUCAUCAACAUACACUUCGAUCUCCUUGUGCAUCAUAUCAUGAAACAAGGUAGUCAUAGCUCGUUGAUACGUGGCUCCGGCGUUCUUCAAACCGAAGGGUAUCACUUGAUAACAGAAUGUUCCCCAAGGUGUGAUGAAUGUUGUCUUCUCCAUAUCCUCGGGUGCCAUUUUAAACUGGUUAUAUCCGGAAAAUCCGUCCAUAAACGAGAAGACAUUGAAUUUAGCUGUAUUAUCUACCAAAAUAUCAAUGUGUGGUAGAGGAAAAUCAUCUUUCGGACUAGCUUUAUUCAAGUCUCUAUAGUCCACACACAUUUGUAAGGGCAAACUGUCAUACAACAUACGAUCAUAGGUUUCGAUGAUGACAAAUUACCACCAUGGAUGAAUCGGCUAACAGCUAAGGUGGAGAUGUUUUGUUUACGUUGUAUAGUGGAAUCAUAUCCUUUUUUAUGUUCAUCUAAACUGUUAUAUUUCAUACAACAUAUGUGGAUAAAAUGUGGUCAUGACAAAAUGCAUGAAAACCACAAAAAUCAGAAUUUUUGCAGAUUUGCAGGGUUUGAGUCGACCGCAGGGUCGGCGCAUAACAUAGUGCAUUUCCUCACGGGUCAGCGCACGAAGGCUUGAGUCGACCGCAGGGUCGGCGCAUGAAGGUUUCACUUUUCCACGGGUCAGCGCAUGCCGACCUAUGGUCGACGCAUACUGAUGUGUUUUUCAGAUUGUCCAAAACUGCAGGCUAUGGUCGACCGUUCGUGCGCAAAUACAGCUUUUAAGUAAUUCCCACUUUGUUUGAAAAGUUGUUAAGUGGGUUGGUUGGUUUGUUACUAUAAAUAGAAGUUCAGUUACUUGUAUCAACCAACAUUUGAAAAAUUGAUUCAAGUGUACAAAGAACAAGAAAAAGUGAAAUAGGUGUCCAAGAUUCUUCAUCUUCAUCUUCAACAUCUCACAACACAUCAAUUAAACACAACCAUUUUUGAAGUGCUUUGUGAUUGGUUAAAGGUGAUAACAUUCCAAGCCGAGAUUGGGCAAUCCGGUUCGGGUUUGAAGCUUUGCGACAGGUUUUAUUUCUUCGAAUAUAAACCUUUAGCGUUUUGUCUCCUUUUAACACAUGACCCCUUGGUUGAUUUGCGGGUUAUUGGGACGAUUUCUUCAAUCAAUUUUCAGUUGAGGUGAAGUGGUUAAGAAGAGGAAAGCUCUUCAUAUCAUACAGUAGCACGGAUAUCUAGUAGAUAUUGAACGGCGAGAUUUCGGGUACGAUUUGUUCGUUGUUGAGCAUCAUCCGGGCCGAUGGGUUUUGAAGAACUGCGAUUAUUCAACAAAGGGGCUGGAAUCGGAGGUCUAUCAACAACAAUCGAAGGACUUGAUUCACCUUGAAUCAAGGAACAAGGAGUGGAAGCAACAUUCAACGUCUUGAGAAUUCUGUUGUAUUUUUGCUCUUCAAUCCUUGUAUAAACUGUAAUACUCAACAGGUGAUAUCUAUUAAAGCAAUCUCAAUUCUAGUUUUAGAAUUGAGGGCAGACGUACCCCGAAGCGAGGACGACGGGGGAACUGCCUCAUCAAAUCUUGUCUUCUCUAGUUUUUCAGCAUAUUUGUAUUUAGCUUAAAAAUAAGUGAUUUUUAUAUACGCACUUUUAUCAAACCUUGAUAUUAAUUGAGUAAGAAAUUAAAACUCUGUUUUUGAAUUCAAACUAUAAUAAGAUAUUGUACUAGACUAAUUGGAAUCACUUACUCAACAUAAAUAUCACUUGGAGUGUUUUUGCACACCAAGUGUUUGAUAAUUUGCCUAAACCAAAAUUAUCUUAGUUGUGUAUCUAGUGCCAAAUAAUGUUGUCAAGCAGAGUAUGGUAAGAUCAUUUCUUCUGUCUGAUGACGGUGCACUUUCGGCUGCCAUCCCUGUUAAUACAGUCGUCAAAAAUCUUAUUAUUACAACGACAUGGAAUGAACUCGGCCCUACUAAUGAAUGUAAUCGUUGAUGAGAAUGACGUGAAUCUCUUUGCGAUGUCGUCAAUGGUUUCGCUUGCUUGCCAUGAAAAAGAGAUCAAACUCUUGUGUUGUAGUGUUGAUUCUUGUCCAACUUAACUAAUCGUUCGGGUCCUCAGGCGAUUUGUUUAGUGAAUCCCACAUGGCCGUUAGCAGUUGGACAGUGGAUCAACGAUAGUUCAUCUACACUAGAUGAGGAGAUUAGGAUAUUUUUGGCUUCCACAAUAAAUGUGUAAUUUCUUGCUUCAUCGAUUCAUCGGUCCAUUGUGCUUCGGCUUUUGGCACUAAUUCAAUAUUCUCAUUGGCAUGGUAUGUUCAAAUUGUGACCAUAUCAAAUAAGGUUCCGAGUUUUUCUAUCUAUGGAAUUUAGUGCGAGCAGCCGUAAUACAGUCUUUCCAAUAACUUAUAAUUUCGAACCCGUUGAAACGAGUCUUAUUAUAAGCCCCUUUAGUGUUCGUUAGUCCCAUUUUCUAUCAAAUAGUUAUAUUUUGAAGCAGGAUGAACCGUUGCUCCUGAUACCACUUGUUAAGACAUUGGCACGCGAUCUAGAGGGGGGGGGGUGGGUUGAAUAGAUCCCAAUUAAAAUUUGAGUGGCGCUACCAAUAAGAUUGGUUUUUGAAAAAUUGUUUUAAGUCUCGAAGAGCGGCCAAGAAGAUGAAAAUAUAGUCUAAAAACGACGGUUCAUUGGAAACCGGCAUAAUGCGUCUACCUAUGGAUUAAUUGAUAAUGCUAGAAUAAGAAUCACUAACUUCACACGUACUCAAAUGAUUUAUUCACUGUUCGCAGAUUCCUAGUUCCAAUGAUGCAAAGAGUAUCGAAAAGCUUAGAUACAGCAAACGUAAGAUAAUCUUUUGGUUUAGGCAAAAUUAUCAAACACUUGUGUCAAAACACUCCGCCAAGUGAUUAUUUAUGUUGAGUAAUGUGAUCAAUAGUCUAGUACCAAUAUCUUAUUAUAGUUUGAGUUUCAAUAAACAGUAGUUUUUAAUUUCUUACUCAAUAAUAUGAUCAAGGUUUUGAUAAAGUUGGUUAUUAAAAUACACUUAUUUAAGCGUAAGAUACAAAUAUGCUCUGAAAAACUAGAGCAAGAACAGAGAUUAGAUGAGCAGAUUCCCCCGUCGUCUCUCAGGCUUCGGGGUACGUCGCGCCUCAAUUCUAAAACUAAAUUUGGAUGUCUGCUUUAAUAGAUUAUCACUCUGGUUGAGUUAUUGAGUUUAUACAGAUGAUGAAGAGCAUAAAUAACAACGAAUUCUCAAGACGUUUGAAUGAAUUGUCUCCACUUCCUUGUUCCUUGAUUCAAGGCUGGAAUCAAGUCUGUCAGAUAUGUUGUUGCGAUAAUCUCCGAUUCCAGCCCCUUUGUUGAAUAACGCUCAGUCUCUUUCAAAACCAUCGGCCGGAUGAUGCCAACAAAUCAACAAAUCGACCCGAAAUCGUCGCCGCUUUCAAUAUCACUAGAUGAUCCUGCUAUGUAUGAUAUUGAAUGACUUUCCUCUUCUUAACCACUUCACCGUCAGCUGAAAAUUGAUGAAGAAAUCGUCCCAAAACCCGCAAAAUCAACCAAGGGGUCUGUGUUCAGGAGGACAAAACUAAGGUUUAUAUUGCAGAAAAAACCUGUCGCCAAGCUUCAAACCCGAACCGAUUCGCCACAAUCUCGCGCUAUGGAAUGUUAUUCGACCUUUAACGUCAAUGCACUAAAGCACUUCAAAAUGGUUGUGUUUAAUUGAUGAUGUUGUGAGAUGUUGAAAUGAGAAGAUGAAGAAGUUGCGUGACAGCCUAUUCACGUUUUCUUUGUUCUUUUGCUACACGUUGAAUCCAAUUUUUCAAAUGUUGGUUGAUAACGAAGUAACUGAUACUUCUAUCGUAUAGGUAACAAACCAACCAAGACCCACUUAAAACGUUUCAACAAAGUGGCGAAUUACUAAAAGCUAGUAUUUGCGCACGACACUCGACCAUGAGCCCUGCAGUUUGACAAUCUGAAAAACACAUCAGUCAUUGCGUCGACCAUAGAGUCGCAUGCGCUGACGUGAAAAGUGACAACGCUUCUGCGCCGACCUGCUCCGCGACCAAGCAUUCGUGCGCGUGACCGUUGAGGAAAUGACUAGUUUAUGCCGCCGACCCUCGCGGUUUCGACUCAACCCUGUACGCAAAUCUCGCAAAACAUUGCUGAUUUUUGUGUUUUGCAGUGCCAUUUUGUUCAGACCACUAUUUUAUCCACCAUAUGUUGAAUGAAAGUUAAACAGUUUAGAGAUACAUUAUAAAAAGGAUAUGAAUAGGGUGAUCGAUGUUGCAUUUGUUUGUAGAGGUGGAAUCGACAUGCCGAUCGAUCCAUCAUGGUGGUAAGUUUGGUCAUCAUCGAACCUAUGAUCGUAUGUUGUUGACAGUUGCCCUAUACAAAUGUGUGUGGACUAUAGUAGACUUAAUAAAGCUAAGUCCGAAAGAUGAUUUUCCUCUACCACACAUUGAUAUAUUUGGUAGAUAAAUACAGCUAAAUUCAAUGCUUCUCGUUUAUGGGACUGGACUUUUCCGGAUAUAACGUUUUAAAAUGGCACCGAGGAUAUGACGAACACGACAUUCAUCACACCUUUGGGAACAUGGUCUGGUUAAUCUAAGCUGAUACCCGUUCGGUUGUAAGAACGCCUGGAGCCACGUAUCAACGGAGCUAUGACACCUGUUGUUCAUGAUAUGAUGCACCAAGGAGAUCGAGAGUCGUAUGUUGUUGAUGAUGGAUUGCUGAAACGUUAGAGAUGGAAGUUGCAACAUGUAAGCACUGUAUGAAGCUUGUUCAGCGUUUGAGAAGGUAUAGAGCUUCGUCUUGAAUCCGAACAAGUUACAGUUUGGAGUCUGUUGUCGGCAAGUUAUUGGGUUUUAUUGUCAAAACGAGAGACGGUAUUGAGCUUUGAUCCGUCCAAGUCAAAGUAAUACAAGAGAUGGCCUGCGCCAAAACUGAAGAGAGCAAGCUCCGAGUGCUUGUUCUUGCCGCUUGAAUUAUAUUUCCAGAUUAUAUACCGCACAUGACUGCCACAUCGUGCGCUCGAAUUUGCAAGCUCCUCCGGAAAGAUCAGGCGCUAAUUAUGCACCACGAGAUUGCCAAAAAGCCUUGACUUUCCUACGUUGUAAACCGAGGGCUGAUCUGAAGAGUUGUUCGCGAGCUGCCGAUUUGUCAUCCGCCUGUGGAAGGCGGAGACCAUGAUUAUGUGGUCUGACAGUUCGUGAAGACCAAUGUGGUUGUGUCGCUGGUCAGCGACGAAGUCGCGGGAAGAAAGAAUUGCUAUAUACUACCUUGUAGAGAGUUCACUGAUUAGUGGAGUUCUCGAUACUCACAUGCUUGAGAAAAACAUGUUGCUCUUGGUUGGCUGCUCAAGCGCUUACUGCCAUAUAUGUUGAAUCAUAACGACUUGGCUGAUAUCCAAAUGGAUCCGAAUCAAGGUAAUAUUCUUUGAGAAGCCUGCUUAACCUAGGAGGAUUUCCCGUUGCGCAGAUGUUAUUAUAUGAAUGAUAUUGAGUAUCGAGCUCAGAAAGCCUAUUAAAGGGUAUAUCUUGGCUGACCACUUGACACACUCAACCAUACGGGAUUAUCUAGUGUCGAGUUCAUAUGACUUCCCAGCGAAGAGAUUCGUAUUUGAAAGAUGAAAGAUUGUGAGGAGACCUACGCUCGAUGAAGGGCCAAGUCUGGUUCCCUGGAUGGAGCAUGGUGUGUUGAUGGCGUAUAAAUCAGUAGGAAAUGGUAUUGUGGGUGCAGUAAUUAUUACUCCUCAGGCACACAUUUUCUCUUUUAGCAGCAAGCUAACUGUUCAUGCACGAAAAUGAUGGAAUAUGAGGCCUGUCAUGGGAUUGGAAGAGUUAUUGGAUCAUAGAUCACGGAUCUGAUGUUUAUGGUGAUUCGGGCCCUUGUUGAUUAAUCAGUAUUAAGGCACGGUGAAUGGGGACAAUAGCUCGGCCUCAUCCCAUAUAGAGAUUUCAUGCGGGAGGAUUUCAACAUUUUUUACUGAGGUGACUAUCCCAUCAAUUCCGUCCGAGAUGAGAAAUCGGCUAUGGCAGAUUGCACUUGGUACACUUGCUUCGACGAUUGGUAAGACUCUGGAAUGAGCGGUUCCCAGGAAUAUACUUGUGAAUGCGCUGGACAAAUCCAGCUCAUGCUAUUGCAGUGUUGAAGAAUGAAGGAUGAUAAGCCAUGUAUUAUGAUAUUCAAGUGUUUCUCCAAAGUUCAGAUUUACUCGCACUGGGGCAUCUUGUGAAAGGAUAGGAAAACAUUUGAGGAGAUUAUUACAGUUCUUCCUCAAUGCGAGUCUUUAAUAAAAAUUUUGACUAUGGUUCUGCUCAGAUGCGUGAAUAACUACGAAGCCAACGACCUUUUGAUGACUGAAGUCCAUGAGCGUUCUUUUUGGUACCAUUCCAAUGAGCAUGCCAUGUGCUAGAAAGAUAUUGAUAGUAACUGACUAGGUUGACAAUGGACUCUGACUCGCCAAGUAUUGAAUAAAUUUUCCAUAAGUGUCAGAUUGCGGAUAAAUUCAUAUCCCGCCGCACGUCUGAAUGUGAUUUUCUCAUCACAUGCCUUUCUCUAUGUGGAAUUGACAAUGAUGGCAUAAAUAGAGCCGAAAGGCGUCGCAAGCGUGCAGCAUGUUAUUCUCGUGAAAUUGAUUAUACUCUGCACCAAGUGGUUGAAAGCGCGUCAUAGUGCAAACAUGACCAGGUAAGGGUGUUUUGAAGUUUAUCAAGAAUCAACCAGUAUGCCAUUAUGGUGUCCCGACAAGAUCAUACUGAAAUGAGUUAACUUGAACAACAAAAGAGUAAAGUACUGUGUAGGCGAGUUCAAGAUUGCACAUCAUAACUUCUUCUCCUUAUAAGACCCAGAGUGAAUGGGGGCCUGUGAACGUUGCUAAUAAAAUACAAGAAGAUCGGUCGCAGAAGAUGGUUGUUACUUACACCAAGAUUGGCAAGCAGAGAUUUGCAAUUUGCUUUGCAUGAUAAUCACACAACCGAAAAACAACCGCGGGGAAAAACACGAGCCGCCACCGACCGCUAUUCAUCCUGACUGAAAGGGAGAAGCGCAGGAGCUAACCUAAGGAAGGGAAGAGGAACGGUCUACGACGCAGAGAAGAUGCAGAGCUACGGGUAGUCGGUUACCCAAGGGAAGGUAUUAUGCACCCGCCUCACUGUUCGUCGUACUCGAGCGGAGAUCCACGAUCAAAAGAUAGGAUAAUAGGGUGCUAGUAAAACUCUCAAAAGAAUUGCCAAACUGGAUAAAAACAUGUGAAAGAAGAGGAGGGAGGGGAAGCGGCACUCGGCAGGAUUGCAUCCGUGGGCUCUGACGAGUUGUGCAGAAACAAAGCAUCAGAAGUCAACGUAGUUCGGGUAAAUGGAACAUAUCGCUAGGGACGAAUCGCAUCCUACGAUACGUAUCUUCUCUAACAAGAAGAAAGACUAGAUACUACCUCGAGCUUCGUCUAACGCACGGCCCGAAAAAAAAGCACCAAAAGAAACGCUGAGACGUCAAAGCAAACACUCGUGCAAAAGGAAACAGAAUGCCAAUACCAUGACUUGUACAUCCGGACUCCAAUAACAACAAAGCAACAGGAGGGAAUGGCCAAUAUCAUGGAUCUUACAUCCAACUCCUAACACAACAAACACACAAAAUGCGAGGAACCACAUGAAUGCCAGGCUCAGACUUUACAUCAACUCCCUAACAAAGCACAGUCUACAAAAAAGAAAAAAAAGGUGAAAGGGUUGCAACACAGUGGCGGCAAAAAAAAACAAAGGGGACCGACAGAUCUGGUCGCUCAUCUCCUGGGACCCCCCCGGCCGAUUACGUAUCGCUCAUCUGGUAUGGAACAGCGAGCGGUAGUUCCCUUUAACAGGAGAACCUCCCCUAACGCAGUAGGACCAGGAGCAGACACGACAAACUAAUAAGGAGAGCUAAGACCGGAGCGCUAAAAGUUCCAUGGCCAAAACGGAUCCCUACUUGAGGUCCUCUAAUCAGAACUACUCACAUGGGAACGUAAUCAGCCAACGGCGAAUAAACAUACAAUGCACAGAAGGUGAGAGAGCAAUGCAUUCACACCGAAUAGUCAGAACAAGAGGCUCAUAACAAUGGUUGGGCCGUUUAGUCAAGAGGGGUCAUAUUCAACCCGACAACAUAAGCCAAAACUGUAGGUACUGCUAAGCUCUAACCACUAUGACGAUUGGAAGUUUAGGUUGAAGCUGAUGAGAUGGGUAAUGGAGAUAAGACGCUCAUCUCUUGAAACCGCUGGCCGGGCUGAGCUCAAAUCAAGAAAGUGUUGGGGAUCCAGAGAAGAGGGACCGCCCUAUUCCACCUUGACUGACUCAUACAAAGAUCGUGGGUUAGUUCAGAGCUCAGCACGGUAUAGUCAGCUAUAAUGAAUGACCAUGUGAAUAACAGGGAUUGAAUUGCUAAUACCUUUUAUAACGUGCAGUCAAUUUCCCUUGACUUAGGAGGACUUAUCAAGUAAACAUUCCCUCACUUGAGGUCUGUUAGCAGCAAAUUAAAAUUCACACACAUGCCUCUUAAGAGGACUUCAGCCAAAUGCCUGCCAAAAGUGGCAGGACUUCCAGGACUAGCAUGGAGUAUGAAGAGUGGCGUACCUAAGUGGUGGUAUCGAACCACACUCUCAAAGCAAAGGCUCAUCAAGAGCUAAAAGCAACUAAGUGUACGCUGUACAAAGAGCAAACAAAGUAAUAUGUAAGAAAACCAAACAGACAAACAACAGUGGAACUUUCCAAUUAUUCUUACACAAUGCAAGCUAAGUGCAACAGCUCAAGUGAGUUCAUCACAUCAAGGACCUAAACACAAACAAGAGUUACGAACAAAGUAACUGCAUCUCAAGGUAAUGAGACCAAACCCAAACCUUAGUGCUAAAUGCUCAAUGCCUGAAACAGCAAAAAACAAUGGAGUACAAACCCGCCUAGACAAAGAAACUUAGUGUCAAGCAAGUCAACAUGACGCAAACACAGAAGGUCAAUUAUUUCACAUGAAGCACAUCAACCAAAACAAUGAAGAGUCUCUCAAAAGACCAUAAACCAACCAAAGGCAGCCAUCAAUGAUCAGUAACAAGGCAAGCAAUGUGAUAAGUUGACAUCAAAAAUCAGAGAAAUCCAAAUCAAACAGAAAAGCUCCAAUAUCAUAAAUUUUUAUGUAGAUUAACAUGUAGGAAUGAAACAUCUGCAACAUUAAUCCAGAAAGAGCUCAAUGAAUGUAAAUGAAAAUGCACAAAUGCAGACAUCAAUGUGGAUGACACAAAUGUCCAACACCAUAUGUUCAUCGUGUCCAAAANAUUAGACUUGACAACAUUAUUUGGCAAACUACAAGAGCACGAACAAGUACUCUUGAGCCUAGAACAACAUGAAAAGAAAGAAAAGAAGGACAAAACAAAGGUGAGUGAAAAGAAAUCUAUAGCUCUUAAGACUUCCUCCUCGAAGUCUCAAGCAAAAGAACAAAGUGAUUAUUCCUCGAGCGACGAAGAAGAAGAGGACAAGAGCGAAGAUAUGGGGUUGUUCGUUAAACGUUACAAUCGUUACGUGAGAAAGAACGGCAUCCAACAUUCCGAGAAGAACUUGGUAAGCUUCCGGAAACAAUCGAGGUACUCUAAAAAUGAUGACUCAAAAGGUAAAAAGACUAGAGGGUCGUGCUACAAUUUUGGGAACCCCGGUCAUUACAAACUGGACUGUCCGAUGAACAAGAAGACAAAGGAAAAGGAAUCAUCCAAAUCACACAAGAAAUCAUCAAAGCCAAGGAGAACAUACAUAGCUUAGGAAAGCGAUAGAGACUCCUCCGAUGAUGAAAGUUCUAGUGAUGAAGAUGAAGCUGCAAACCUAUGCCUCUCUGCUCAUCAAAAGAACAAAAAGAAACAGGUACGACAUGCUAAAUAUGAAAAAUCCUCUAGUAUGUCUCAUCAUGAAUUACAAGCUGCAUUUGAUACUUUACACUGUGAAGCUAAAGAGGCCUUUAAAAGGCUUGCCUCAAAUAACCAAAUAUUUAUCCAUUUGGAACAAAAAAUUCGAGAAUCCGAAAGGAAACUUGAGGCACUCAAAGCUUCUAUGGUAGAAAGCACAAAAGCAGGUUGUGAGGACCUUAGAAAUACUAUAAUCAACUAUGGGUGUGAUACUUGUUAUAUUUGGCAAGGUGAAGUAAGAAACUUAAAGACCAAACUCGACAAGGCUCUUGAGCCCAAGAUUACCUUUGCAAUCGAUAAAUCAAACUUUCGAAAAAGUAUGGUUAAUCCAUAUCAAAAAUAUAAAUAUAUUAUAAAGGAUGAAGAUAGCAAAGGCAAUCAAAAUGCUAAUUUCUCUUGUCUUUAUUGUUGCAAGAAAGGCCACUCCAUUGCUAAAUGCAGGUUUAGGAGAUUCUUAGUUCCUAAAGGCAUUUAUCAAUGGCUGCCCAAAUGCAACCAUCUCGUUACUAACUAUUCAGGACCCAAUAAGCCAUUGGGUACCUUCUCGUGUUAAUUGCAUUUCCAUAGGUACAAUGCCUCGAGACCACCGAGAGAAGAUGGGUUCUCGACAGUGGAUGCUCAAGGCACAUGUCAGGAGACAUAUCACUCUUCAUUGACUUCGUGGCUAAGAAGAAAGGAUAUGUAACCUAUGGUGACAACAACCGUGGAGCAAUACUAGGUAAAGGUAGUGUAGGUAACCCUUCUUCCACUACUAUUUCUGAUGUAUUGCUUGUCGAAGGUCUUAAACACAAUCUACUUAGCAUCAGUCAAUUAUGUGACAAAGGAUACAAUGUAUCUUUUUCAAAAGAUUGUUGCAAAAUUGUACAUAAUGAUGAUAAGAAGAGUAUGUUUAAUGGCCUGCGAGUGAAUAAUGUCUAUAUGUUAGACUUGAACGAAGUAUCGUUAACAAGUGACAAAUGCCUUGUAACAAUGAGUGAAGAUUCAUGGUUAUGGCAUAGGCGUUUAGCACAUGUUAACUUUGACUUACUAAAUAAAGUAGUCUCAAAAGAUCUAGUCUUAGGUCUCCCCAAAAUAAAGUUCACCAAGGAUCACCUUUGUGAUGCUUGUCAAAAAGGGAAGCAAACGAGGAUCUCAUUUAAAUCCAAAAAUAUCGUUUCAACAACGAGACCUCUCGAACUUCUUCAUAUGGACUUAUUUGGGCCGUCUAGGAUUAAAAGUCUAGGAGGAAAUUAUUACGGUUUCGUAAUAGUGGACGAUUUUUCUAGAUUUUGUUGGACUAUCUUUUUAGUAAGCAAGAGCGAUACGUUCGCCGCCUUUGAAAGGUUUGCUAAGCUUUCCCAAAAUAAAUUAAAUACAAACAUUGUUUCAAUUAGAAGCGACCAUGGGGGUGAGUUCGAAAACCAUUUAUUUGAAGAAUAUUGCGGUAACCAUGGUAUCGAUCAUAACUUCUCCGCUCCACGUACUCCUCAACAAAAUGGGGUUGUGGAGCGUAAAAAUCGAAUUUUGGAAGAAUUGGGAAGAACAAUGAUUAACGAAAGUGGUUUACCGAAAUAUUUUUGGGCCGACGCCAUUAGUACGGCGUGUUAUGUUUUGAAUAGGGUGCUCAUUCGCCCCAUUCUAAAUAAAACACCGUAUGAGCUUUUAAAAGGGCGAAAGCCAAAUGUUUCUCACUUACAUGUUUUCGGUUGCAAAUGUUUUGUAUUAAAUAAUGGAAAGGAAAACUUGGGCAAAUUCGAUUCCAAGGCCGACGAAGGUAUCUUCCUCGGAUACUCUCAAUCGAGUAAAGCAUAUAGAAUAUAUAAUAAACGAUUACUUGCUGUGGAAGAGUCUGUACAUGUCACUUUUGACGAAUCCUAUCCGAGAAACGUCGGAAAGGGUAGUGUUGUUCAUGGUGCAGGUACAUCUACGGAAGACAUACUCAAGGGUGGCGAGCCGGGGAUUGAUCAACCCGACAAAGUCAAAGUUGAGGAGGAUAAAGAUGUACACCAUGAGGAAACCGAGGUAGCUCAUCCGCCUUCAAACGAUGAUCUCCCUCAAGCUUGGAAGUCUCCCAAAGACCAUCCAAUUGACAACAUUCUCGGAGAUAUCUCAAAGGGUGUUACAACUCGAUCGAAGCUAAGUAAUUUCUGUUAUCACUUCGCUUUCGUUUCACAAAUGGAACCUAAAAACCCUAAAGAAGCCCUACUCGAUGAACACUGGUUUUUGUCAAUGCAGGAGGAACUAAAUCAGUUCACUAGAAAUGAGGUUUGGGACCUUGUCCCUCCUCCGUGAGGUCAUCGAGUAAUCGGCACCCGAUGGGUGUUUAGGAACAAGUUGGACAAAAACGGGGUAAUAACCCGUAACAAGGCGCGUUUAGUCGCGCAAGGGUAUAACCAAGAGGAAGGCAUCGACUAUGGGGAAACUUAUGUGUCGGUUGCCCGACUCGAGGCUAUACACCUUCUCCUUGCCUUCGCUUCUGCGAAAGACUUUAAACUAUUCCAAAUGUAUGUUAAGAGUGCAUUCCUUAACGGUUACAUAAAUGAAGAGGUCUACGUCGCACAACCUCCGGGUUUUUAAUCUCAUGAGUAUCCCGAUCAUGUUUAGAAACUAAAAAGGGCUUUAUAUGGUCUCAAACAAGCUCCUAGAGCUUGGUAUGAGCGACUAAGUAAAUUUUUACUUGAUCGAGGUUACUCAAGAGGAAAGGUUGACACAACUCUCUUUAUUAAACAUCAAGGAAAGCACUUGAUAUUAGUACAAAUUUAUGUUAACGAUAUUAUAUUUGGGUCUACUAACAUGAAUCUCGUGAGAGAGUUUUCGGAUCUUAUGCAGGGUGAAUUCGAGAUGAGUAUGAUGGGGGAGCUCGCAUACUUUCUCGAUUUGCAAAUUAAACAACUCAAAGAAGGAACAUUCGUGAGUCAAACAAAGUAUUGUUUGGACCUUAUCAAGUGAUUUGACAUGGCAAAAGCCAAGGCCAUUGACACCCCAAGCCAACAUGUGCAAACUUGAAUAAAGAUGAAAACGGUAAGGACGUAGAGGUGAAAAGGUAUAGAGGUAUGAUUGGAUCACUUCUCUAUCUUACUGCUUCUCGUCCCGACAUUAUGUUUAGAGUGUGUAUGUGUGCAAGAUACCAAUCAUGUCCCAAGGAAUCCCAUCUAAAAGCUGUCAAACGAAUACUUCGAUACAUAUCCAGUACUCCGAAGUAUGGACUAUGGUAUUCCAAAGGUAAUGAUUGCUCAUUGGCAGGUUUCUCCGAUUCCGAUUUUGCCGGUUGCAAAUCGGAUAGGAAAAGCACUAGUGGUACUUGUCACUUAUUUUCAAAUUCCUUGGUCAGUUGGCAUAGCAAGAAACAAGUUUCAGUUGCUUUGUCAACCGCCGAAGCGGAAUACGUUGUCGCCGGUAGUUGUUGUGCUCAAAUCCUAUGGGUUAAGCAACAAUUAUUGGAAUUUAAUCUCAAACUCGAACGUAUUCCCAUUUUCUGUGACAAUACAAGUGCCAUUAAUCUUACCAAACAUAUCCUGUGUUGCAUUCUCGUACCAAACAUAUCGAAAUUCGACACCAUUUUCUUCGGGAUCAUGUAGAGAAAGGUGAUGUUGUAUUUGAACAUGUUAACACUAAAAAUCAACUAGCGGACAUUUUCACAAAGCAGCUAGCUACUGAGCCUUUCUUUCAUAUUUGCCGAGAACUUGGUAUUCUCGACAUUUCAGAAUGGGCGUCAUAAAUUGCUUGCUUUAUCUUAUUUAAUUUAAAAACUAUAGUCUUGUACUUCUAACAAGUUGAUGUUGUUGGAAGCACAAGUAUAUUGUUCAUCAAGUUAUUCCGUCAUCGAGGUGAUAUUGUUCCUUUACCCUUCUCUCUCUCCCAACCUUCAUGGUUAAAUAGUUGGGUUACAUGAUAAUAUUGUAUAUAUAUGACUUGUUUCUUAUACCAUAUCUGUUUGGAUGUUUAAUGUUGUGUGGCAUUCUAUUUAUGCAUCAAACAUGUGAGCAUAUGUGCAUAACAGUGAAAUUCUGCAAAAUUUGCCUGUAUGAGUCGACCAUAACAGGGCAAUGGUCGACGCACACCUUAAAAACUUUCCUUUUUAAAAAAAAUUCAUACAGUAUGUGUCGACGCACGCAGAGGGUAUGGUCGACGCAUCGCGCGAAAAAUCAGUUUUUCUGCAUAAAACUUUCAAACUUCCUAUGCAUUUACAUUUUAAAUUCUCAUUAAGUGUGCAUUCAAUCCACUACAUUGUGAGUUGCAUCUACCUAGUGCCUAUUGUCUCUUGGCCUCUCCUCUUCCCAAAACCAUAAAUCUUCAUCUAUAAAAAGGGCAAACCUCCUUCUUGCAAAUCACUCUCAAAAUCUUACACCAAGCUUCACUCUCUACCCUCACAAAAAGCUUCAGAAUCAUUACUCAUGGCUUCCUUAUCCCGCAGACCUACUGGUAAGAGAUCAAGGGGAUCAUCCUCUGCCUCCAUACCCAUUACCGCUGUCUCAUUAGUUCCACCAGCUCUUGUCGACACCUUCAACAAAGACAUUGGUCAAAGAGAAGUUGUGAGGCAACAUGCCUUCUACAAACUCACAGCAGAACGCAUGCAUCUCGUAGACAUCAUGACUCAGCUACAGUAUCACGGUAUUGUUAAAUUCCUGGAAUGCAAUGCCAAAUAUAGCGAAGACCUAGUCCGUGUGUUCUACACUUGCCUUCAUGACAAAUUUCAUGGUCAAAAGUUUCACUCUAGGAUCGGCACAAGAAAGGUAUCUUUCAAGUCUGAUGUUUGGAAUAAAUAUUUUGAUCUGACAUUGGCUGCUGAUGAAAAUCCUCCUUCUGAGGUAACUGAUUCUCACACAAUAAGAAGGAUAUGAGUUUAAGAGCGCUUUGAACGCUAUGCUGAAACGACCCUACCCAGACCACAUUGUGAACAGUGAUGCGUUCCCACGAACUGUCACUGCCGGUAGCUGAAAAAGUGAGAGCGCAUUCUCCAGUGGAUUGUGGGCGCAUCCUGGGCCUAAGAAGGGUGGCCUUUCCCGAGUUGAACAGGCUGAGGUUCAUCUCAUUAUAAUCCUGAAAAAUCAGCGCAAAAUAAACUGGCCCUACUACAUUGCUAGUAGGAUGUUCAGUUUACGAGACUCCGGACGAGGCACUGCUCUUGCCUAUGGAUCUCUUAUUCAAGAGGUUCUUACUGCAGCCGACGUUGAUUACCCGUCCUUUCCUUAUACCUCCAUUUCCUCAGAUAAAGAAUUCAGCCCAAAAACUUUCUCUAUGAUGGGAUACUUUUGGUGUGAUGAGCAGAAAACAUACAAAUUUGUUCGCAGGGGGUAUAUUCCUAGGAUUGUUGAAGAAUAUGAUGAAAGUGAUGAAAAUGAAGAAGAAGACCAGGAGGAAAACGAAGAAGAAGGAGCAGGACAAGCAUUUGAGCAACAUGAAAGUCCUCCACAAGCAGACACACACGACUACACAAACACCGGUUGGGUUCAGAAUACCUAUUCGACAAAAGAAGAUGCCCCUAACCAUGGUGGCUGGGGUGAAUGGCAUCAUAUGGGCUGGUCAACACAACGCCAAUUCUAUCAUCCGUAUCAAUAUGGUGCUGAAGAAUCUCCACCGUCUCCUCCACAACAAGAAAAUUCCUCUGAACUUUUAGAUAUGAUGCGAGAUAUGCAGUUGGCUCAGCAAUCAUUCAUGCAAACUCAGGAUGAGCGCUAUGCUCAUAUAAGCAGCCAGCUUCAAGCACAAAAUGAGAGGCUCGAGUAUCUAAGUAGUGUUGUUGACCAAAUGACUUCUUACGGUCGAGGACGAGGCUAUUAGGGCAUAAAACUACAUGUGCAUUUGUACUUUUGUUGUUUGACUGAACUCAUUAUCUGUUAUGCUUGUUUAUUAAUCUAGUUUAAUGUUAUCUCCUUUUCAAUUUGUUCAGUAAUAAUAUUUGGUGUGGUAUCGUUAUAUGAUUCGCUAUGUCCUGUUGAAUAUCAUGUUAUGUUGAAUAAUAGUUCUCUUUCUCUUUUUGAUGUUGUCAAAGGGGGAGAAGAGCAUGUACCAAAGCCAAACCAAGAUAUUCACAACAAUUAACAGUUUGUUUUGCAGCCAGCCUUAGAUUACAAAAGAAAGGGGGAGUGCGUGUAAAUAUUGCAUGUUGUUUUUCUUUGGUUUCACACAUGUUGUCAUCAUCAAAAAGGGGGAGUAUGUAAGGUGUAACUGUCAUACAACAUACGAUCAUAGGUUUCGAUGAUGACAAAUUACCACCAUGGGUGAAUCGGCAUUGUCGAUUCCACCUCUACAAAACAAAUGCAACAUAUCACCUAUCAUAUCCUUUUCUAUGUUCAUCUAAAUUGUUAUAUUUCAUACAACAUAUGUGGAUAAAAUAUGGUCAUGACAAAAUGCAUGAAAACCACAAAAAUCUGAAUUAAAUUGUUAUAUUUCAUACAACAUAUGUGGAUAAAAUAUGGUCAUGACAAAAUGCAUGAAAACCACAAAAAUCUGAAUUUUUGCAGAUUUGCAGGGUUUGAGUCGACCGCAGGGUCGGCGCAUAACAUCGUGCAUUUCCUCACGGGUCAGCGCACAAAGGUAUGAGUCGACCGCAGGGUCGGCGCAUAACAUAGUGCAUUUCCUCACGGGUCAGCGCACGAAGGCUUGAGUCGACCGCAGGGUCGGCGCAUGAAGGUUUCACUUUCCCACGAGUCAGCGCACGCCGACCUAUGGUCGACGCAUACUGAUGUGUUUUUCAGAUUGUCCAAAACUGCAGGCUAUGCGUCGACGCAUAGACCUGCUAUGGUCGAUCGUUUGUGCGCAAAUACAAAUUUAAGUAAUUCCCACUUUGUUUGAAAAGCUGUUAAGUGGGUUGGUUGGUUUGUUACUAUAAAUAGAAGUUCAGUUACUUGUAUCAACCAACAUUUGACAAAUUGAUUCAAGUGUACAAAGAACAAGAAAAAGUGAAAUAGGUGUCCAAGAUUCUUCAUCUUCAUCUUCAACAUCUCACAACACAUCAAUUAAACACAACCAUUUUUGAAGUGCUUUGUGAUUGGUUAAAGGUGAUAACGUUCCAAGCCGAGAUUGGGGAAUCCGGUUCGGGUUGAAGCUUGCGAUAGGUUUUUUUCUUGAAUAAAACCUUUAGGGUUUUGUCCUCCAAGAUUGGUUUGAUUUUGGGGGUUUUUGGACGGUUUCUUCAUCAAUUUUCAGCUGAGCGAAGGUGAUUAAGAAGAGGAAGUCUUCAUCAAUCUAGUAGCGGAUUCAGUGAUAUUGAAAGGAAGAUUUCGGGUUCGAUUUGUUGUAGUUGAGAUCAGUCGGGCCGAGGGUUUGAAGAACAGAGAGUUAUUCAACAAAGGGGCUGGAAUCGGAGGUCUAUUAAUAAUAAUUGAAGGACUUGAUUCACCUUGAAUCAAGGAACAAGGAGUGGAAGCAACAUUCAACGUCUUGAGAAUUCUGUUGUAUUUUUUCUCUUCAAUCCUUGUAUAAAUUGUUAUACUCAACAUGUGAUAUCUAUUAAAGCAAUCUCAAUUCUAGUUUUAGAAUUGAGGGAAGACGUACCCCGAAGCGAGGACGACGGGGGAACUGCCUCAUCAAAUCUUUGUCUUCUCUAGUUUUUCAGCAUAUUUGUUUUUAACUUAAAAAUAAGUGAUUUUUGUAUAAGCACUUUUAUCAAACCUUGAUAUUAAUUGAGUAAGAAGUUAAAACUCUAUUUUUGAAUUCAAAGUACAAUAAGAUAUUAUACUAGACUAAUUGGAAUCACUUACUCAACAUAAAUAUCACUUGGAGUGUUUUUGCACACCAAGUGUUUGAUAAUUUUCCUAAACCAAAAUUAUCUUAGUUGUGUAUCUAGUUUGGUGUACUCUUUGAAUCAUCGGAACUAGGAAUCCUAGCAAGUGAAAUAAAUCAUUGAUAGUGUGACUAGUGUAGUGAUUCUUAUUCUACAUUAUCAUUAAUCUAUAGGCUAGACGCAUAUCCGGUUUUCCAAUAACCGUUCGUUUUAGACUAUAUUUUCCUCGGCCGCUUCCGCACUUAAAACAAUUUUCAAAACCAAUUUUUAAUUGGUAGCGCCGACUCAAAUUUUAAUUGGGAUCUAUUCAACCCGCCCCCCCUUCUAGAUCCGUGCCAUAGUCUAACAACAUUCAUACUUUUCCAUCUUUCUUAGGCACAAGCACAAUAUUGGCCACCCAUUGAGGAUAUGUAGAAGUCACCAGAAACCUCGCAUCAAUUUGCUUCUGAACUUCUUCUUUAAUCCUCACUGCCAUAUCAGGAUGAGUUUUUCUGAGCUUCUGCUUCACAGACACACACUCAGGUUUCAAAGGCAGGAAAUGUUGCACGAUAUUGGUAUCCAGACCAGGCAUGUCUUCAUAUGACCAGGAAAAGACGUCGACGUAUUCUCGUAGCAAGUCAAUCAACCCCUUCUUAACAGAUUCUUCCAGGAGUGCCCCAAUCUUCACUUCUUGCACACAAUCCUCAGACCCCAAGUUGACUGUUUCCAAAUUCUCAAGAUGCGGCUGAAUGAUCUUCUCUUCGUGCUCAAGUAGACGGGUAAUCUCGUCAGGAAUCUCUUCAACAUCAUCUUCUUCGCCCUCAAAUACAGGGAACUCAAAGUUGGGAGAUGGUGUUGGAUCAUUAUGUUCAAUGGGUUUGAUCAACCUGCAUAAUGGUUUUGGAGAUAAAAGAGAUUUUAGAAUUCAAGCAAAGCAAAUCAUUAUGCAGAUGAAAAGAUUGAUUUUAUUCUAUUUUUAAGGUUUUAUAUGAUCACCAAUUUCAUGCCAAAAGCAAAAGGUGAAAAUAAUUGGAAAAACAAACAUUUAACAUGAAUUUAUUGAAUGAAAUAUCAUUGUAUUUAUGAGCCAACAAUGUCAUCACUCCUCCUUUUGGCAUGAGAGAAGGGUUUUUAAACAAAAUGAACAUUACGUUGACUUAUGGACAACUGUUGGAACAUCAACAAUGACUCAAUUAUUGCAGACCCCUCCAGGGAUGACAAAGUUGCCAUAAUCUUCCUCUGCAUCCUCUUCCAUAAUAGCAGCAGCUUCCUCGUCUUCGACGGUGUGGAUGAACCCACCACUCUGAAACAACCCAUGCUUGUUGAAAGCGCCAGAAGAAUACCCUAUGCCAGCUCGGGAUUUGUUGUCUUCCAGCUUGAUCAUUUGUCCUAAACCGGUAGUUGUUCCAUGCUCAAUGGCCAACUUAGCAUCAUUGUAGGACGAAAAUGAAGAAGUUCCUUUCUUAGUAGGCUCAGUAAUAGAUAAAGCUUGGAACGGUGUUCCGACUUCAUCCUCAACAUCUAUGUAAGAAAAGGAAGACAGAUGGCUACCCAGGAGAGCCUUCUCUCCCACUACCACCACCAGCUUUUUGUUCUUGACAAAUUUCAAUUUUUGGUGUAGGGUGGAUGUCAUGGCGCCUGCCUCGUGAAUCCAUGGUCUGCCCAACAGACAACUAUAUGAUGGGUGGAUAUCCAUGACCAGAAAAGUGAUCUGGAAAUCACUUGGUCCAAUCUUGACUGGGAGUUCAACCUCUCCAAUCACCGUUUUGCAGGAUCCAUCAAAAGCUUUUACCACUACUCCACUCUGCCUCGUAGGAGGCCCCUGGUAUGACAAUCUAGCCAGAGUGGACUUUGGCAACACAUUCAGUGAUGAUCCAGUGUCUACCAGCACACUAGACAUGGCAUCAUCCUUGCAGCUCAUAGGUAUGUGAAGCGCCAAAUUGUGGUCUCUUCCCUCCUCGGGGAGAUCAGCAUCACAAAAACUCAGAUUGUUACAAGCGGUGAUGUUUGCAACAAUACUAUCGAAUUAUUCUAUUGUGACGCCAUGGUCUACAUACGCCACAUCCAAUACCUUUUGUAGAGCUUCACGGUGUGGUUCUGAAUUCAUCAAUAAAGAUAGCACAGAGAUCUUUGAUGGCGUUUAUAGAAGCUGAUCUACAACGUUGUAUUCACUCCUCUUGAUGAGUCUCAGCAUCUCAUCACAGUCUUCUUUCAUGGUGCCAUUCUGGCCAGCAGAGACAGGAGUUCUAACAACAGUGGCAGGUUUACUAGCAACAAGUGUCAGAUUCAGAGCAAUAACAACAUUCCCAACCGGGCGCACAACAAAAUCAGCAACAUCAGCCCUUCGGACGUCAGCCUGGGGUUUCGGCGGAGCCGAGAUAACACGACCGCUAUGGGUCAGGCCACUGACAUCGGCAAUAUUAACAACAGAACUAGAGGGCAGGGGCAACUCCUUCCCAUCUUCCAAUGCCACAACAUUGUAACGAUAGGGGAUAACUUUAUCGGAAGAAUAUGGCAUAGGGCCAGCUGGUUUAAUAAUCAAAGAGGGAAAAGCCUUCUAUUUGCUGCCAUCAUAUCAGAUGACAACAUGCUCUGGAUCCGAAAUACUGGUGAUAUCACAUUGACUUCAUCAUCAUCAACAUUGCGAUUCUGAAGUAUUUCAAUUACACCUUCAUCCAUCAUUUCUUGGAUGUCUUUACGGACUUGGCGACAUCGUCUCUGAUUGACAGUGCAGACACGACAUCUAUCAUGGUUGUGCUCAUAAUGACUGUAUUCACCCAAUAGUCUGUGCAUCACGACCAAAGAUUGUCGAAUAUGGUUGACAUAUUUGACCUUAUAUUUACUAGGGCAGCCCUGGACCAUGUUGACAGCAGAUUUCCGAUGCUCGGGAAAUGGGUUCUUCUUAACGUUGGGACCUACGUCCUCGAAACACAAGAUACCACUUCUCACAAGGUCUUGAACCUUGGUCUUCAGCGGGUAGUUUUCCACGUCAUGUCCGGGGGCAGCGGAAUGAUAAACACAAUGUAGCUCGGGCUUAUACCACCACUGAGGGUUGGUAGGUAUAGCCGGUGGGUCGCGUGGAGAAAUUAGUUUCCUCUCUAUCAAAUAGGGAUAUAGCUCUGCGUAGGUCAUAGGAAUAGGAUUAAAGGUGACCCUCUUCCUCUCAUAGUUGGUACUAGUCUGAUUGUUGUUUCGAGGCUAGUAGGCCUGCUGUUGAGGACGGUGCUGUUGUUGUCGAUAUUGUUGAUGUUGCUGUUGAUGGUUAUUAUUGUGCUGAUAGUGCUAAUUUUCCCUGAAAAUAGGUGCUAUGUGAGCCACCUGAUGCUGAUUACCGGCGGGACGCACGGUCUUCCUCCUGUUGAGGGUCUUCUUGGUUUAACAUGGGAGGUCACAACAUGUGCCUCACCAUCUUUCUUCUUUCCAAAUGCCCCCAUAUCGUUUGGCAGAAGAGCCUCCUUCUCUAGUCAGGUGCCCUUCCCUGACUCCUUCCUCCAAACGCAUCCCCAUGUUCACCAUCUCGGUGAAAUCAGAAGGAACGUUGGCAAUCAUCUGCUCAUAAUAGAAUGAGCUCAAGUUCUUCAGGAAGAUCUUGGUCAUUUCUUUCUCCUCCAGCGGAGGCACAAUCUGUGCUGCUAGCUCUCGCAACCUCUGGGCGUACUCUUUGAAAGUUUCCUUGUCCUUCUGGGACAUGGAUCUCAAUUGAUCCCUAUCGGGAGCCAUAUCCAUGAUAUGCUUGUAUUGCUUGACGAAGGCCUCGCCAAGGUCAUUGAAGGAUCGGAUAUUCGCGCUGUCCAAACCCAUAUACCAUCUUAGCACGGCACCGAACAGACUGUCCUGGAAAUAAUGAAUAAGGAGUUGAUCCUUGUCGGUCUGAGUCGACAUCUUCCUUGCAUACAUAUCCAGGUGGCUGAGAGGGCAAGUAUUUCCCUUGUACUUUUAAAAGUUAGGUACUUUGAACUUUACAGGGAUUUUGACGUUCGGAACCAGACAGAGUUCAACAGCAGACUUGCUAAAGAGGUCAUUUCCUCUGAGAGUUUUGAGUUCCUUGCGGAGCUCAAGAAACUUAUCAUUCAUUGCAUCCAUCUUUUCAUAGACAUCAGGGCCCUCAGACGGCUCAGAGUGGUAGAUGGUGUCGUCUACUUUAGGCAUAGUAUGCACGACAGGAGGCGGAACAGCGAGGAUCGGGCUAGAUGCCGGCAGAGAAGCAAACAUGGGGGCAAGACCCUUAGGAACAAAGUUGGCGGGCAUCCCCCAGGGAAACCUGGUUGGCAUAUCAGUUGGUGCAAAGUGGGCGCUGGCUGCAGGCACUAUUGAAGAGGCAAUCUCAGUGAUGACUGUCCUUUGGGGAGGAGUUGAAGGUCUCGGAGAUGACUGGCUCUGGGUGGCCAUGAAAGACUCCAUCAGGGCAGUCAAUCUGGCCACUUCCUCCUUGAGUUCACAGUUCUCUUGCUCUAAAUGAUCCAUCAGUCUUGAAGUAUUGGCUCGAGUGUAGUACCGGUGAGUCAGCUUGUCUUCAAAAUAAAUGAAGAACACAGAGUUAGACCAUUGAACAAGAAGCCUGGAGCAAAACCUGCUUAUGCACAUGAUGCAUGCAAUGCUUGUGCAGUACCGGUGAGUCAGCUUGUCUUCAAAAUAAAUGAAGAACACAGAGUUAGACCAUUGAACAAGAAGCCUGGAGCAAAACCUGCUUAUGCACAUGAUGCAUGCAAUGCUUGUGCAUAUGAUUUAUUUUCUUUAUCAGAGGAACUUUAAAGUUCUAUUUGCAAAUAAUUGAAAAUAUUAAUCAUUUAGACAUAUAUGGAAAUAACAUAUCAAUAAUAUCUGGAAAAUAUUUUUACACCAAAGAAGUACAGUCUUGGUAACCAAAUACAAUACAAGAGAGAAGGAAAAUGAACAUCCUAUGGAACCCUAGAAGCAAUCAUUUAAAGCUCUAGAGACUAGAAGAUAAGUUGCACGAAGCCUCUUGACCUCUCUCUCAUAGGCUGCCUCCAUAUUCGCCUUCUCUUUGGCAAGUCGAUCAUACUUCCUCUUCUAAAACUUGGAAGACUAAGGAAGAAGAGAAGUCAACACAUCAUCAGGCUCAUCAAUAGCCUGAUGCUUAAGAAAGUCUAUCAAUGCAUCCUUAUCUCUAAGCUGCUGAAGUAGCUCCUCUCGUUCACGGAUCCAAGCACGUGAACUGUCUUCGUCUCUCAACUCCUCUACUCCUUGAUCAGGGAGGGUUGAAGGCCCAACCACAACCAAAGGUGUAGGUCUCGGAUACUCAUAAGGCAUAAGGUACUCGUAAGCUCUCUUUCUAACCCACAAGGUAUAGGGUUCCAAAGCAAUACAGUUCUUCGGACCCGGCUCCUUCCUUCCCUUCCUAUGGAUCUUGCGCCAGGCGCAAACCAUCCUUCCCUUCAAGCCUUGGGGAUCUUUAACCUCCUGAAAGAAUACACCCUCUAGCUGAAUGUUAUUAGGUUUAUCCUUUAGGCGGAACCCAAGCUGACGACGUGCCAAAAUAGGGUUGUAGUUAAUCCCACCACGUGUACCAAGAAGAUGCACAUUGGAGAAUUCACCACAAGAGUCGAUAAUCUGCACAUCAUCAUAUACACGGUUGUACCAAAAGAUAUCAUCAUUAGUGAGAGACAUAAGUCUCGUGGACCACCGUAGACAUCCUUUGUUCUCAAUUCACCACAAGAGUCGAUAAUCUGCACAUCAUCAUAUACACGGUUGUACCAAAAGAUAUCAUCAUUAGUGAGAGACAUAAGUCUCGUGGACCACCGUAGACAUCCUUUGUUCUCCUUGAAGGCGACUGUCUGCAGCAAGUGCGAAAUAAAUCACUUGUACAGCAGAGGCAAACAACACACAAUGGUACCACCACCCUUUGCAUUCCUCAUAUGCAAAGAAAAGUAAGUGUCACCCAACAAAGUCGGAACGUGAUUAAGAGUAGAGAAAAUCCUAAUAGCAUUCACAUCCACAAACUUGUCAAUGCUGGGGAAUAACACUAUCCCAUAGAUGAGAAGUACAAAUAUGGCCUCAAAGGCGUCCUCACUCAUGGCCUUCCCAUACGUAGUAGCUUGAGCAAUGACGAACUCAGAAGGGAGACCUUGAAUUCCACCUUUGGUAGUCAUAUGGGAACCAACCAGAGAUUCAUCUAUAUGCAACAUAUCACCUAUCUCUUGAGAAGUAGGGACCCUCUCUAAGCCACUGAAUGACAACUGAUCCAGGAUAGGUAUACCCACAAGAUAGGCAUACUCCUCAAGCGUAGGCAAAAGUUGGAAAUCCGGAAAAGUGAAGCAACGGUACAAGGGAUCAUAGAACUGCACCAAUACACUCAUCAAACCUUUGUCCACUUUAGUAGCCAGAAUAGAUAGAAGCUUCCCAUGACGAGCCUUGAAAUCCAAGGGAUCUAAUACAUAGGAUCUCAAAUUCCUUAGCUCUUUCAAGUCGGGUUGUCUGAAACUGUACUUCUUCGUAUUCCUUCUUUGUCUAUCCAUGUCUGAAAAUUUGCAAAUAGACCUCUUAAGUUCCUUGAAAAUUUUCUCAUUAAUUGAACUGAUUAUGGCAUGCAAAUGGGUGCAUGAAUGCAUGGAUGCAACAAUAGCACUCAAGGAUCAAGCAAAGCACACCAACAAAGGUCAUGGGAUGGAUCAAGUCAUCCUUAAUAUCAAUCAUCCAUUUUGGUGGAUUAUGUUUUACACCUUAUCAACACCCAAGUUCCAUUGAAUUAAGGAUACCCAAGAAUGGAUCAACCAUGAAUCAAGGGUUUGUGGCAAGUCACGAGCAUGGAGUCUUGGUUAAGAACCACCCAAAGGGAGUGUACUAGGGUUUAAACCUGCUAAACAUGUUCUACAAGAGGUUCCCAUAGUCAUCAAUCCCAUCUUUCGGAUAUUAUCGGAUAAACGACUACUCGUAUUCCAAAAAUAUUCUCAAGAGAGACUCUUAUGAGUGUAGUAUCGCGUAACAAUCAUAUCAAGUCUUACACUUGAACGACCUUCACACUACAUCCUAAGAAAUAGGCAAAGAUGGGUGUCAUACCCCGAUUUUGUCCCGGUUUUAUUUUUCUCACGGAUACCACGACAUAUUUUUUUUUAACUAUCAAACCUUGAUUUCCACAUCUCUGUGUAAUGGACUUGGGCCAAGUUAUAUAUAGGAAUCUAGAAUCCCUUAAGGUUCUAUGACGAACAUGGCACAAGAUUUAGUUGCUUGUGGGACAUCCUCUUUUGUCAUGUUAUAGCCUCACCACAUAUCGUCAAGCACUCCAUUCACAAAGUACCCAGGAGAAUUCACGCAUCGUUGAGUUCAAAUGGUGCAUUGGUCCAAAAGUACAAGUUGUAAAUUAAUUUUUCGAAGUAUUUUGUUUGGUGUGUGAGCGCAUCAUUUUUGGUCCUUUACAAAUCUCAUGUCGAUCCAUUCCCAUGUUUAUUAUGGUCCCUCUACGACAAUGGUUUAUAAUGUGGCAAAGUUCAAGAUCCAAAUAACAAAACCAGUAGAACUUCAUUCAAAAAAACAAACAUCAUUACAAUCCAUCAAAGUGCAUUAUUUGAAACAAAACUACGGAGUGCGGUAUUAUUGACAAAGAGUACAACUCAUUUCUAUCCCAAGUUACCAAUUAGAAACUUUGAUCUUUGUACGAGCCAUUGGUGUGCGGACUCUUUGUUCCAACCGUGUUAACAUGACCGUUUGAACCAUCCUGCCAUAAACACUAACUAAAGACAAACAGACCAAGGUGUGAAUGAUAAUCAUGCCGCAUAAUGUGUCGUCAACAUGAGCCCUGCUAUGAACGCACCAGCAAACGUAGCCAAAGCAAGAUGAGGCUACAAAUGAUCCAAACUAUAGCACAAGGCAAGCUGUGAAUAAUGAUGUCACGGCUAAGGCGAAUUGCAGCCGGGUUCAACCUCCAGCAAAAGUAUCUUGCAUACAACACUAAUCUGAAACAAUCCUGAAUUCCAUAACCAUUUUCUGUCUACAUUUCACUUCACAAAAAUUGUUUCAUGCACCUUUAAAAAUCAUACAAUUACAAUUCACUCUUCAGAAAUCCCAUUACAAAUCAUCAUUACAAAAUCAUAAGGAAUUGACAAAUCCUCUACAAAGGUUGGCCAAAUUCCAACAAACCAGUUAUUGACCAUUUCCUAAAAUAAAAGACCUAAGCCUCAAUUGUCCAUGUUACAUCACUUGAGUCAAGAAAGAUUAAGUUCUGAAUAAGAGGCAUCUAAUUGUUGAUCUUCCGUGUCCGGUCCAUUCCCGUUAAGUUGUGGAUCCACCUAGCCUCAAUUGUCCAUGUUACAUCACUUGAGUCAAGAAAGAUUAAGUUCUGAAUAAGAGGCAUCUAAUUGUUGAUCUUCCGUGUCCGGUCCAUUCCCGUUAAGUUGUGGAUCCACCUGUAUAAGAUGUCUUAUCCUGUCCAAAACCAGUUCAAAACCUUACAAACAUACGCAAUGACCAUUUGCCUACACUCAUACUGAACAUAAUAUGAACAACAUGUGAGCAACAAUAUGAAAAACAUGUGGCCAACCAUAUGAAUAACAUGUGAGCAACAGUAGAAGAUCAAUACAAACAUUCUGCAUCCUAUGGAAGUCGUGUAAUGUGACUGAAGCAUGUUAUGAGAACGAAGCCACAAGCCUCGAGGAGCAUCUCAAAGAGGAAAUUCAUCCAUGUAUGCUCAAGGGCAACUGCACCUGCAACAGAAUAAAAUCAGAGGGGCAUUAUUGAAAGGAGUUAAAUUCUAAACAAGAGUGCAUUACCAUUCCAGUAAGCCUACUCAACUUGCAUUGCCAUUCAAGGCCAAGUACAUCAGACCUGCGGCAUGCCAUGGUCUGUUAUCCGUAAACAUCAUCCAAAACGGAGACCUGCAAAACAACACGUGGGGUGUGAAUAUGUUUGUCGUUCGGUUACUGUCUACGUCACUUUAAGCAUAAACAAAUACAUAGUAAAGCCAUUUGAUCCAAGCCGCGUUGCAAUAGCCACAACCAACCCGAUACAUAAAAUCAAAGGCUUCCAAGGGACUUGCUGGUAAUGUUGAACCUUGAUUUAUGGUCCCUAGUGUUGUUGCAAUUAAUAAGUUGCUUAUACAUCAAUCAAGGAGUUCUUCCGAAGGAAAUUGGAUUGCACAGCAUAAUGUUAGUGUCAUGGUUGAUCUUGAUUUCUUCAUUGGAGAUGACGCACUUUCUAAGGUUUGGUCUAGUAGCACUUGUAAUCUCACCUACCCGAUUAAGCAUGGUCAGGUUGAGAAUCGGGACACCAUGGAACUACACAUGUUGAACCAGUUGCAGAUGGUUACGAUUAUUAGUGACAUUGAGUCAGUUCUCAUGGUUGGAAAGGAAUGUAUUUGGCCUAUGGAAAGAAAACUAGAAGGGCAAUGAUUGAUUUACCUCACUCUUCCUAAGAGAAACCAGUUCACUAGUAAUAAGCAAACUACAAUCAGGUGGAGACAUUGCCAUUAUGCACAUGUGACCAAGACCCCUCGUAUGGUAAUCCAAUGGAUCCAUGUUGUAGUAAGCCAGUCGAAUCUGCACCUGCAAGAUAACAAAGACAUAAUCUCGUAAUUAUAGGUCGUUGCAGGUUGUAGCAUACAAGGGUUAAAAGGAUAGGUUGAUAUAUUUACCAUCAUAUGAACCAGCUGCAUAUCAAUACCUCUCGCUAAUAACAUGGCGUCAGUAUGAGAAGGAUCAUGAUAAUCCCGCGCAAUGCUUCCACAGAAACAAAAACCGGAAAAUUAAGAGGAGCCAACCUAGAAAGGUGUAGUGUGAGGUCGAAACAUAGCUAUGAAUACGAGACAUUACCUGUUGCGGAACAUUCCUGCAAAAAGACGUGAGUUAUGAGAUAUUCUGUCGUCUCGACUCGCCAAAACCAGUCUGCAUAAUCCAACAAAGAUUGGAGUCAGGACGCGAAAUUCAAACACAAGUGCAAUCCCAAUCAAAGGGAUAUUAGAAAAGGGAGUGAACCUCACCUGCAGGCCACCUCAAAGGGACACCUAGUUUCGAUGCCGUCUGUGCGCAUUUCUUCAGGUUACAAAACCCGCUAGCAGAAUCCAAAGACAGUCGAACAACACUUAAGAAGAUUUGGGUGCAAAACGAAUCAAUUCCUUAUUUUUCAAAACCACACACCAAGAAAAAAACCUGUCAUAAGGAAAUCAUACGUGGAUAAAACAGGACAAUUACUGCAGUGAAAAGUGAAAAGAGAUGGUUAUCGUAGAUGCAUUACAGACAAAACCUUAUCCUUUCAUUUGAGGGACCACAUCAAUUUGGAGGACCACCAAAUCUGGGAAAAAUCCUGCUAGCUAACGGAAUGAUUCUUCCAAAAAUUUGCCAGCUCAUGAAAGAGGAGAAAGAAACCUCGUACCUCCAAAGCUCUAUAUAAGGACCCUCCAUUGUUGGGAUAGAGGGGACCUAAUUUUUACACCGUUACUGUACUGAGAUUUCCCUCACACCCAUUCACCAAAGCUCAAUACUCCCAAAGUUCACUCAAACUUCAUCAUUAGAACUUUGAGAAAACUGAGCUGAAGCCACUGCAAAGCUGAGAUACACCCAAAGUCAGUGAUGGAAAACGAAGAAAGGCGAAAAAAGAAACCGAGCGGAGCUUACCGGGGACUUGGAGAGAUUUUUGCUCGAAGAGUCAUCGGAGUUUAAGUGGUCGAAAGCUUCAGAUCUCCUUCCGUCGGUACUUCUUCUUCCCCAUUUACUCACUUCAUGCUAAGAUCUCUAACAUAGUUAUUAUUCACUCAAUAUUGAAUCGGUGUUUCUACUUUUACCGUAAUGAAUAAAUAACUGGAUAUUUGUUGAAUGAGUGUAUUAAUCUCUAUUAUCGCUUUGAAUAUGCCAUCGAAGCUCCUUGCGAGGGUAUAACGAGGUAAGUACACGCGAGACAAAACUUACAAUCCAAAGUAUUUGGUAAACUUGGGAUCUAGGGUAUGAUCGAUUGUUUGCAUGUGUGUUAGAUUUGUGAUGCUCAUCAAGGUUGGGAUAGAUUCUUUGUGAAAUAUGAUGCAUAAAUGCGUUUGGUUUGUUUUGAUAAAUGGAAACAGGGAGGUAAGAUGAGAGGCUCGUUGUUUCUGAUAUGAGCGUUGAUUCCAGUUUCCAAAGGAAACUUCUUUUUAAACAAGGACAUAUAAUGUAAUUAAUAAAAUGGGUUUAUUUGGUUUUAAUAUAUACGAAUAGUCAUUAGUGAUUGCAUUAUUCAAGGCUAGCUAGCUGGUGAAUUUAAUUUGUUUUCUACCGUUGGGAAGGCCAAAAGGCUUUUAGCCGCCACAUGUUUCAAGUAGUUGUACAGCUGCCUUUCACUUGGUAGUAAGCAGAUGAUUUUCGAAUUCAAGGCCUAUUCACCUUCCACAUUUCAGAUUGCUAUAACUUGUUUUUUUUUAAAUGUAAAGGAGUUUCUUUUGGGCCUUAGGGCCCGUUGCGAAGCCGCACAUUUUUGAGGUCCUCUGUUGGGCCUCUUCUGGUCCACUAUUUAUCCACAUUUCAGAUUGCUAUAACUUGUUUUUUUUUAAAUGUAAAGGAGUUUCUUUUGGGCCUUAGGGCCCGUUGCGAAGCCGCACAUUUUUGAGGUCCUCUGUUGGGCCUCUUCUGGUCCACUAUUUUAAGAAUUUCACCUUUUUCUCAUUUCCCACACAUUCAUAUUUAUUUUACUUAAUAUGUGCAUUAUUUUCCAAAUAUCUCAAUUAAAAUAACUAUGACUAAAUAAGGAUAUUCAUUUGUUUGCUUUCGAUUUUUUUUAUUUUUAUUUAUUUCAUUAGGAUAUUAUAACUAAUCGAAUGGUGGAUUAAAGGUUAAUAUCAACAAAUAAUUUACUUUACCUUCUAAAAUAAAUUUGAUUUUGGUCCAAUACCAAAUGAUCUUUCUCAAAACAUAUUACUCCUAAUUCAACAUAUUUAAUUAAUAUACUCUCCCAAAAUUAUUUAAAUUAAUUUUGAAUGAAAAGGAGAAUAGUAAGUGUAGCACCUCAAAUUUGCACCCAUCAUUGUACAUACAUUUUCAUACUAGGUCAUAGCAUAUCAUGGUCCAUUGCAUAGCAUUGCAUUGCCUCCUUUGCCUCAAGUGCAAGCAAGUCAAGAAAUUAUAAGGUCAAACUGCUCAGGAGAUAGUCAGGUCAAGCAAGCAAGCACAAUUUUCAUUGAGCCAAGGCCCUAGGUUGGUCCAACAUGUUCACAUGACUUGGGGUCCAUUUGAAGUGAUUUGGUCAAAGAUUGGAUGGUCAGAAGUCAUCAGUUCAUGCACAGUCAGGCAAAAACCCUAGACAGUCAACAGUCAGUCAAAGCAGUGGAUGGUGGCCAUUCUUGUGGAAUUUGGACACCAUGCUCAUUAAUCAAGAGUUCAUAUGUCUUGGUAUCAUUUGAAGUCAAGUUCUCAAGGAAUUAGGGUUUGGAGUUCACCAGAAGAGGUUCAGUCAGCCAGAAACCCUAAAAGUCAACUAUUGGUCAACUGUCCACUUUAAUCAGUGAUUUGAUGAUUGGAUUUGGUUUGAGGAGCUCAUUCAUGUCCAAAUAGGCCUCAUAUAUCAUGUCAAACACCAUCAUGGAGAAUUUGAAGCCAGAUCAAAAAUUUCCAAAAAUGGAAACUGGACCUGUAACUGAAACUUACCAAAAAUGGAAAGUCUUGAUCCUCAAACUUACAUCAUUAUACAAGCUUCAAAUUGAAUUUUGCCAACAUGAAAGUUGAAGAUCUUGUUCCCAUUUCCAAAAGUCCAAGAACUCUCAAUUCCCAUGUGUGGUUGGCAAGUUAUGAUCGAAUCGAUUUCAGAAAUUCUUGAACUUCAAAAGGCCAUAUCUCCCAAACCAUUUGGCCAAUUUUGGUGGGGUUUUUUCCUACAAGUCACAUUUGAUCCCCUCUUUCCAAAAUAUAAAUUUCAUGAGCCAAACUUCACCAAUCAAAAUGGCAUUUUUUGACUUAUCUCAUUUAAAUGCAAGUUUGACAAGGGUUGACUUUUUGAUAUAAUCAUUUUUUUUCCACUUGGCCAAUUGAAAUAGCUCAGAAAUAUCAUUUAAAAUGUGUUUUCCAAGUCAAAUUAUGCAGUACACAUGUAUCCUGCUAGCUUGCUUGGAAUGUGGCCAAGAGUACACUUUCACCAUGUCCAUCGGACCAUACCUUGCUUUGUACUCUUAAGACAGAAAAUUAAGAGAUCAAUUGCUGUCAUUAAAACCUCAUUUGCAGCCCAUAACCAACAGAAGGAAGGCCAUGCUCUAGCUGUUUGGAAUUGGGAAGAAAGUACAUAGCUACAUCCACAUUUUCAUGGUUUUUGAGGCGGACCACAAGACAGUUUUGGUUCAUCAUAUUUUCUGUCAUUGGAGGACAGUAGUAGCCAGCAGCAGCCCACACUGCAUACAACUCACUCCCUCAAGAAUUGACCUUGCUUGGCAUUUAUCUAAAAUCUGUCACAAUUCCAAAAGGCCAAGGCUUUGCCUUACCACAAAAGCAACAUCCAACAGCAUCCACCAUGCCAUGCCUUGUACUCUCAAAUAGCAGAUUAUUUCAUCAUUUUUCUGUCAUGGCCAAGCCACAUUGCAGACAGAACUUCACUAAUUCAUUCACACAUCCUUGGCAUUUUUCUCAAAAAAAUCUUCCAAAACCUCAAGUAACCCUAGCAAGCUUUAUUGGUUCUUCUCAUCCAAGCCACAAAAACAGCAAAUUAAAACUUCAUUUUUCUGUCAAAGAAACCAGCAGUAGCAGCCAAAAAUCACAGCAGAUACUCAUUCUAAAAAAAUGACCUUGCUUUUGGCAUUUCAAAAAAACCUGUCCAAAGCUCAAAAGAACCUAAGCGCCUUGGCAUGACUAUUUUCACUACCCUUUCAUCAUUCUGAACUAAUGGCAGCCAUUUCACAGCAAAAAAACUUUGGUUCUAUCAUUUGCUCAAAACUCAUUCUUUCCAAAAACAGUCCAAACUUCAUAAUGACUGAGCCCGGCUAUUGUGUUUCACCACCAUUCCAUCAUUUUGAAACCAUCAAACACAUUUUGACAGCAUACAAACCUUGGUCCUCUCAUUGGCUCAAAAACUUCAUUUGGUGCAUUUGUCAUUUCUGUCCAGAACUUCCAAAACCCUAGCCUUGCACUGUAUUUUUUCACCCUCCAUUCAUCAAUUUGGAACCCUGCUAGCACCAUCUAACACAGCCAAAAAAACCAUUGUUCACUCAUUUGUCAAAAAAACUCAUCUUUUGCCAUUUUCCAAAACAGUCCAAAACACCCAAUGAACUGAGCCUGGCCUUUGUUUCCUCACCACCCAAGCAUCAUUGUAGACUCUUUAGAACCACAUUUUCACACCUGUAAGUACCUUUUCUAGCCCUGUUUUAAAGAGGUGGCAGCCAUGGCAGAAAUUGUUUGGCUCACUCCAAGCCAUUGCAAGUCAACAACCUUCAUCAUUCAUCAUCUGGGACCCUAAGGUGCAACUGUUUCACUUCAAAAACACCAAACAACAUCAAGAACACAACUGUCCUUCAAUUUUUGGUAUGGAUUCGACCCCCUCCUUUUUGGUUUANNNNNNNNNNNNNNNNNNNNNNNNNNNNNNNNNNNNNNNNNNNNNNNNNNNNNNNNNNNNNNNNNNNNNNNNNNNNNNNNNNNNNNNNNNNNNNNNNNNNNNNNNNNNNNNNNNNNNNNNNNNNNNNNNNNNNNNNNNNNNNNNNNNNNNNNNNNNNNNNNNNNNNNNNNNNNNNNNNNNNNNNNNNNNNNNNNNNNNNNNNNNNNNNNNNNNNNNNNNNNNNNNNNNNNNNNNNNNNNNNNNNNNNNNNNNNNNNNNNNNNNNNNNNNNNNNNNNNNNNNNNNNNNNNNNNNNNNNNNNNNNNNNNNNNNNNNNNNNNNNNNNNNNNNNNNNNNNNNNNNNNNNNNNNNNNNNNNNNNNNNNNNNNNNNNNNNNNNNNNNNNNNNNNNNNNNNNNNNNNNNNNNNNNNNNNNNNNNNNNNNNNNNNNNNNNNNNNNNNNNNNNNNNNNNNNNNNNNNNNNNNNNNNNNNNNNNNNNNNNNNNNNNNNNNNNNNNNNNNNNNNNNNNNNNNNNNNNNNNNNNNNNNNNNNNNNNNNNNNNNNNNNNNNNNNNNNNNNNNNNNNNNNNNNNNNNNNNNNNNNNNNNNNNNNNNNNNNNNNNNNNNNNNNNNNNNNNNNNNNNNNNNNNNNNNNNNNNNNNNNNNNNNNNNNNNNNNNNNNNNNNNNNNNNNNNNNNNNNNNNNNNNNNNNNNNNNNNNNNNNNNNNNNNNNNNNNNNNNNNNNNNNNNNNNNNNNNNNNNNNNNNNNNNNNNNNNNNNNNNNNNNNNNNNNNNNNNNNNNNNNNNNNNNNNNNNNNNNNNNNNNNNNNNNNNNNNNNNNNNNNNNNNNNNNNNNNNNNNNNNNNNNNNNNNNNNNNNNNNNNNNNNNNNNNNNNNNNNNNNNNNNNNNNNNNNNNNNNNNNNNNNNNNNNNNNNNNNNNNNNNNNNNNNNNNNNNNNNNNNNNNNNNNNNNNNNNNNNNNNNNNNNNNNNNNNNNNNNNNNNNNNNNNNNNNNNNNNNNNNNNNNNNNNNNNNNNNNNNNNNNNNNNNNNNNNNNNNNNNNNNNNNNNNNNNNNNNNNNNNNNNNNNNNNNNNNNNNNNNNNNNNNNNNNNNNNNNNNNNNNNNNNNNNNNNNNNNNNNNNNNNNNNNNNNNNNNNNNNNNNNNNNNNNNNNNNNNNNNNNNNNNNNNNNNNNNNNNNNNNNNNNNNNNNNNNNNNNNNNNNNNNNNNNNNNNNNNNNNNNNNNNNNNNNNNNNNNNNNNNNNNNNNNNNNNNNNNNNNNNNNNNNNNNNNNNNNNNNNNNNNNNNNNNNNNNNNNNNNNNNNNNNNNNNNNNNNNNNNNNNNNNNNNNNNNNNNNNNNNNNNNNNNNNNNNNNNNNNNNNNNNNNNNNNNNNNNNNNNNNNNNNNNNNNNNNNNNNNNNNNNNNNNNNNNNNNNNNNNNNNNNNNNNNNNNNNNNNNNNNNNNNNNNNNNNNNNNNNNNNNNNNNNNNNNNNNNNNNNNNNNNNNNNNNNNNNNNNNNNNNNNNNNNNNNNNNNNNNNNNNNNNNNNNNNNNNNNNNNNNNNNNNNNNNNNNNNNNNNNNNNNNNNNNNNNNNNNNNNNNNNNNNNNNNNNNNNNNNNNNNNNNNNNNNNNNNNNNNNNNNNNNNNNNNNNNNNNNNNNNNNNNNNNNNNNNNNNNNNNNNNNNNNNNNNNNNNNNNNNNNNNNNNNNNNNNNNNNNNNNNNNNNNNNNNNNNNNNNNNNNNNNNNNNNNNNNNNNNNNNNNNNNNNNNNNNNNNNNNNNNNNNNNNNNNNNNNNNNNNNNNNNNNNNNNNNNNNNNNNNNNNNNNNNNNNNNNNNNNNNNNNNNNNNNNNNNNNNNNNNNNNNNNNNNNNNNNNNNNNNNNNNNNNNNNNNNNNNNNNNNNNNNNNNNNNNNNNNNNNNNNNNNNNNNNNNNNNNNNNNNNNNNNNNNNNNNNNNNNNNNNNNNNNNNNNNNNNNNNNNNNNNNNNNNNNNNNNNNNNNNNNNNNNNNNNNNNNNNNNNNNNNNNNNNNNNNNNNNNNNNNNNNNNNNNNNNNNNNNNNNNNNNNNNNNNNNNNNNNNNNNNNNNNNNNNNNNNNNNNNNNNNNNNNNNNNNNNNNNNNNNNNNNNNNNNNNNNNNNNNNNNNNNNNNNNNNNNNNNNNNNNNNNNNNNNNNNNNNNNNNNNNNNNNNNNNNNNNNNNNNNNNNNNNNNNNNNNNNNNNNNNNNNNNNNNNNNNNNNNNNNNNNNNNNNNNNNNNNNNNNNNNNNNNNNNNNNNNNNNNNNNNNNNNNNNNNNNNNNNNNNNNNNNNNNNNNNNNNNNNNNNNNNNNNNNNNNNNNNNNNNNNNNNNNNNNNNNNNNNNNNNNNNNNNNNNNNNNNNNNNNNNNNNNNNNNNNNNNNNNNNNNNNNNNNNNNNNNNNNNNNNNNNNNNNNNNNNNNNNNNNNNNNNNNNNNNNNNNNNNNNNNNNNNNNNNNNNNNNNNNNNNNNNNNNNNNNNNNNNNNNNNNNNNNNNNNNNNNNNNNNNNNNNNNNNNNNNNNNNNNNNNNNNNNNNNNNNNNNNNNNNNNNNNNNNNNNNNNNNNNNNNNNNNNNNNNNNNNNNNNNNNNNNNNNNNNNNNNNNNNNNNNNNNNNNNNNNNNNNNNNNNNNNNNNNNNNNNNNNNNNNNNNNNNNNNNNNNNNNNNNNNNNNNNNNNNNNNNNNNNNNNNNNNNNNNNNNNNNNNNNNNNNNNNNNNNNNNNNNNNNNNNNNNNNNNNNNNNNNNNNNNNNNNNNNNNNNNNNNNNNNNNNNNNNNNNNNNNNNNNNNNNNNNNNNNNNNNNNNNNNNNNNNNNNNNNNNNNNNNNNNNNNNNNNNNNNNNNNNNNNNNNNNNNNNNNNNNNNNNNNNNNNNNNNNNNNNNNNNNNNNNNNNNNNNNNNNNNNNNNNNNNNNNNNNNNNNNNNNNNNNNNNNNNNNNNNNNNNNNNNNNNNNNNNNNNNNNNNNNNNNNNNNNNNNNNNNNNNNNNNNNNNNNNNNNNNNNNNNNNNNNNNNNNNNNNNNNNNNNNNNNNNNNNNNNNNNNNNNNNNNNNNNNNNNNNNNNAGUAAGCUUCCGCUUUAUUAUCUCUCGAUUAUUCGAAUAAUUGGCGUACGCCAUAUUGCUCGAAUUUUCGUCAUUUAAUUAAAACCCUAAAAAACUCUAUAAAAUUAAAAUUAUUUUCUCAAAUUAAUCACAAAUCCUAAAAGAAUUAUUUAAAUUAAUUUUGAAUGAAAAGGAGAAUAGUAAGCUUCCGCUUUAUUAUCUCUCGAUUAUUCGAAUAAUUGGCGUACGCCAUAUUGCUCGAAUUUUCGUCAUUUAAUUAAAACCCUAAAAAACUCUAUAAAAUUAAAAUUAUUUUCUCAAAUUAAUCACAAAUCCUAAAAGCAUUAUUUAAAUUAAUUUUGAAUAAAAAGGAGAAUAGUAAGCUUCCGCUUUAUUAUCUCUCGAUUAUUCGAAUAAUUGGCGUAUGCCAUAUUGCCCAAAUUUUCGUCAUUUAAUUAAAACCCUAAAAAACUCUUAAAAUCAAAUUACUCCCCCAGUCAAUUAAUUAUUCUAAAAGUCUCUAUUUUUAUAAUUAAUCUUUAAGUGAAAAGGAGAUUAAUGAGCAUCAGCUCCAUUAUCUCUCAGUUAUUCGAAUAAUUGGCGUACGCCACAUUGCUCGAAUCUUCGUCAUCAAAUUAAAACAGAAUCGAAUAAAUCCAAACUAUUUUCGCAAAUCAAAUACAAUAUAUAAAAAGAUAUCUUUUACAAUUUAAACCUCGGGUGAUAAGAGAUAGGAGGCGUUCGCCUCGCCAUCUCUCCAUUAUUUGAAUAAUUGGCUUACGCCAUAUUGCACAAAUUAUCGACUUCCGAUUAAAACACUUUAAAUAAACUUGGAUAAGAGAAUAGGUGGCGUACGCCUCAUUAUUCUUUGAAUAAGCAAGUAGGAGGCGUACGCCUCACUACCGUGCAUAUGCAACAUCCACAAACAAACCUUUAAAUAAUCGAACGAAAAAGGAGUAGAAGGCGUACACCUUAUUACUCCUCGAAAGAAUUGGUCGAUUGGUGUACACAAUAUUGCUCAAUCUUUUGUCGUUCUUUAAAACACCUUAACAAAUCAAACUAAUGUCUCGCCCCCGUGCGACCCACAACUUAAAAUUCUUUUCAAAAGAAUAUUGUUAAUCCUUUCUAAUGCGCAUAACAAACUAAUGCUUAAGCCUCCGCCGGGAGUAAACAAGCAAGCGUUUAGCCUUUAGAACGCGAUCUACACAGUCGUUCAUUAAAAGACACCAACAAAGACCGUAGUUUCCCAAACUACGAAUGCUCUGAUUUCCUUAUUAUACCAUAAGGAUACGUAGGCAGGAGAUUGCUGUAUCUUUGGGAGCACACUAAAAAAAAACCUCCCCGUUCUCCUCCUGAGGUCUUCACCCAUAUCUAUCAUCAAUUCUAAUUACCCGAAGAAAAGCAAAUAACAUGUAAUUAACAUUCAAAUAGCAAAUUGGACUAAAAGGUUCCCGUUGAGUACAACGGACGUGAGGGGUGCUAAUACCUUCCCCUUACGUAAUCGACUCCCGAACCCGAAUAUGGUUGCGACGACCAUUAUUCUUAUUUCUAAAGGUUUUAUCGAUAUUUUCCUAUUCCUUCAUUAGGAUAAAUAAUGUUCGGUGGCGACUCUGUUCGAACAUAAAAAUUUUCUGCGACCAUCGCGAGGAAUCGUAUUUUUCGAGAUGCGACAGAUGGCGACUCUGCUGGGGACAAGCUUAGCUCCAAGCUAGAAAGAGCCAAACCUAACUUAGUGAAUUUGCUAUAUAUGUUAGAAUACCGCUUUUUAUUUGCUUCUGUAUAUCUUGAUGUAUUAUUUAUGCUAUGUAAUUUAUUCUGCUAUUAUGUUGGGUGAUCUAUGGUGUUUGACACAUGUUGUGAGAUAAGCUCCGUACCCGAGCUUUGAGAAGAACUUAGAACCCGGAGUUGUGUAGUAUUGAACCGNNNNNNNNNNNNNNNNNNNNNNNNNNNNNNNNNNNNNNNNNNNNNNNNNNNNNNNNNNNNNNNNNNNNNNNNNNNNNNNNNNNNNNNNNNNNNNNNNNNNNNNNNNNNNNNNNNNNNNNNNNNNNNNNNNNNNNNNNNNNNNNNNNNNNNNNNNNNNNNNNNNNNNNNNNNNNNNNNNNNNNNNNNNNNNNNNNNNNNNNNNNNNNNNNNNNNNNNNNNNNNNNNNNNNNNNNNNNNNNNNNNNNNNNNNNNNNNNNNNNNNNNNNNNNNNNNNNNNNNNNNNNNNNNNNNNNNNNNNNNNNNNNNNNNNNNNNNNNNNNNNNNNNNNNNNNNNNNNNNNNNNNNNNNNNNNNNNNNNNNNNNNNNNNNNNNNNNNNNNNNNNNNNNNNNNNNNNNNNNNNNNNNNNNNNNNNNNNNNNNNNNNNNNNNNNNNNNNNNNNNNNNNNNNNNNNNNNNNNNNNNNNNNNNNNNNNNNNNNNNNNNNNNNNNNNNNNNNNNNNNNNNNNNNNNNNNNNNNNNNNNNNNNNNNNNNNNNNNNNNNNNNNNNNNNNNNNNNNNNNNNNNNNNNNNNNNNNNNNNNNNNNNNNNNNNNNNNNNNNNNNNNNNNNNNNNNNNNNNNNNNNNNNNNNNNNNNNNNNNNNNNNNNNNNNNNNNNNNNNNNGGAGAGACGUAAUCUUCAGAAUUAUCCAUCAUAAAUAUGGCUAGCCCAAUCGCGAUGGGAGCGGGGGGGGGGAGGGGGGGGGGGGGAAACUUAACAUGGCAUGACUCUGGGAACCUCAUCUUAAACUGAAGUCCGUCUUCAUGAUUGGCGAUCGUGUAGUAUUGAACCGAAGGGUGUACACCCUGUUCGAACAAUACGAGGAUCCCACUUAGAAUAGACCGAUUCAGGACUUCCAUUUCAAUGUGGCUAGCCCAUUAUUGCGAUGGAAGACUGAACUUGGUCCAUGACUCUAAGUUCUUAUCAUGAAAAUAGAUAACCUUAGGAGAAAUCCUUGAUGUAUGGGGUAAAAGACAUAGAACCGUUGUUAAGUUGAACCUUGUGAUAUAUGUGAAACCUGGAUCCCUUUCAUUGCAUAAACAUCAUGUUGCAUUCAUUAUGAGCAUAGCAAAAUCAUUUCCACACUUUUUUAUUUUCAGGGAAUUUCAAAAUUUUCAAUUAAUUAAGCAUUCAAGAACAAAUGGAGUCAGAAAAGAAAAAAACAUUCCAAAUCAAAGCUAAGGUACCGUGUGUGAAGAAGUUCAUUGCAUUCAGAGAUGGGUUGACUAACAUCCGUCGAUACGCAUUCACACUCAAAUAUGGGAAGAUUCUACAGUUGUUGUCAGUACCAGUACAAAAGGAUGCUAUUACCGCACUAGCCCAGUUUUAUGAUCCAUCACUCAGAAGUUUCCUCUUUAAAGAUUUCCAGUUGGCCCCGACUUUGGAAGAAUUUGGAAGAAUAUUGGACUCUCCUAAGCAGAAGAAGGGACCAUACAAGGGGUUAGGUCAAAUCCCUGAACCCGAACUUUGGAAGAAUUUGGAAGAAUAUUGGACUCUCCUAAGCAGAAGAAGGGACCAUACAAGGGGUUAGGUCAAAUCCCUGAACCCGAAGAGUUGGCAGAAGUAUUAAGCAUCCCAGUCAAAGAUCUAACCCCUAACAUCAAAAUUUGGGGAAAGGUACAGGGAAUUCCACAAGAGUACCUGGAGAAAACUGCUCAAGGCUUUGCUGAAGCCCAGAAGUGGGAAGCCCAUGAUACUAUUAUGGCUUUACUUAUUUUUGGAUUAGUGUUAUUUCCUAACAUGGAGAAGUUAGUUGAUGUAGCAGCUAUUAGCGUGUUUUGGGCCGUCAAGGUUAAGAACGAAGAUCCAGUACCCGCACUCCUAGCAUAUGUUUAUCACACCUUGCACCUACGCUUUGAGAAGAAGGGAGGACUGAUGUUAUGUUGCAUACCACUCCUUUACCAAUGGCUUGUCUCUCAUGUGUUCAAAUAGGUUGAUACAAUUGAAAGUAUGGAUGGAUAUGAGUGGUCUCAAAAGUUAGUAGGACUCACUGAAAAUACCAUUAUUUGGUAUCCUUAUGGCUUGAAUGUGGGAGAUACAAUUACUAGUUAUGGAGAGUUUCCGAAUGUACCAUUAAUAGGGUCAAAAGGGUGCAUUAACUACAAUCCUGUUUUAGCAGUAAGGCAGUUGGGUUAUCCUAUCACAUACAAACCAGGUGACCAGUUGUUAGAAGGUUUUGUGUUCCAUGAUAUGGAGGAUCCCGUUAUGCUGAGAAGGGUUAUCCGAGCCUGGGAGAAAGUUCACUUCAGAGGACAAGACAAAGGAAAGGGUGUUAUAGGGGAUAGAGAACCAUAUCAUCAAUGGGUCACCAGAAGAAGUCAAGAGAUCAAACUGCCAUUCAUCCUCGAUCCUCCAACUCAACCUCCACCACCAGAACCCAUCCCUGUCUCCAUGGAAGAAGUGGAAGCAUUGAGAGCUACUAUAGCAAGACUUGGACGAAAAAAUGAAGAGCUACAGGCCAGCUUCCAGCAAGUUUCAAAUGAAAGAAAUGAGAUAAAGUGGGAACUAGAGAGGAAGAAGGCCCAACUUGAAGCGACUGAGGAAAAGGUCGAUAAGGAAGAACAUAAGAGAAAGAAAGUGAAAAUAAGCAUGGAACAAGCUGACCACUGCCUAGAAACCAUUAAAGAGCAGUUGAGACAAGUUGAGAAAGAAUGCCAAAAGAAUAAGCGAUGGUGGCUACGAGCUACAUAAGAGAAAAAAGAAGUUAGAGAGAUAUUGGAGGCUCAAAUACAAGAUCUCACUAUCUCCCUCCAUAAUGCUGAGACCCAAGCCGAGCACGAGCGCCGACUUAAGGAAAGAGCCCUUUAAGCUUCUCGAGUCACACCUAUCACUUGGGCCGAGAAAUGUCAAGAAGCAAAAGAUGCUAGAGGUGUUGCUCAACAUUGGAAAGAUAGAUUCGAGGCAUUCCAUCAAGACAGUGUGAUAUGGCUAAGGGAAAGAGAGCAAGUCAUUGAGGAUUACGAUACCUUUAGGAGAACUAUCAAUUUCUUGCAAGCGGAAAAGAUAGAUUCGAGGCAUUCCAUCAAGACAGUGUGAUAUGGCUAAGGGAAAGAGAGCAAGUCAUUGAGGAUUACGAUACCUUUAGGAGAACUAUCAAUUUCUUGCAAGCGGACAAAGAUGGGUACCAUGCAAAGCUCAACAGUUUGGUACAAUUCUGCAACUGGACGACCCAAGAAAUGCCUUGGAGGUUGAGAGAGGCAGUGGGAGGAUUGGACCAACAUGACACACAUCCUGCUGUAAUCCAUUUUGUUAUGAUGUGUGAAGGGAUGGUGAAGAGGUUCAAGUCUGAAUUAGAAGAACUCAUAACUCGAAAGACUUCUAUGUGAUUAUUUUGUUUUUCUUAUAUUCAGUUAGUAUUUGAGUUGUAUCAAUUUGGGUGGUUAUGCCUUUGUACUCCGUACUUUCAACAUUUGAAUGGAGGAGGAUGAUCCUCAUUUUUAUUUCCUGACUUUAUGUUUUCUCUAAAUGCUUAAUAUAACUACAACCGUGAUGAAAAUUCCCUGAAAAUAAAAUAUGCAUAACAUUCGCAUCCUCAUUAUGCAUCACGCUUCAUAAAAACAAAAAAAAACUUACCCAACCUUUUGCCCUCUAUCCAGUAACGCUGACUAAUCAACACCGGUACGAGACGCGAAGCCAUUACAAGAUGACGUUAGAGCAAGUGGAGGCUAACCAAGCUACCAUGAGGUCAGACAUUAAUACGAUCCAAGAGAAGAUGGAUCAAAUGCUGGAAACAAUGCUCGCCAUCGCCCAGAGAGAGAGGGUUGCGGAUGCAAAAGCUGAGGCUAGAAGGAAUGAUAACCCAUCAAGUUUGGUCCACCAAGACGAGAGCUUCGUCCACGCCAAGAAGAGUCUGGUUCAUAUACCAGUAGGAAGCAAAGGAGAUGGGGAUCGUGCAGAUCCUUCUGAGGCGCCUGCUCAUUAUGGGUCCGAAAUGGGAGAUGACCCGUAUGAAGCUUUCUAUGUGCCGGAUCAACCAAAGCCUAAGACACUUCCAGACCCUGCUGCAGAUAGGCUUCGUGCCUUGGAAAAGAAGAUCAAAGCUAUUGAAGGGAAUAAUAUCUUCGGCGCCUCUGCCAUGAACAUGCGUCUGGUAUCAAAUUUGGUCAUCCCGGCUAAAUUUAAAACUCCUGAUUUCGAGAAAUACAAAGGCCAGACUUGCCCAAGAAGUCACCUAGUGAUGUACUUUAGGAAAAUGGCUGCUCAUACCGAAAAUGACAAACUGCUUAUACACUGUUUCCAAGAUAGUUUGAGUGGAGCGUCUCUGAGAUGGUACAUGAGUUUAGAGCAAGGGCGGAUUCAAAACUGGGAAGAUUUGGCUGACGCAUUCCUCCAUCAGUACAAAUAUAAUUUGGAUAUGGCACCUGACCGAAUGCAGUUGCAAGGGAUGACAAUGAAAGAAAAUGAGUCCUUUAAAGAAUACACCCAGCGAUGGAGAGAGUUGGCUGCUCAGGUAGAGCCACCAUUGUCUGAGAAGGAAAUGACUGGAAUAUUUGUGGACACGCUGAAAAACCCAUUCUUUGAUAGAUUGGUGAGUAGUGCAGCAUCCGAUUUUGCGCAUCUGGUCACAAUCGGAGAUCGCAUAGAAAAGGGUCUGAGGGAUGGAAAGAUUUCAGGAGCCGUGGCAACCCCUAGCGCACCGAAAAAGUAUUUUGGAGGCUUCCAAAAGAAAAAAGAGGGUGAAACGAACGCUGUAUCUAGAGGAUAUAAGGGGAAGCAACAAGCUUCAUAUGGCCAAGUCGCUGUCGUGGUACUCAUACCUUAUCAACAACCCAUACAACAACAACCAAUGUAUUAACCACAUCAUCAACAACCUCGUCAACAACAGAAUACAGCACCACCAAGACAAUUCAGGCCAAGGCCUCCAAGAAGGCAGCUUGACCCUCUACCAGUACCUUAUAGUCAAAUAUUCCCAUAUUUGCAAAAGGAGGGUCUUCUCACAUUGAGGGAGCUGAAACCGGUUGUUUUUCCAUAUCCACCAGGAUAUGAUGCUAACGCCCAUUGUGAAUUUCACAUGGGAGCGCCCGGCCAUACCCUGGAAAAUUGUUUUGCAUUCCAAAAUAGGGUACAAGACCUGAUUGAAGCAAAAGUUGUUACCUUCACUCCGAGACGCCCGAACGUGAACACUAAUCCCAUGCCAACACAUGGAGAUACUUCCGUCAGUGCCAUAGAGGAGAGUGAUCAGGGAGAACUGAUUCUUAAGGUUGAAGAGAUUCAAACCCCUAUCACCAGGAUAGGGGCACAGCUGCUAAAAAGUGUUCUAGUUCCAGAGGGGCUAGUCAAUGAUGAGAAUGAUAAAGGGUUGAGGAAUUCUAUACAACAAAUGCUGGAUCAAGGCGAGUUACAGAUAAAUCGCCGUGUUAAUAACAAAGAAGAGGAAGAGAUAACUGUCGUGGUAGACAUCCUUUAUGAUGAGGUUAACGUGGACAUCCCUUUCAAUGGGGUUAAUGUGGCCAUCCAUUAUGAUGAGGUUAAUGUGGAAAUCCCCAUAAACCCAUUGGUGAUAGAGUUUCCAGCACCGUUCGCGUAUAAGGAUGAGAAGGCGGUACCAUGGAUAUAUCAGUCCAGAGCUUUUAAGCAAGGGCAGGAAGACCGACCCAUGGUAAUCAACGAACCAAACGUUACCUCAAUUGUGGGGCCAGCCGGGAUGACGCGUAGUGGCCGAGUGUUCGCGCCAAGGGCUGUUGAUGCUUCUACAAAAGCCAAAGGGAAAGAAGUUGCUACUCCUAUCCAAAUCCCUGUCCCUAGUCGAGAAAUGCAAGAAAUGCAUUUGUCUCCUAAAGCUGCGGUCACUCGUGAGGAGGCUGAGGAAUUUCUAAGGAUAAUCAAGAAAAGUGAUUAUAAAGUGGUGGACCAGUUAAAUCAAACACCUUAAAAAAUCUCCAUGUUAUCUCUGUUGCUCAACUCAGAAGCGCACAGGAGUUCAUUACUGAAAGUGUUAAGCACAACACAUAUCACGAAAGACAUAACGAUAGAACAGUUUGACGACGUGAUAGCUUGCGUAACCACUGGAAAUUUUUUGGGGUUUAACGAUGAUGAACUGCCAGUUGAGGGAAAGAACCAUAACAAGGCCCUACAUAUCUCCUUGAAAUGCAUAGACAUUAUACUAUCAAGGGUGUUAGUAGACACAGGUUCCUCACUGAACGUCAUGCCAAAAACCACCUUGAUAAAGCUGCCGAUGGAGGGGAUGAAUAUGAAGCCCAGUACCCUAAUUGUAAAAGCAUUCGAUGGCUCAAGACGAGCAGUGAUAGGAGAGGUUAACCUACCAAUCAAAAUAGGCCCAACCUUCUUCAAUAUCACAUUCCAAGUUAUGGACAUACAUCCCGGUUAUAGUUGCCUACUUGUAAGACCAUGGAUCCACUCUGCAGGCGUCGUCACCUCCACUUUACACCAAAAGCUAAAAUUCAUUACCAAUGACAAGAUGAUUGUGAUUGGAGGGGAGGAGGAUAUCUUGGUUAGCCAUUUAACAUCUUUCCGAUAAAUCGAAGUGGAUGGCGAGAUAACCGAGACACCAUUCCAGUCCUUGGAAGUGGUAAAUAUGAUGGCUGUCCAACGAACAUUGGAGACUCCGAAGUCAGGACCGUCCAUGGCCUCGUGGCAAGGAGCUAAGGCUGUGAUGGAAAGUGAAAAUGCUCAAGACUGGGGCAAAGUGGUGGAAGUGAACCAGAAGCGAGACAAGUUUGGGUCAGGGUAUGACCCAUCGUCAAUUGAAGCCGGUAACCAACACGAUAAAGAGCAAAUUCCUCCUGUAGAAGAAACGUUCAUCAGCGCUGGCCACAUUUUUGGCAGCCAGGUGGCAAUGAUCAAUGUUGAAGAUCACGAGGAAGGGGUGUCUAGCUGGAUACGACAAGCCGCGCCUAAUGAAGAACUGACAAACUGGAAGGCUGUGGAAGUCCCUCAAUUUUUUCAAAAGUAAUUUUAUUAUUUUACACAAAACCAUGUGCUCUGCCCAAGGCACAGUGGCAUGUUGUAGGGCCUCAUUUAUCUUUUUUAAGAGUUUCUAUAUCCAUAAUAAAUAGAGAUUUGCAUUCAAUUUUUUGUUCCUUUCCUUUCGUUUUUUUACAAAAAAUGGCAUCAAUUUUUAUGCACGCACUUUCUAAAUAAACUGCAUAAAUCAUAACAUGCAGAAACACCACCGAGACCAUUGAUUGCUAGGGUCUGGCAUGACUUUGAUUGUAUGAUCUACCAAGCUGAAGAUGAAGUGGGGGAAGAGUGUGAACUCCCUGUAGAGUUGGCCAGAUUGCUUAGACAAGAAGAGAAGGUCAUUCAACCACACCAGGAGGACGUCGAAGUUAUCAACCUGGGAACAAAAGAAGACAAAAGAGAAGUAAGGGUAGGCGUCGCGCUUCAAGAUGCAGUAAAGACUAGAUUGAUAGAGCUCCUCCAUGAAUAUAACGAUGUGUUUGCAUGGUCAUACCAAGAUAUGCCCGGAUUAGACACUGAUAUCGUGACCCACAAGCUUCCCCUUAAAGAAGAAUGCUCUGCCGUCAAGCAAAAGCUAAGAAGAACUCGACCGGAUAUGGCUCUCAAGAUCAGAGAAGAGGUGAGAAAGUAGUUUGACGCUGGUUUCCUGGAAGUCGCUAAGUACCCACAAUGGGUUGCCAACAUUGUACCGGUACCAAAGAAAGAUGGGAAAGUCCGCAUGUGCGUAGAUUACCGAGACUUGAAUAGAGCUAGUCCCAAAGACGAUUUCCCAUCCUCACAUCGAUGUAUUGGUAGAUAACACACCAGUUCUUGUAUUUUCCUUUAUGGAUGGUUCUCUGGAUAAACCAAAUUAAAAUGGAUCCCGAGGACAUGGAGAAGACCACGUUCAUUACCCUUGGGCACCUUUUGUUACAUGGAUUAAAGAACGCUGGGGCAACAUAUCAACGCGCUAUGGUGACUCUCUUUCAUGAUAUGAUUCAUAAAGAGAUCGAGGUGUAUGUUGACGACAUGAUUGCCAAAUCCCAGACAGAGGAGGAACAUAUCACUAAUCUGGAGAAACUGUUUGCUCGUUUGAGGAAGUUUCGGUUGAGACUUAAUCCUAACAAAUGCACAUUUGGGGUUCGAUCCGGGAAGCUUUUAGGCUUUAUUGUAAGCUAAAAGGGAAUUGAGGUAGAUCCUGACAAAGUUCGAGCCAUUCAGAAUAUGCCUGCACCAAGGACUGAGAAGGAAGUCCAUGGUUUCUUGGGAAGAUUGAAUUACAUCGCUCGGUUUAUCUCUCAUCUUACUGCCACAUGUAAACCAAUAUUCAAGCUUCUGAGGAAGAAUCAAGGUGUGGAGUGGAAUGAUGACUGCCAAAGAGCCUUCGAUAAAAUUAAAGAAUACUUACAAGAGCCACCGAUCCUGAUGCCCCCUGCAGAAGGGAGACCACUCAUCAUGUACUUAACAGUGCUCGACGAGUCCAUGGGUUGUGUAUUGGGACAACAAGAUGAGACUGGUAGAAAAGAGCAUGCCAUAUAUUAUCUGAGCAAGAAGUUUAAUGAUUGUGAGACCAGAUAUUCCUUACUCGAGAAGACUUGUUGUGCACUCGCAUGGGCCGCUAAACGUCUCAGACAGUACAUGCUGACUCACACGACUUGGUUGGUAUCUAAAAUGGAUCCCAUCAAGUACAUAUUCGAGAAACCAGCUCUUACCGGUAGGAUUGCUCGAUGGAAGAUGUUGUUGUCAAAGUACGAUAUUCAAUAUGUUGCACAAAAGGCAAUCAAAGGAAGCAUACUGGCAGACCAUCUUGCCCACCAACCAUUGGAGGAUUACCAACCUUUGAAGUUUGACUUCCCAGAUGAGGACAUUAUGGCUGUCAAGGAUGCUGAAGACUCUGAACAUGAGGAGAAUCUUGAGCCAAAAGCAGGCUGGACUCUCAUGUUCGAUGGUGCCUCAAAUGCAAUAGGCCAUGGAAUUGGGGCAGUGUUGAUGUCUCCCAAGAAUUUCCAUCUACCAUUCACUGCAAAGCUCUGUUUUACCUGCACAAAUAACAUGGCUGAGUAUGAAGCUUGCAUACUAGGGUUGGAAGAAGCUAUUGAGUUGAAGAUUAAGGUGCUAGAAGUAUUUGGGGAUUCCGCCCUGGUGAUACAUUAGAUCAGAGGUGAUUGGGAAACAAGACAAGCCAACCUAAUUCCAUAUCGGGAUUACGUGCUGAACUUACUUCCAAAAUUCGACAAAAUCACUUUCUCUCAUAUUCCUCGAGAAGAGAAUCAGAUGGCAGAUGCUUUAGCAACCUUGGCUUCCAUGUACAAGUUGAUAUGGCCCAACCAUCAGCCUCACAAUGAAAUUAGGCGUUUUGAUGAACCCGCGCAUUGCCUGACGACAGCAGAAGAGCCAGAUGGUAAACCCUGGUUCUUUGACAUCAAACGGUAUCUAGAGAAACAGGAAUACCCGGCAGAGGCCUCUAGCCUUGACAAAAGGACCCUCCGGAGACUGGCAUCGAAGUUCCACUUGAAUGGGGAAGUAUUGUACAAGCAAAAUUAUGACAUGGUUUUGUUGAGGUGUGUGGACGAACAAGAAGCUAAUCAGCUUAUGAAGGACAUACACGAAGGGUCUUUCGGCACACAUGCAAAUGGGAGGUUUUGUUGAGGUGUGUGGACGAACAAGAAGCUAAUCAGCUUAUGAAGGACAUACACGAAGGGUCUUUCGGCACACAUGCAAAUGGGCACUCCAUGGCGAAGAAAAUCCUGAGGGCAGGUUACUACGGGUUAACGAUGGAAGCCGACUGUUAUCAUUACACCAGAACCUGUUACAAAUGCCAAAUCUAUGCUAACAAAAUACAUGUACCGCCUACCCCGCUGAAUGUUAUAGCAUCACCUUGGCCUUUCUCUAUGUGGGGCAUCGACAUGAUCGGGAUGAUAGAACCCAAAGCAUCUAAUGGGCAUAGAUUUAUCUUGGUGGCCAUAGACUACUUCACUAAAUGGGUGGAAGUCGCAUCGUAUGCGAAUGUCACAAAGCACGUAGUCGCAUGUUUCUUAAAGAACAACAUCAUAUGCCGAUAUGGGGUUCCCAACAAAAUCAUCACUGAUAAUGGGUCCAAUCUCAACAACAAGACCAUGGAGGAGUUAUGCACAACGUUCAGGAUCGAGCAUCACAACUCGUCACCAUAUCGACCUAAGAUGAAUGGGGUUGUUGAAGCUGCGAACAAAAAUAUCAAGAAGAUCAUCCAGAAGAUGGUAGUCACGUAUAAGGAUUGGCAUGAGAUGCUAAUAUCGACCUAAGAUGAAUGGGGUUGUUGAAGCUGCGAACAAAAAUAUCAAGAAGAUCAUCCAGAAGAUGGUAGUCACGUAUAAGGAUUGGCAUGAGAUGCUACCUUUUGCGUUACAUGGUUAUCGUAUGUCAGUACGAACUUCAACAGGGGAAACCCCAUACUCCUUAGUAUACGGCAUGGAAGCAGUUCUUCCCAUAGAGGUGGAGAUUCCCUCGAUGAGAGUCUUAAUGGAGGCUAAGCUAGACGAGGCAGAAUGGGUUCAAUCAAGGUACGACGAGCUUAACCUUAUUGAGGAGAAACGCUUGAAAGCGCUAGGUCAUGGUCAACUCUAUCAGAGGCGUCUUAAUAAGGCAUUCGACAAGAAAGUCCGUCCCAGGGUGUUUCAAGAGGGUGAUUUGGUGCUGAAGAAAAUCUUGCCCAUUCACAAGGACUCUAGGGGGAGGUGGACACCAAAUUAUGAAAGUCCAUUUGUGGUGGUCAGAGCCUUUUCUGGAGGCGCUCUAAUCUUGGCAACUAUGGAUGGUGAUGAAUUGCCACUUCCUACCAAUGUUGAUGCCGUUAAAAAGUACUUUUCCUAGAAAAGUGGAAUGAUAAAAGCCGCUAAAUCGAAAACCUGAAAAGGCGAUUUAGGCAAAAAUGGCUAUCCCGGUGGAUCGAAAACCUGAAAGGGCGAUCCAGGCAAAAAUUAGGGAUAAAAAUAAAAAAGAUUUGACCCGCUGAGUUGAAAACCCGAAAGGGCGGCUCAGGAAAAAAUGGGUAUCCUGGUGGAUCGAAAACCCGAAAGGGAGAUCCAGGCAAAAGUUAGGGAUUAAUUCAAAGGCAAAGAACUGUACUUUCAGGCGUCUAGCAUGUCCCUCGAAGACAAAGAAUCAACCUACCUGACCUUACCAAAGGCGAGGUGCUCGGAUUAUCAAAGUCAUAAGGAUCAUAGCAGUGUGGAGACUCAAUAGGAACUCAGUUUUAUUGCCGCUUUGUUUCUACACACAUCAAUUACCUCAUUAAGGAAUUGCAUCUUUAUGUACAAUCGCCCAUUCAAGGGUCAAAUCAAUAAAAGAGAAAUUUUCUCGACAAAAGUUGUGCCCAAAUUAUUUUGCAUUUUAUCUGUUUGUUUGCAAUAAGGAAUUGCAUCUUUAUGUACAAUCGCCCAUUCAAGGGUCAAAUCAAUAAAAGAGAAAUUUUCUCGACAAAAGUUGUGCCCAAAUUAUUUUGCAUUUUAUCUGUUUGUUUGCAAAGCACCUUUAUCUUUGAUAAACAUCACUCUUAAAGAUUUUGGAGAAAAUAAAAACACAUAAUUAAAUGUAGUAAUAAAAUUGCUUUUGAAAUGUUGCAAGGAUAAACCUCUUGGUCUCCCAGUUUGCUCUUUUUUUUCAUAGAGGUGUAGGAUUGUGUGCAGGCACCUAUGUCUAUUCCAAUUGCUAAUCAACACCUCUCAAAAAUAUACUCAUGGUAUAGCCAAACCGGGGCAAGUCUCUAAUGCAUUUCCAACAGAAACAUUAAAUCGUAGUUGGAGUAUUGCGUGUUGAGAAGUCUGAACCCUUCAGUGAUUUGGGGCACCCCGGAUAUAUUCCCAAAAUCACCCAGUGGGGCAUCAAAUUUUGAUCUCCAUCAUAACAAAAGUCCUCACCACUGGCACCAUCACCCAAAGAAAAAACGCCCUAACCAGGGCAAAUCCGAAUUAUCCAUUCGCAUACCCGCAUGAAUCACAUGCGCCAUGUGCAUCAAUUACAUACAUAAUUUUCCUACCAAAUAGGAAGAUUCACCAAGAAGUAAUCAUAUUAAUCAUUGGCAUCCAUAUGCAUAGCCUUAUACGAUUCGCAUUCCUAUAUGCACAGUUAAAUAUCCCCAGCAAAUACAUAAUGCAUACACCUCAGGCAUCCUCCCAUGCAUGGCAUUUCCACCCAAAGUGGAACAUCUUACGAAAAUCAAACAUAAUAUGAUAAGGAUCUAAGGUCAUUCACGUCUAUUCUAGAUUUUCCUCAUUUCCCAAAUAAUGUUAUUACCCUACAUAUGCUCAUGGAAUCAUUUCCUGGCCAGUCAUUUCUCUCAACUUCGUGGGUGAUAGUGAUAUUCCCAGCAUUUUCUUUGCUACCACUGCUCCCCAAGAAGAGGUUACCCUAAAGGUCUCUUGUGAGCUUCUUCCCUGCAGAGCUUCUUCAACAGGUUUCCUCCAAAAGUAAUCUUUUCUAAAAAUAUCCCCCCAACAGACAUUCAUUCUUUGAGAUAUUACUUCAUUUAUAUGGAGAAUCUCAUUUUCAUUAUUGUUUGAGAUGCUGUCUCAUUAAUAUGAAGAGUCUCAUUCCAGUUUUUCUUUUGAGAUACUGCUCUAGUAUCCUCGAAGAGUCUUAGAUUCAAUUAAGGUAUCAUUCCCUUGUUCGAAAUAUCUUAAUUCUAUCAUAUGAGAUGCUGCUUCGACUCGAUACAGAGAAUUUCAUCUUUUGCUGUUUGAGAUGCUGUCUCAUCCAUAUGAGGAGUCUCAUUCCAGUUUUUCUUUUGAGAUACUGCUCUAGUAACCUCGAAGAGUCUUAGAUUCAAUUAAGGUAUCAUUCCCUUGUUCGGAAUAUCUUAAUUCUAUCAUAUGAAAUGCUGCUUCGACUCGAUACAGAGAAUCUCAUCUUUAGCUGUUUGAGAUGCUGUCUCAUCAAUAUGAGGAGUCUCAUUCCACUUUUUCUUUUGAGAUACUGCUCUAGUAUCCUCGAAGAGUCUUAGAUUCAAUUAAGGUAUCAUUCCCUUGUUCGGAAUAUCUUAAUUCUAUCAUAUGAGAUGCUGCUUCGACUCGAUACAGAGAAUCUCAUCUUUUUUGCUGUUUGAGAUGCUGUCUCAUCAAUAUGAGGAGUCUCAUUCCAGUUUUUCUUUUGAGAUACUGCUCUAGUAUCCUCGAAGAGUCUUAGAUUCAAUUAAGGUAUCUUUCCCUUGUUCGGAGUAUCUUAAUUCUAUCACAUGAGAUGCUGCUUCGACUCGAUACAGAGAAUCUCAUCUUUUGCUGUUUGAGAUGAUGUCUCAUCAAAUAUGAGGAGUCUCAUUCCAGUUUUUCUUUUGAGAUACUUCUCUAGUAUCCUCGAAGAGUCUUAGAUCCAAUUAAGGUAUCAUUCUUUUGUUCGGAAUAUCUUUAUUCUAUCAAAUAAGAUGCUGCUUCGACUUGAUAUAGAAAAUCUCAUUUUCUUUACUGUUUGAGAUGCUGCUUCAUCAACAUGAAGAGUCUCAUUCAUUUUUAGAAACAUUGUUCUGCUCAUUAUCAGACAGUCUUGGAUACAAUUGGGGUAUCAUUCCUUUAAUGGGAUACUUCGAUUGUAAUUAUCCACGAUACUGUGCUGACGAUUCCUCCUCAUACUGUAUUUCUCACUACAUUUUCUCUUUAAGAAAUUAUUCCUUCCAUUUCAAAGGACAAAACUCAGGUCUUCUUGUAUUUAAUUACCUUUCACUAUGAACGCAUGAAGACUACUGUCAUUUCUGCUUUCUAGUUUAUUGUAAUUAUAUAGGGGCAGCUAUCAUACCCCGAUUUUGUCCCGGUUUUAUUUUUCUCACGGAUACCACGACAUAUUUUUUUUUUAACUAUCAAACCUUGAUUUCCACAUCUCUGUGUAAUGGACUUGGGCCAAGUUAUAUAUAGGAAUCUAGAAUCCCUUAAGGUUCUAUGACGAACAUGGAACAAGAUUUAGUUGCUUGUGGGACAUCCUCUUUUGUCAUGUUAUAGCCUCCCCAUAUAUCGUCCAGCACUCCAUUCACAAAGUACCCAGGAGAAUUUACGCAUCGUUGAGUUCAAAUGGUGCAUUGGUCCAUAAGUACAAGUUGUAAAUUAAUUUGUCGAAGCAUUUUGUUUGGUGUGUGAGCGCAUCAUUUUUGGUCCUUUACAAAUCUCAUGUCGAUCCAUUCCCAUGUUUAUUACGGUCCCUCUACGACAAUGGUUUAUAAUGUGGCAAAGUUCAAGAUCCAAAUAACAAAAGCAGUAGAACUUCAUUCAAAAAAACAAACAUCAUUACAAUCCAUCAAAGUGCAUUAUUUGAAACAAAACUACGGAGUGCGGUAUUAUUGACAAAGAGUACAACUCAUCUCUAUCCCAAGUUACCAAUUAGAAACUUUGAUAUUUGUACGAGCCAUUGGUGUGCGGACUCUUUGUUCCAACCGUGUUAACAUGACCGUUUGAACCAUCCUGCCAUAAACACUAACAAAAGACAAACAGACCAAGGUGUGAAUGAUAAUCAUGCCGCAUAAUGUGUCGUCAACAUGAGCCCUGCUAUGAACGAACCAGCAAACGUAGCCAAAGCAAGAUGAGGCUACAAAUGAUCCAAACUACAGCAUAAGGCAAGCUGUGAAUAAUGAUGUCACGGCUAAGGCGAAUUGCAGCCGGGUUCAACCUCCAGCAAAAGUAUCUUGCAUACAACACUAAUCUGAAACAAUCCUGAAUUCCAUAACCAUUUUCUGUCUACAUUUCACUUCACAAAAACUGUUUCAUGCACCUUUAAAAAUCAUACAAUUACAAUUCACUUUUCCUAAAAAAAAAUCAUAAGGAAUUACAAAAUCAUCAUUACAAAAUCAUAAGGAAUUGACAAAUCCUCUACAAAGGUUGGCCAAAUUCCAACAAACCAGUUAUUGACCAUUUCCUAAAAAAAAAGACCUAAGCCUCAAUUGUCCAUGUUACAUCACUUGGUCAGAAAGAUUAAGUUCCUGAAUAAGAGGCAUCUAAAUUGGUUGAUCUUCGUGUCCCGGUCCUUCCUGUUAAGUGUGGAUCCACCUGUAUAGAGACUAACUGUCCAAAACCGUUCACAACCUUACAGACAUACGCAAUGACACUUUGCCUCACUCAUACUGAACAUAUUGAACAACUGUGAGCAACCAGAUUGAAAAAUGUGGCCACCAUUGAUAACAUUGUGAGCCAAGUAGAGUCAAUACAAACUUCCUGCAUCCUAUGAGAAGUCGAUGUAACUGUGACAGAGCAUGUUAUCGAGAACGAGCACAAGCCAAUGAGGGCUUCAAAGAGGAAAUUCAUCCAUGUAGCUUCAGGGCACUGACCUGAACAGAAGAUCAGAGGGGCAUUAGUGAAACGGAGUAUUAACAAUUCUAACAAGAGUGCAUUUCCUUCCAGAUAAGCCUACUACUUGCAUUGCCAUUCACAGGUCAGUAACAUCAGACCUGCGGCAUGCUAUGGUCUUGUUAAUCCGUGAAACAUCAUCCAAACGGGGGACUGCAAAACAAGCAGCACCCCACACUUAUACAAACAGCAAGCCAAUGACAGAUGCAGUGAAAAAGCAUAAACAAAUACAUAGUAAAGCCAUUUGAUCCAAGCCGCGUUGCAAUAGCCACAACCAACCCGAUACAUAAAACCAAAGGCUACCAAGGGACUUGCUGGUAAUGUUGAACCUUGAUUUAUGGUCCCUAGUGUUGUUGCAAUUAAUAAGUCGCUUCUGAAUCAAUCAAGGAGUUCUUCCGAAGGAAAUUGGAUUGCACAGCAUAAUGUUAGUGUCAUGGUUGAUCUUGAUUUCUUCAUUGGAGAUGACGCACUUUCUAAGGUUUGGUCUAGUAGCACGUGUAAUCUCACCUACCCGAUUAAGCAUGGUCAGGUUGAGAAUCGGGACGCCAUGGAACUACAUAUGUUGAACCAGUUGCAGAUGGUUACGAUUAUUAGUGACAUUGAGUCAGUUCUCAUGGUUGGAAAGGAAUGUCUUUGGCCUAUGGAAAGAAAACUAGAAGGGCAAUGAUUGAUUUACCUCACUCUUCCUAAGAGAAAACAGUUCACUAGUAACAAGCAAACUACAAUCAGGUGGAGACAUUUCCAUUAUGCACAUGUGACCAAGACCCCUCGUAUGGUAAUCCAAUGGAUCCAUGUUGUAGCAAGCCAGUCGAAUCUGCACAUGCAAGAUAACGAAGACAUAAUCUCAUAAUUCUAGGUCGUUGCAGGUUGUAGCAUAAAAGGGUUAAAAGGAUAGGUUGAUACGUUUACCAUCAUAUGAACCAGCUGCAUAUCAAUACCUCUCGCUAAUAACAUGGCGUCAGUAUGAGAAGGAUCAUGAUAAUCCCGCGCAAUGCUUCCACAGAAACAAAAACCGGCAAAUUAAGAGGAGCCAACCUAGAAAGGUGUAGUGUGAGGUCGAAACAUAGCUAUGAAUACGAGACAUUACCUGUUGCGGAACAUUCCUGCAAAGAGACGUGAGUCAUGAGAUAUUCUGUCGUCUCGACUCGCCAAAACCAGUCUGCAUAAUCCAACAAAGAUGCGAGUCAGGACGCGAAAUUCAAACACAAGUUGAAUCCCAAUCAACAUUUACACAUACAUGUGUAGAAGGUCAUUAAUAAAAGUCAUAUUAGAAAAGGGAGUGAACCUCACCUGCAGGCCACCUCAAAGGGACACCUAGUUUCGAUGUCGUCUGUGCGCAUUUCUUCAGGUUACAAAACCCGCUAGCAGAAUCCAAAGACAGUCGAACAACACUUGAGAAGAUUUGGGUGCAAAACGAAUCAAUUCCUUAUUUUUCAAAACCACACACCAGUAAAAUGUGCGCAUUUCUUCAGGUUACAAAACCCGCUAGCAGAAUCCAAAGACAGUCGAACAACACUUGAGAAGAUUUGGGUGCAAAACGAAUCAAUUCCUUAUUUUUCAAAACCACACACCAGUAAAAAAAACCUGUCAUAAGGAAAUCAUACAUGGAUAAAACAGGACAAUUACUGCAGUGAAAAGUGAAAAGAGAUGGUUACCGUAGAUGCAUUACAGACAAAACCUUAUCCUUUCAUUUGAGGGACCACAUCAAUUUGGAGGACUUUGAGAUUUCCCUCACACCCAUUCACCAAAGCUCAAUACUCCCAAAGUUCACUCAAAGUUCAUCAUUAGAACUUUGAGAAAACUGAGCUGAAGCCACUGCAAAGCCGAGAGACACCCAAAGUCAGUGAAGGAAAACGAAGAAAGGCGAAAAGAGAAACCGAACGGAGCUUACCGGGGACUUGGAGAGAUUUUUGCUCGAAGAGUCAUCGGAGUUUAAGUGGUCGAAAGCUUCAGAUCUCCUUCCGUCGGUACUUCUUCUUCCCCAUUUACUCACUUCAUGCUAAGAUCUCUAACAUAGUUGUUAUUCACUCAAUAUUGAAUCGAUGUUUCUACUUUUACCGUAAUGCAUAAAUAACUGGAUAUUUGUUGAAUGAGUGUAUUAAUCUCUAUUAUCGCUUUGAAUAUGCCAUCGAAGCUCCUUGCGUCCCAUAUUGCUCCAUUCAUGUGCGCUCUGUUUUGAAUGUUAGGUUUCAAUUUGGUAAACUUGGGAUCUAGGGUAUGAUCGAUUGUUUGCAUGUGUGUUAGAUUUGUGAUGCUCAUCAAGGUUGGGUUAGAUUCUUUGUGAAAUCUGAUGCAGAAAUGCGGUUGAUUCCAGUUUCCAAAGGAAACUUCUUUUAAACAAAUAAUGUAAUUAAUAAAAUGGGUUUAUUUGGUUUUAAUAUAUAUGAAUAGUCAUUAGUGAUUGCAUUAUUCAAGGCCAGCUAGCUGGUGAAUUUAAUUUGUUUUCUACAGUUGGGAAGGCCAAAAGGCUUUUAGCCGCCACAUGUUUCAAGUAGUUGUACAACUGCCUUUCACUUGGUAGUAAGCGGAUUAUUUUCGAAUUCAAGGCCUAUUCACCUUCCACAUUUCAGAUUGCUGUAACUUGUUUUUUUUUAAAUGUAAAGGAGUUUCUUUUGGGCCUUAGGGCCCGUUGCGAAGCCGCACAUUUUUGAGGUCCUCUGUUGGGCCUCUUCUGGUCCACUAUUUCAAGAAUUUCACCUUUUUCAUAACUUGUUUUUUUUUAAAUGUAAAGGAGUUUCUUUUGGGCCUUAGGGCCCGUUGCGAAGCCGCACAUUUUUGAGGUCCUCUGUUGGGCCUCUUCUGGUCCACUAUUUCAAGAAUUUCACCUUUUUCUCAUUUCCCACACAUUCAUAUUUAUUUUACUUAAUAUGUGCAUUAUUUGCCAAAUAUCUCAAUUAAAAUAACUAUGACUAAAUAAGGAUAUUCAUUCGUUCGCUUUCGAUUUUUUUUAUUUUUUUUUAUUUCAUUAGGAUAUUAUAACUAAUCGAAUGGUGGAUUAAAGGUUAAUAUCAACAAAUAAUUUACUUUACUUUCUAAAAUAAAUUUGAUUUUGGUCUAAUACCAAAUGAUCUUUCUCAAAACAUAUUACUCCUAAUUCAACAUAUUUAAUUAAUAUACUCUCCCAAAAUUAUUUAAAUUAAUUUUGAAUGAAAAGGAGAAUAGUAAGCUUCCGCUUUAUUAUCUCUCGAUUAUUCGAAUAAUUGGCGUACGCCAUAUUGCUCGAAUUUUCGUCAUUUAAUUAAAACCCUAAAACUCUAUAAAAUAAAAUUAUUUCUCAAUUAAUCACAAAUCUAAAAGAAUUAUUUAAAUUAUUUUGAAUGAAAAGGAGAAUAGUAAGCUUCCGCUUUUAUCUCUCGCAUUAUUCCGAAUCAUUGAGGCCCUCCAUUGCUCCAAUUUUCGUCAUUUAAUUUAAACCCUAAAAACUCUAUAAAAUUAAAAUUAUUUUCUCAAAUUAAUCACAAAUCCUAAAAGCAUUAUUUAAAUUAAUUUUGAAUGAAAAGGAGAAUAGUAAGCUUCCGCUUUAUUAUCUCUCGAUUAUUCGAAUAAUCGGCGUACGCCAAAUUGCUCGAAUUUUCGUCAUUUAAUUAAAACCCUAAAAAACUCUAUAAAAUUAAAAUUAUUUUCUCAAUUUAAUCACAAAUCCUAAAAGCAUUAUUUAAAUUAAUUUUGAAUGAAAAGGAGAAUAGUAAGCUUCCGCUUUAUUAUCUCUCGAUUAUUCGAAUAAUUGGCGUACGCCAUAUUGCUCAAAUUUUCGUCAUUUAAUUAAAACCCUAAAAAACUCUUAAAAUCAAAUUACUCCCCCAAUCAAUUAAUUAUUCUAAAAGUCUCUAUUUUUAUAAUUAAUCUUUAAGUGAAAAGGAGAUUAAUGAGCAUCCGCUCCAUUAUCUCUCGAUUAUUCGAAUAAAUGGCGUACGCCACAUUGCUCGAAUCUUCGUCGUCAAAUUAAAACACAAUCGAAUAAAUCCAAACUAUUUUCGCAAAUCAAAUACAAUAUCUAAAAACAUAUCUUUUACAAAUUAAACCUCGGGUGAUAAGAGAUAGGAGGCGUUCGCCUCGCCAUCUCUCGAUUAUUUGAAUAAUUGGCGUACGCCAUAUUGCACAAAUUAUCGACUUCCGAUUAAAACACUUUAAAUAAACUUGGAUAAGGGAAUAGGUGGCGUACGCCUCAUUAUUCUUUGAAUAAGAAAGUAGGAGGAGUACGCCUCACUACCGUGCAUAUUCAACAUCCACAAACAAACUUUUAAUUAAUCGAACAAAAAAGGAGUAGAAGGCGUACGCCUUAUUACUCCUCGAAAGAAUUGGUCGAUUGGUGUACACCACAUUGCUCAAUCUUUUGUCGUUCUUUAAAACACCUUAACAAAUCAAACUAAUGUCUCGCCCCCGUGCGACCCACAACUUAAAAUUCUUUUCAAAAGAACACUAUUAAUCCUUUCUAAUGCGCAUAACAAACUAAUGCUUAAGCCUCCGCCGGGAGUAGACAAGCCAGCGUUUAGCCUUUAGAACGCGAUCUACACAGUCGUUCAUUAAAAGACACCAACAAAGACCGUAGUUUCCCGAACUACGAAUGCUCUGAUUUCCUUAUUAUACCAUAAGGAUACAUAGGCAGGAGAUUGCUGGAUCUUCGCGAGCACACUAAAAAGAAACCUCCCCGUUCUCCUCCUGAGGUCUUCACCCAUAUCUAUCAUCAAUUCUAAUUACCCGAAGAAAAGCAAAUAACAUGUAAUUAACAUUCAAAUAGCAAAUUGGACUAAAAGGUUCCCGUUGAGUAAGUACAACGGACGUGAGGGGUGCUAAUACCUUCCCCUUACGUAAUCGACUCCCGAACCCGAAUAUGGUUGCGACGACCAUUAUUCUUAUUUCUAAAGGUUUUAUCGAUAUUUUCCUAUUCCUUCAUUGGGAUAAAUAAAGUUCGGUGGCGACUCUGUUCGAACAUAAAAAUUUUCCGCGACCAUCGCGAGGAAUCGUAUUUUUCGAGAUGCGACAAUGGGCUUGGUAAACUAAGGUCCUUGGCUUCUAAGGUCUGUAUUGGAAAGGGUAAUGUCUAACCACGACUACUCGUGUGACAUUAUUGAUCCCAACAUGACCUCCACCAAGUGAAUGGGCUUGCAAGUCAACUUGCUAAGGAAUAACUCCACACAAGUUGAUAAGACUAUGCCAUUCUCCUAUCCUAAGUGCACUCGAGUUCGGGUAUAGACCUCAUCUCACAAAGAUCACCAAGCAUACAAGCAAUUAGUAUAUCAAGCAAUUCAAUCAUUACAUACAAUACAGUAAUCCCAAAUUGCACAAAAAUAUGUCACAAAAUAAUAUACAAUACAAUACAACAAAUAUGAAAAGUAGGCAAAACCCACUAGGCAAACUUCCCCAACAGAGUCGCCACUUUUCUGUAGCGGGGUAUUCCUUACCUUUAGAUUUAUUGACUAAAUCAAAAGUAAAUCAUACAAGUCGAGUCGCCACCGCACUUCUAUUUAUCUAAAGGAAUGGUUAGAAAGCGAAGAAAGACCUAAUAUUUUUAUCGAAUCAAAAACUAGUAAAAAUGUCAGAGAUCGGGGUAAGGGGGUUGGUUAUGCAAUGGGAAGGUUUUUAGCACCCAAAACAUCCUAGGUACUCCUAGGGAUCCCUUUUCACACUUGUUGUAAGGUUGGUAUUUUGUGAAAAAUUAUUUUGUGCAAACAUUAUUGGAGAGAUGAGAGAAGAAUAUACAAAUUAUUUACAAUUUUGUUUGAAUGGAUAAACCCACUGCCUACGUACCAUCUUAAAAAAUAUUAGGAUCAAAACCUCGUAGUUCCGGGUAAAAAUGUCAAAACAAGUUGGUGAAUUGAUUGGUCCAAAAGCCUUAAGGUCUUUUGUUAUCCAAGGGAGAAAACUCAACCUAAAACCACAAAUCCACCAUGUGAAGAUAGCUUCAACAUGCUAGUGAGGGGUUAACCCUUUAAUAUGGAUGGAAGACACAUUGUCCAUCACUAAGGAUAUAGGUGAGUAUUAUAUCAUCCACUAAGAUAACUCAAACCUAAUAGCUAAAGGUUAUGAAAGGUUUUUGAUAAGAAAGUUGCCAUUGAAACCACAAAAGCAUUUGAGUGGGUUAUAUUUACCAAUGAAAAGUAUUUACAAAAUAUGGUCAAAGUUGACUUAAAGAUUCAAUUCAAAAUAAGUGUUAUGAAAAGAAAGUUUGAAAAUCAAAAGUAUAAUGCUUAGGUUUCUAAUGUUUAUACCAAUGAAAAGUAUUUACAAAAUAUGGUCAAAGUUGACUUAAAGAUUCAAUUCAAAAUAAGUGUUAUGAAAAGAAAGUUUGAAAAUCAAAAGUAUAAUGCUUAGGUUUCUAAUGUUUGAAAACAAGUGUUAAUGUUUGCACAAAAGUUUUGGCUUGGGUUAGAGUGGAGGGAGAAGAAGAAUGGCUAAAGUCCUAAUCAUACAAUAGAUGAAGGAUAAGAAACAAGACUACAAAUGGAGUUCCUCUCUUGAGAUCAUAUUGGUGAUCCAAGUAGCUCCCAUCCUUUGGAAUAAACAAGCAAAUAAGUGUAUACUAGAGCAAUCAAUCAAUCAAGCAAAGCUCUUAGGAAUCUUCCAAUGGCUCUUGUAUCUCUUCCUUUAGAAGCUCAUGACAAUGGUUCUUCAAUUUGGCUCAAAUAGGAAACCCCUAGCACAAAAGCACACACAUCAAAAAGUUCCAUGAAGUAAAUCAAGAAUGGACAAGAGUGAGUUUAGAGAUUUGCUCCUUCUAAUCCAUCUUCAACAUUAAGGCCUUUUUUACUCCAUUUUACAUAGGAAAUGUCCUAGCAUCUAAGUCCUUUUUUCCAUUUUUGCAUUUGGUCCACAACAAUCAAACAAAAGCACAAGCACAAUAAUAUAUACACAAUUAUGUGCUCAAGUGAGCAAAAGGCAAAUUGCAUUAACAUAAACAUGUGCUUAAAUGAGCAAAGGGCAAAAGCAAAUGAAUAAUAUGUACAAGAAAUAAUAUAUACACAAUUAUGUGCUCAAGUGAGCAAAAGGCAAAUUGCAUUAACAUAAACAUGUGCUUAAAUGAGCAAAGGGCAAAAGCAAAUGAAUAAUAUGUACAAGAAUAGUAAAUUACAUAAAGGUAAAGUGCAAGAAGAAAAUGUUAAUGGUUAAUGGUUAGUUUUAGUAUUAGUGUUCCAUAAGGAAAUUAGCGCUAUGUUAAGCAAUCAUAAUUGGACUUAUGUAGAAGUCACAACUAUAUGAGGCCGGUCAAUAAUAAUGUAGGCAACAACACAAGUUAGAGAUUUUGAUUAGUGAAUCAAACUCCUACAACUUGCCAUGCCAAAAAGAAGAUGAGAAAUGAUCUUAUAUUGAUUUAGGUUCUUUGCUUGAUUAGGAAGCAACCUAUCCAUAAUGCAAAGUCAUUCACUUGAUAUAUGAUCAAGUUGAAUUAGAUUUGAAUCAAGGAAGGUUAAACCUCCCAUGUAUCAAGGCUAACCACCAAUCUUUAACUCAUUGAUCAAAAAAAGAAAAAGAAAAAGAAGAAGAAAAAGAAAAUUAAAGUGCAUUAAUGGAAAUGAAAUGAAAUAAUCAACAAGCAUUGACCAAAGAUAGAGGAGAUCAAGGUCAAACAAUAGUAAACAGAAGCAAUGUGAAGAUUAGAAGUCAAAAAACAAAUAAAAUAUUUUUGGUAUUUUUCAAAAGUAAAAUAAUACUUGAAUUAAAAUAAUAAAGAGAGGUCAAACUUCAAACUCACUUCAAAUCAACUUUGAAAAGUCCAAGUGAAUUAUCCUAAGUUCAACAAGGUCAAGCAAAAUUUGACAAAAAAUUUCAGAAUUUUUAGAAGUCGGAAACUAUUUUUAAUCAAUUAAAAAUGCAUAAAAAUAACCUAAUUGAAUUAAAAUCUCAAAUAAAUCUCAAAUCAAUUGAUAAAUUGAUGAGAAUAUUUUUCAUAGAUC